rnacentral:lncRNA from 1 species
ACAUGUUGUUCGUGAACUGCAAGAUAUAGUAUUAAAUUUCUCAAGCUCAGCUGCAUGUCUCUUUUGUUGUCCCCUGUAAAAUCCCUGUCUCUUACAUGAUGGAGCAAGGGUCAUGGUGCUGGGCGUAUCCAUAUGACGGCAACUCUUGAUACACAUAUAGAGGUUGAUUAUAUGGCCACACAUACGCCGCUGGCUUUACCUCGUCUUUAUUCUCAGCUUUCUUCUCAUCCUUCUUUUCACCACCCACGGCACUCACGCUUACCAGCUCUGUAUGCCCCACACUCUUUCUUAGCUUACUUGUUAGCUUAACUGGAUCAAACCCAUCUCCUGUUACCUCUAUUUGGCUCUUGUCAUCGCCUUUCAAUGAAGCAGACUCCACUCCUUGACACACACCAAAAAAAAAAAAAAAUCAGCAAUCAGCAUAAAAAUUUUCCCAAAAUGUUAUCAUCAGAAUGAAUGAAAUCAAAGUGGGUUUCAGCUGGUUUUUACUACCUGAGAGACCAACUACAAUUUGCAAGGCCUUGGAGCGGGACUUCUCUCCAUUCAUGGUUACCUUGACUACAAUCUUUUGCUGCAAAAAGGAAAAUUUAAAUUCAACAUAAAAUUCAUCAAUCAAAGAAACUUUUAAUUUCAUGAUUAAUUUUCAUACCGUCAUGGUGUCGUUUAUCUGUUAAGAGAGUAGGAAAACGAUGGCAAUGGCUAGGGAAAGAUUUUUGGAGGAAGAAGCUAGAUAGGUACUAACUGCUUACUUGUUUUGUUUUGGCGGAGGCAGAAACGUUUUGUUGGUAUUUAUAGACCUUUGGGGAUUGAGAAUUUGCUAGGAACUUAGCUGUAUGAUAUCUUUGAAACUUCUAGGAACCGUUGAUCUUCAUUAUAAGCUGACCCCACCCAGCUUACUAAGUCAGCUCUUUCACUUUUGCUCCGUACUUCGUCGAACUUUACCAUUUAGAGUCAGUUCAAAUAAAUAUAUAUAUAUUUUUUUACAAAGUCGGUUUUGAAUCUUCUUCUUCUAAUAAAAUACAUAAAAAUUAAAGCAACUCGUACAUAUAACUCUCAUCGAAAUUUUAAAUUCCAAUCUUGUAAUCACCCUUGAUGAAGAAAGAAGCAUACUCAAAAAUUAAAGUUUAAUUUAAUUGAUUUUUAAAAUUAUUUAUAAAAAUUAAAUUGCAUCAUUUAUAAAUUUUUUAUUAUUUUCAAAUUAUAACUUAUUUUAUUAAAAAAAUAAAAAAUAAAGACAUGUUUGUGAGAUCAUGAAUCUUGAUAAAGACACAGGUUUGCUGAUACAAUUUAUUUAUUUUUUUAAACUUCAACAAUACUUUCACAUAGAGAUCUUCACCAUUAAAUCCUAAAUAUAAUUCAAAGAUUUUACGAAAUUAAAAAAAGAUAAACUUUCAUUGUUUAAAUCUCUUGCAGGAUUUGUUCAAUUAGCAAUGUGAUUGACUUACCAUAUACUUAGUUUUAUAGAGAAUAAGGAAAGAGAGGAUGUUUACGUAGCAUCUCAUUCUUCCUUCAUUUUUUUUUUAUUUAACUUUUAUAUUUAGUUUUUAUAUUUUAUUUUUAUUCGAUGAUCAAUAAAAUUAAAAAAUGAUAAAACAAUCCAUAUUUGAUUAGUUUUGAUUUGCAAGAAUCAAAUAUAGAUGUAUUUUCUUAAAAAAUCAAAACAGAUUUUUUUUUUUUUUUAAAUGAGAUAUCAGGUGAAAGAUGAAUUUAAAGUGUUUCAAUUUGUAUGGAGUAUCCAUGGGUCACCUCUCUCUCUCUCUUUCUUUUUCUUUUUUUACUUUUUAAAUUUUUUAUUUUUUGGGUUUUUUAUUUUUUAUUAAAUAAAAAUUUAUAACAAAAAAUCAAUUAAGAUAACUAUAAUUAGUUGAAGGUUUGAAGGCAAAUUAAGAUCAUAAACUUUUAUUAAAUGAAAAUUAAAAUAAAAAAUUUGAAAAAAGAAUAUAUUAGUAGAAUUUCAUGAUUUGACAAAUAAUAUUAAAAAUAAUUGAAAAUAAAACCACAAUUAAAAAUAUUACCAUAAUCUUUCGUAGAGAACAUUAUUUAAAUAAAAUAAAUUUAACAAACUCUAACAAUCCACAAGUUUUUAUUUAGAUUUAAUUUAAUCUUCAUUUAAUCAUUUUGAUUAAAACUUUCACAAUUAAUGGAGCUAUGUAACCUAUGACCUAAAGGUUAUAAAUCCUUUUAACAAGGUUUCAUUGGCUUAAAUUUUAGUUAUAUUCCUUUCGGUUUGGUACCAAUUAAUAAAUAGAUAUAACGAAAUAAAUAAAAAAAUUAUCAAUAAACUUAAUUUAAUUAAAUUCUAUAAUUACUUUUAAAUAAUAAUAUUUAAUAAUUUUAAAUUUUAAAUUUCAAUACCCACAGCCUACUCAUUAGAAUUUUCGGUUGGUACCAAUUAAUAAAUAGAUAGAACGAAAUAAAUAAAAAAAUUAUCAAUAAACUUAAUUUAAUUAAAUUAUAUAAUUACUUUUAAAUGAUAAUACUUAAUAAUUUUAAAUUUUAAAAUUCAAUACCCACAGCCUACUCAUUGGAAUUUUCUUCAUGCCCCGUAAAGUAAGAACUCGGCGACUAGCCGUAAGGUGAUCGAGGAAUUCAAAGGCUUUGCCAACUGGCGUAAAAGUCUCCACCAAUAAAAUAAAUUAGCUAGAGCCCUUCCAAGUCUACCCCAGAUUUGUCGGAUACAGGCGUUAGGUUAGGCUACGCGGUUUAGCCUCGCUCUUUUGCUUGACUCUCUCAGCCAACGGAUACGCCAACCCUUUUGCUUUCUCCCCUGUUCAUGGCCUGGUCCAAAGAAGUGUCGCUUCUUUCUAGUAUCACAGUUAUAUCCAAAUAAAGCUCCAUUUUUUUUUUUUUUUUACCACACUUUUAGAAAGACCUUUUUUUUUUUUUUUUUGGCUUUUGGGGCCAAAUAAAUGGAAAGUGGAAUCUCGGGUAUAUACAUGACUCAUUUCUUGUUUAGAUUGUAUCUUGAAAAAGGAAGAUUUUCUGUAUACUUUAAAGAUAUAAAGUUAAAUUGUUUAGAUCAAAUAAUUUAAAUCAAAAAUUAAAUUUAAUAAUUUAAAAUAUGAUACAAUAAUACGAUAUAAAUAUAACAUAAAAAUAAGAUAUAAAAGUAAUGUAUUUAAAAUUAUAGUGAUAUUUAUAUAUGUAUUUAAUAAAAUAAAAAAAUUAUAUUUUAUAUUUUCAUAUCAACAUGAAUUAUUAUACUUAAUUUUUAUAUAAAAUAUAAUAUAAAUAUAUGAAUUUUAAUAUUUUAUAUUAUACGAAUACAUAAAUCAUUAAAUUUAUUAAAAAAAUAAUUAAUGAAGGAACAAAGAAAAUAAUUUUCUUUGUUUUGUUCAUCAUCAUGGACUCGUAUAAUAGGCCAUUGGAUGAAAAACAUGUUUUGAAUGAAUAAGAUUAAAUUACUACUUAUUAAACUGAAUAAAAAAAGGAAUUGUAUUAAAUCUUCAUUUGACAUUGCUCUUAAAGCUAUAAAAUUUCUUGCAACGUUAAAUACUAGGGCUAAACCAACAAAAUAAUGAAAGAAAGCCAAAAUAGUAAAUUAAAUUAGAAAAAGAGGCGGAGUUUUAUAUUAAAGGGACCGAGCCCCUAGAAUAGCCCUUAGUUAAAUAAGAUAAGAUUUCUGAUAAAAAUCUCAAUUAUAAGAUGAAUUUUUUUUAAUUACAAAAGUAAUUACUUGCAUUUGGAGUUACUGUAAAUUUUCUCUCUCUCUCUCUCUCUCUCUCUCUCUCUCUCUCUCUCUCUCUCUUUUUGAUACAUUAAUCACAAUUUUUACUUUUAAAUGCAACUCUUGAUCACAAUCUUAAUGCCAAGCUUAAAUCCAAUCCUAGUUUCUCAUUUUAUUUUCCGAACAUAUAGUUGUUUUCUUAAUAAUAUGAAGGCAUAAAAUUGUAUUCCCAAUAUACCAUUUCCCAAUAGGCUUAAAGUAAUUUUAAAAUUAAUUAAAAUUUAUUAAAAAGAUAAUUUUAUGGUCUAUGAAACAAUCUAUGUUCGGGAGUCAGUUACGAUGAGAAAUGAUUAGUACCCCCACGACGCCCGUUUUAAAAACGGUAUCACUUAACUACGUGUUAUCCUUUGAUUUUGAUUAAAAACAGUCUCAUUCCUGAGUGUUUGAAAAAAUAAUUUUUUUGAUUUUUUUAUUUAUUGGAAAUUGGUUUGUUUUGUUUUAUUUUUAAAAAAUUAUUAUUCAAAUUUUAUUCGAGAAAAAUAAAUUAGAAUCUUUUUAUUGAAAUAAUUCUUAAAAUAUUUCAGUACGUUGGUAACAUUACAAGAAUUUUUUCUCACGUAGAGAUUUUUUAGGCAUCGCUUCUUGGAAUACCUUAGAAUCUCAUCUUAGGAGGUCUGAAUUUACUUUUCGUAAAAAUUAUGUCAUGUAUGCAAUGCAGAAUGUUAUCAUGUUGAUGCACACAUUUUAUUCUUUUUUUUUUAUAGAAAUUUUAUUAAUUAUUUUAUUAGGAGAACUUUUGUUAUAUUGAAGAUUUUAUAUAAAUAUUUCAAUACACCGGUAAUAUUUAAAAAAAAAUCCCCUCACCUAGGGAUUUUUUAAAGCACCUUUACUCGAAAUAUUUUUAGAAUCUCGUUAUUGGAUAGAAUUCCCUUUUUGUCUCAUUUUUUAUUACUUAUUCUUAAUUUAUUAAUUAGUUUUUAUUUAUUAUUAUUUUAUAAUAAAAAAGGAAAUUUUUUAUUUUAUUGAAAAUUUUUUAUAAAAUACUCCAAUACGCUGGUAGUACUUAAAAAAAUUUUCUCACCUAGAGAUUUCGUAAGUAUCACUACUCAGAAUAUUUGAAUCUCAUUGUCGGAUAAAAAUUUCUUUUUCUUACAUUUUUUAUUAGUUCUGUAUUAUUAUUAAAUUUGUUUUAUUUUAUUUUGUUUUUAAAGUUUAUUUUUUAAAAAAAUUAACAAAAUUAUAAAAAUUUUAAUUACAAUUUUAUCAUUUAAUCUAACAAAUAUGAAUAUUUUAAUAUGCAUAAAUUUUAAUAAAAUACUAUAUAAAAAAUAAGAAAAAAUUCAAAAAAAUUUUUUUUACCUAAACCGGACCGGUCAAAGGUCCGGUCAAUGCGUAGUUCGGUCUGACAGUUUUUGUGGGCUUCGGUUUGAUCUGGGCGGUUCGGUUGGUUCAACGAUUCGUACCAGUUCGGUUCGGUCGGGGUGGUUCAAUUCUGGUUUAAUCAGAUUGAUCAGAGGCUGACGAAGAAAGUGGGUCUCGGGUCGAGUGCGCUGACCUCGAGUCGAGUCACGGGUUGACGUGCAGAUCCUUAGGGUUCAAAAUGACGUCGUUUUGGCCUUUAAGCCUCUAUAUAUAACUGAAAAUUUUUUUUUUGUUCAUUCUUUUUCUGUUUUAGAAAAAAAAAAGGGGGAGAGUUCUGGGGAGAGCUCCAGAGCUUCCUCGCCAUCCGAUCGCGGACCGCCACGUCGACGGCCGUCGAGUCGCCGGUGGUGGUUGUUGCCGGUGAUCACCGAUGAUCGUCGAUGAUAAAAAAUUAUCGAAAUUCUCCGAAAUACUCCUCUCGAUCUCCUAAGUUCAGAUCCAUUGUCCUUUUUGGGAAAAAAAGCUCCGAUCAGCAUAGAUCUGGGUUUGAAGUAUUUUGAUUUUUCUAUUUUCAUUUUUUAUUUUUGAAAACCCGCACUGACCGCUCUCUUUUUUUGUUACAGGAAAGCUCUAGGCGCUGGGGUUCCUCGUCGAACGGCGAUGAUUGUGUUAUUUUAUUUUUUUUUUUGCAGGGUUCCCUUCCUUCUUCUUGUUUCCUUUCCCCCUUUUCUUGUUCGGCCAAGAGCUCUAUUUAUAGAGCUCCAGUAGUGAAUGGCACAAGGCUAGGCAUGGGGUGCAAGCACAAGCCCCAUGCUGCCUUUAUUUAUUUUUAUUUUAUUUGAUAACGAAGGUAGUGGAUAAGGUGUGGAUGUAGGAUAAGGGGGGAUGAGUGGUAGGAUAUGGUGACAGUGAUGUCGGGAAAGGCACCACUGCCAUUCCCCAUUUUUUUGUUUUAUUUUUUUUUAUAUCUUGUAUUUUAGUAUUUUUUUAAUAUUUUAUAUUCAAUAAUAAUAAUAAUAUUUUUUUAUCGUACAAAUUUGAUGUCCACAAUCAGCGAAUAGUUUAAAAUGAAUUUCAGGCCACGUCGGGAGACUUGCAUGAAUAUAUCCAAAUGAUGUCUGAUUUUUAUUGUUGCCUUUAGCAGGCUGCCGUAAACUAACCAUCAAAUUAGUAACAAACUUUCCAAAGAUCAUUUGACAAAUACCUUUAAAUUUUACUAUUUAUAAAUUUGAAAUAGACCAAAAUUUUGGAUCAGAAGAUAGGACUCCUAAUCUCUUGAGGUCAUAAAAUAAUGUUUAGAUUAAAACGUGACGCUCUUUUUUUAAACAUAAAAUAUGGUGGGAGAUUUGCUACUUCAACUCUCAGGUCAUGAUGUAGAUUAUUUACUUAAAAUUUUCGAUUCAAAAAGUAUCCAACAUGUAAGUAGAGAAGAAGAGAAGUAAUCUCGUUAUCAGCUGAUGUUAAUUUCCAAAGUGGAGUUGUCCUUUUCUGUUUCCGAGAGCCAAUCUUUAAUUUCUUUCUUCACUUUGUUAAUUUGAGAGUGACCCUAUACAUGUGAAAAAUGCCUAUACAUGAUGUUGAUGAUGGUGAUGAUAUUUGAAGGGCGUCACCUUAAUCACUAAAUUAUUCAUUGCAUGUGUCAAAGAAAAUGUAAAUUAUUCUCUAGAGAAUAAAAAUGUUAAGUAUUUAUGAAUUAAGGUGAAAAGAACAGAUUAUAAUAUAUGAUACAAGGUCACUUUCCGCUUGCGUUGCGGCGCAUAUUAUAUAUUUUUUAUUGUAUUUAAUAAAUUAUACAUACAUUUUUUUCUCAAAGUAUAAAUUCUAUGAUAAGAUUGGAUUCCUAUGGACUGAUGUAAUACCAAUUGCAUCAAUAAUUGAUUCUCUGUUGAGUCCAGCCAGAAACUUCACCAUCUUACGACUCACUCCUACUUACCCUGGAGGCAAGCACUGGACAGUAAUCUUUCUAUCUCGCCACCAAAAAUGCAUAGCAAUUUGCCAAAAAAAAAAAAAAAAGAGGCAAACUAAUACACAACAAACCAUAAAUACAUUUCUUUAAUUAAAGAAAAAUCAUGUUGAAACUUUUUUGCAAGAAAAGGUUUCAACAAAAACAGAAGAUGUAACUAGAUUUACUGUUGAAGUUGCUGCAGGUGGAUUCUCCCUAGCUUCCUGAUUACUCUCUAAUAACAUCAUUACAUGCAACGUUUAAUCAAUAUCACCAAAAAAGAAAAAAAAUCACUAAUUAAUGGUAAUUUAGACUUACAAAAAUAAAUACAAUUCUUUAAGUUGUUACAUACCAGCCGGUUAUGUAUUUUCUGACUACUGGUUGUUCAUAAACUACUCACAAUGAUUUCAGCAUCAACAUCAUCUCACACACAACGUGAAAUGAAAUACUCCACUGACUCGUCCGAUUGAGGUGCUAGCUAGAAAUAUGCCUACCAUAAAAUACAACCCAGACUUGUCCAAUUGUCUAAAUUAUGUUCUUCGAAACCUUUUAAAGGCAUUAUAGACAUCCAAUUUGAUCCAAACUUGGAUCAAUUGGACCUGAUCUAAUGAAAUUAGUUAAGUUCAGGAUUGGGUUUAAUUAAAUAGUUAUUUAUUUAUUUAUCUAUUUAUUUAUUUGUUUUUUAGAUUUUAUCUAUUUCUGAUUAAUUUUUGUUUGAUAUCAGGAGAUAGUGAUAAAAAUCAAAAUAAUUAAAAAUAAUAAAAAAAAGAAUGAAUCCUGUCAUGAAUAAGGCUAGUAGAGAGUCAUAGGUGGAUUUAACUUGCAUAGAAUAAGUUUAAUAAUUAAUCUGAUAAUCCAGAAACUUAAUCAAAGAAGGAAUCCUGAUUAAUUAGAAAUUUUGUGAUUGAUCCCUAUAAUACCUAUUGAUCAAAAGCAAAGAGACACACAAAAAACAAACAAAGAGAAAACAAAAGCAAAAAAAAGUGUUUAGAAGAGCAAAGGCAGUUCUAGAAUUUUUAAGAUUUUUUUUGAAUUUUUAGCUUUUUUUUUUUGAAAAUUUUUUGGGAAUUUUUCAUAUUCAAGUCAAUUUUUCAAUGCUGUUUAAAUUUUCUGGCGAGAUUCCAGUGAACUCCUUAGUUUUUGACCAGUUCUCCAGUUUCUAGCAUCAUAUCUCUAGAAAUCGUUGAAUUUUUUGGUGAACUUCUGACAAAAAACUAGAUUUCGUUAAAUUUUUUCAAAAUUCGGUGAAAUUCAAUCGGUGUCCUUAGGAAAAUCUAGAGAGAGAGGGACAGAAAAUGAGAGAAGAGAAAGAGGGAAGAGGGGAAAUCUGAUGAAAAAGGUCAAAAUUAGCCUUUUAUACUAUCGUAAAACGAUGUCAUUUUGGGCGCUAAGAGACCUCCAAGGAUCCGCGCAUUUCUAUUUGGUCCAACCCGACCUGAGCACAACCUACUUUUGGUCGACCCACGUUCCAGCCAAACCUUCAGUCGAGCCAAACCGCCUGAGCCACGCCUUCUAACCGUUUAUGUGCCUCAAGCUAAGUUAUUUCAGUUGCAAGCCGAGCCAUUUUUUUGGUAUUUUCUUUAUUAUUUUUUCUUUUUCUAUUUAUUUUUAUGUGUUUGUUUUGUUUUUUAAUAUUUUUGCAUGAUUUAAUUUAAUAAAAAAAUAAAAAAAAUAAAAAAAUAAAUUUUAGGAAUAAAUAUUAAUUAUCUAAUGAUGAAUUUUAUAGAAAUUUUAAAUGUUAAAUUUUUAUAAAAUUUUUAGGUGAAAAUUUUUGUCUAAAUUUAUCCAAAAUGGUGGAAUAAUUUAAAUAAAGAUUCAAUAACAAUAAUUAAUAUUUAUUUUUAAUCCAAAAAAAAUAAAAAAAAUAAAAAUUUGGGUUGAAAAUAUUUGAUAAUUAUCCAAGGAGAUUCUUAAAAAUUUCAAAUGGUAAAUUUUUAAGAAAUCUCUAGGUGAGAAAUUUUCUUUAAAUUUGUCCCAAAUGGUGAAAGAAUUUAAGUGAAAUUUCAAUAAAAAUAAUUGUCAUAUUAUUUUCUUUCCAAAAAAAAUAAUAAAUAAAAAAAUUUCUAAAUAAGCUCAAAUGGUGAAAAAUUUAAAAAUUUUAAAAAAAGAGAAUAUUUCUAAUUUGGUCUAAAUGGUGAAAUAAUUAGAUAUAUUUUCAAUUGAAAUAAAAAAAAUUAGACAUUUUUCUGACGACAGAGCCUUUUCAAGAAAAUAAAUGGGAUUCUUGAAUACUCCUGAGGUGAGAAUAUUUUUAAGAGUUCUACCAAAUUGAUGGAGACUUUUAAGAAUUAUUUCUACUAUUUUGAUAUAAAAAUUAAAACAAGUAGAAUCAAGACCUUAGGAUAAAUUUAAAAUAAUAUAGUACCAUCUUUCGGAUGGGCAUGUGGGGGUGCUAUAACUUUUUCCAUAUGUAACCGAACUUCCAAACCUAGUUCUGGUUAGCAUACCCAAACCUAUUCUUUUAGAGACCCUUAGUCAAGCUUAUGAGCUCCUUAAAAUGAUAGAUUAUUUAGGUGGCCAAUCACACAUAGAUAAAAAAGAUUAGUGGCGACUCCAUUUGUUAAAUCUAGCUAUAGAUUUUCGGAUCUAUAUGUUAUGACAAUUUGACAACUUCACUGGGAAACUGCCAUAGAGAGUCAGGCCAUAACUUUUAAAUUUAUCCUAUCCUUUGAUCUAAUGGUUUUAAAUUGUAAUUAUUUGUUUACUAACUUUUUUUUUACUUGUAUUUUAUUUUUAGGGCAUGAAACCUAUAUGUUCAUUCACAUACACUAUCAUUUGCAUUUGCAUUACAUGAGCUCUAUACCCGAGCUCUGUCCCUAUUAGGAGGGAGUAAAGUACCUACGCUCUCAUGAGAUGAUAAUCUCCGUAAUGGCUAGUGAAAUACUCCCACUCAAAUUGAAUCUUUUUUGUUAGUAGCCUGUGAUGGGUGAGGAUUGGACUGCCUUACUAGUUUGUGAUGGACGAUGAUGUAAGAAACAAUUUGAGAACCUUUAGUGGUCAAAAUCACCUAACCUUGCAUAUAGUCACAUCUAAGAAGCCAGCCUUAGGAUAGAGCCUUUCCUACCUAAUUGAUAGAUAUAACCUGAAAUUAGGACACAAGAAUGAAUAUUUUGUAUAUUGCUUAUCUAACUAUAUUGUUUGUCUGACUUUGUGCAUCUACAUCAUUUUAUUCUAUGCAUCAUUUUUCUGCUCAUGUUUUAACGUUAUCAUUUACAUUAUUCUCAUAUAGGAAAUAUAUGUCACAUAUAAGUUAUUGUUAAAUCAAAUCUCACAUUUACAUCUAUAGAAAGCCAAAUGCAAUCAAAGUCUGUAUCAAUUCGCCAUGAAUCUGUUCAUCAAUUGAAAAUUAAGUCAGAGGAAGGUUAAAGAAAAUAGGGUGAUUGCUUGCCUGAGGGUUUUAUUUCAUCAUUUCCCAAGAGAAUUCAUCUCGACCUCCAAUAGAAUGACUUGACUGACUUAAACAAUAUCUAGAGAUGCAUGAAUAGAGCAAGGCACGAGGUAUUUGAGAACAAAUAUAGGGACAUAGCAUCAUUGCUCUAAGUGGAUGUGGACAAUAAUCUAAUUAGAGCCAUUAUUCAAUUUUGGGAUCCUUCUUAUAGGUGUUUCAUCUUUAAUAAAGCAAACAUGGUGCCCAUAAUUAAAAAAUAUAUAGUCUUACUUCGCCUUGAUUUGUCAAACCCGGAUAAGAUCUACUGGUCAAAUAAGGUAAGUUAUCGUAAAAAAUUGGUGCAAAUGCUUGGACUUAGCCUGCCCCAAGUUGAUGCAUAUGUCAAGAUAAAAGGUUAAGGUAAGGCUAUCCCAUAGAGUUUUCUGCAAGAUUUUAUCCAAAGGCAUAUGGAUGAUGAUCAGGGGUUAGUGGCCAUGACUAUAGCUCUAUAUAGACUGAUGGUCUUCCCAAAAGUCAUCGAGUAUAUUGAUGUCAUAAUGAUAAACUUUGUUAAUCAGCUAGCAUACUAAGUCAAUGCAGCUCCAAUCAUUUUAGCGAAAACCAUUCGCUCCUUGAAAUUUUGCCAUAAAAAUGGUAAAGGUCAAUUUAAUGGAUGCUCACAAUUGCUCUAUGUAUGGAUAAAAGGUCAUAUUAAGUGUGAAGAAAGCCAGUUUCAUAAACGGUGCCUAUAUUCUAGCAUUUCAAUCAAAGAGUUUUGUAACAGCACAUGGCCUAAAGCAAAGUCAAAAGAAUAAUGGGUUUCAUACUUUCGGACCCUUGAUGGUCAAGGGAUAGUCUGGAGAGCACCUUAGAUGCGUUAUGACACAAAAUUGUAUAGUUAUGGAAAUCAACUUUGAGUGUUUCUAUUAGGCCUGUGGGGUGCUAUUACUUAAGCCCUAACUUUGGUGAGAAAAUAAUUCGGAUGUGAAAAAUUUAUUCCAGAAACCCAUGGACUUAGCUAAUGAGAAUUCUCUUUCACAGAAAAAAGGGCGUAUGGAAUGAUUGAAAAGAUAAAAAAAAACAUGAAAGCAAACUAUCCGAGUUGACCAAGGGAGGUUCACCUACAACAUCACCCCAUAAUAUAUUGUGUGGCAUGCAAGGAGGGGUAAAGAUAUUGUACUUCCUCGAGAGUAGUUAGACAACCAGUUUUUAAAGUCGAUCCCUCAAGACCCCUGGUUCAAAGUGAAAACAGAUAAAAGGAAACUCCAAACCGAGAAAGAUGAGUUGGAAUAAAAAAAUGAACAAUUAAAGCUGAAAUAUAAUAAAGCUCAAAGCUUCGAAAAUAGGAAAUCCAAAACCUCAGAGCAAAAAGAUUAAUGGAAAGCCUUAUUCAAUGAUCUGGACAUGACACAUUCAUCAGUCACGUUCGAGCUUGCUCGACUAUUAAAAAAAAUGAAUUACUAAAAGUGAGGGUGGAAGAAGGAUAAAAAGCCACUACUAGGGCACAUAGACAUAGUCAAUGAUACAAAAGAUAGUGGAUCAAUGCACAGCAUAAGUAGAAGCUUUGUCUAAUAAAUACAGAAAACAAGCUAAACGGGGUGAGCUAUGAAAGGACAUGUAUACAGAAAAACAAAUGCAUCUAAGGCACUUGUUCGAUCAGUUAUGCGUUGUUACAGUCAAGGCAUCAAAAAUAGAAGAAAAAAUGAAAAAUUUAAAGGUUGUGGUGCAACCAGUGGGAGCUCAUGGCCAAUAAUUGCUUGGUUUCCUAAAUGAGACACAAAAUCAUUACCAGCAAGCUAAAAAAUUUAUAAAGGCAUUAGAAAUAAUGAUGCAUAGGACUUUAAGAUACUAUUAUGGCUUUAUUAGGAUGUACUUUUAAAAUUUUAUUUGAAAUUAAGAUUUUUUAUCAAUAAUGAUGAUGUGGCAAAUAUUAGUAUAUCCCAUUCAUGCAUUUGCAUAUUAAACUUACAUGUAUAAUUUCUAAUAAUCAUAUAAUUAUGGUACUCAAGGUUCAAGGAUAGCUCUAUCCAGCAGAAACCCCAUUCAUCGAUAUAACACAAAAGCUAGAGCUAGACAAAUGGAAUAAGAAAACUCUCAUCGACUUGAAAAGAUAGAAAAGGCAUAGGAAAAGCUUGAAAAUGAGUUGAGUAAGAUUAUGGAUACUCUUAACAAGUUAAACAAAGGAAAAGGGAUAGAAGAUAACACAAACAAACAGGGCCUUUCAUCAUAAGAAAUGGUCGACCCUCUAUAUCCUCUCGGGUUUAGUCCACAACAAGCCCAGUCCACACAGGAUAUAUCGCCAUAGUAGUUUACAUAUCUUGUAUACCCUGGAAUGUCAUCAGUUUCGAACCCAUGGUAUUACCAUAGCUAUGUGAAUCCUAUCUUUACUGAAAAGAUAAUAGAACCGAUCCAAGUUCUCGAUCUAGAUGACUUGAAAGAAAAAAAGAAAAAAAAGACAAAAAUGGUUUAAUCUCAGGAAGACUCGAAGAUUAGUAUGUUCAAACAAAAGUUAUGGGUUGUGAAAGGAAUUGAUUUUUAUGGUUCUAUCGAUGUUGCUGGGCUUUGCUUAGUCUCGAAUGUGAUUAUUCUUCUAAAGUUCAAAGUACCAAAAUUUAAGAAAAAUGAUGUUAUGAAGUGCCUAAAUACUCAUAUUACCAUGUAAUAUCAGAAGUUGGCAGCCCAUACCCAUAAUGAAAAACUACUAAUGCAUGUUUUUUAAGAUAACCUCACUGGCUCCACUACUAGGUGGUAUGUCUAAUUGGACAAAAUUCGUAUCUGUACUUAGAACGAUAUGGCUCAUGACUUUAUUAGUCAAUACCGACAUAUCAUAGACUUAGCUCCUGAUCGUUUGUCUUUGUAAAAUAUGAAAAAAAAAUUAAAUGAAUCAUUCAAAAAAUAUGUCCAGAGGUGGAGGGAUGUAGCCUCUCAAGUGUAACUCUUCUAAUUGAAAAGAAAACUACAAUAUUGUUUGUUAGCACCCUAAAAUCUCCCUAUUAUGAAAAGAUGAUAGGGAAUGCAACAAAAAAUUUUGCCAACAUGGUAAUCUUGGAUGAAAUCAUAGAGAAUGUCAUUAAGAAUGGUAAGUUAGAAGGAGAGAAAGCAUCAACUAAGAGAACCCUAAAAAAUAAAGAGACUGAAGCUCAAGCUAUAUGUGGGGCACAUGUCAGUGGACAUAUGAUGGUGAGACAGGUCAUGAGAACAGAAUACUACUGGUUGACAAUGGAGAGUAAUUGCAUUGACUAUGCUUGUAAAUACCAUAAAUGUCAGAUAUAUGCUGAUAAGAUUCAUGCUCUGCCAUCUGUUUUACAUGUUAUGGCAUCACUUUGGCCAUUCUCAAUGUGGGGCAUGGAUGUCAUUGAUCUUAUCACCCCAAAGGUUUCUAAUGGGCAUAGAUUUAUUUUUAUGAUGAUAGAUUACUUCACAAAAUGGGUAGAGAUAGCAUCAUAUGCAAAUGUAACAUGAUUUAUGGUUUGCAAGUUUAUAAAAAGAGAGAUUAUCUGUAGAUAUAAACUUCUGAAAAGAAUUAUUUCAGAUAAUACCAAGAAUCUAAAUAGUAAGAUGAUGCAAGAAAUAUAUGCUCAAUAUAAGAUCAAGCAUCAUAACUCGGCACCAUACCGUUCAAAAAUGAAUGGGGCAGUUGAGAUAGUCAAUAAGAACAUAAAAAAUUUUUUUAAGAAGAUGACUGAGACUUAUAAAGAUUGGUAUAAGAAGUUACCAUUUACACUGCAUGCAUAUCGAAUAUCAGUGCGUACCUCUACUGGGGCAAUCUCAUUUUCUUUGAUUUAUGAGAUGGAAACUAUACUACUAGUGGAAGUGAAGAUCUCAUCCUUAAGGGUUAUAAAAGAAAUUGAAUUGGAAGAAGCUGAAUGGAUUCAAAAACACUAUGAACAAUUAAAUUUCAUAAAAAAAAGAAAAUUGGCUGCAUUGUGCCAUGGUCAGCUAUACCAAAGAAGAAUGAUGAGGGCUCAUGAUAAAAAGAUUCAACCCUGUUACUUUCGAGAAGAAGAGUUGGUCUUGAAGAGAAUCCUCCCAACCUAGAAUGAUAAUAGAAGAAAAUAGACUCCGAAUUGAGAAUAAUCGUAGGUGGUGAAACAAGUUUUCUCGGGUGGAGCACUGAUACUGACUGAGAUGGAUGAAAAUAAUUUAUCACAUCCUAUAAAUUCUGAUGCUGUGAAAAAAUACUAUGCUUGAAAAAAAAAAUAAAAAAUGAAAUGAAAAAAAUGAAAAAGAAAAAAAUGAAAAGAAAAAAGAAACAAGAAAAGAAAAAGUGAAUGAAAAAGGAGGACUCAAGGCGAAAACCCUAAAAGGACGGUUUGAGUCAUAGGGGGUUUAUUAAAGUUAAAAACCUAAAAAGACAACUUAGAUAAGGAGAAUACAGCAUCAAGUUUGAAAAUCCGUUGGCAUGAAGACUAGCAAAUUCGGAGGAGCUCUAAGUUGUUGAAUGCAUUGGAUGGUUGAGUUUUCAUAAAAACCUUGAGAUAUGUUAUCAGGAUUGUCCAAUUGUUCAUUUUUGGGCAUUAUCUCCCCAUACUUAUCCUUGUAAUCCUUUCUUGGCCAAAGUUUGCCAACAUUUUACUAAUGAAAGACAUUCUAUUUCACUCUUUGUGUGUCUCUUCUGUUGACUGUUUCUCAACCAUUCUUAUUUUUUUCUUCUUAAUACCCUACAAUGGAAGAAAUGUGCAAAUGCAUUCUUACUUUUUGAGUUUGGAAUAAUGAUUAAUAAAUGAACAAUGGCAUGAAAGAUUUUUUCAUUACAUUGGAAAGGUUAAGAAUGAUAAAAAAAAAUUUGAGAUGUUUAGUUUCCAAUAAGGACAUUGAAUUUGUAAAGAGAUUGCCUGCAGAAGGGAUACUAGAAUUAAAUGAAAGAGAGGAUUAAAAGUUACGUUGACUUAGUCUUUGAAGAACAAAGGGUUUGAUGCCUAAGAAAAGAGCUUGAGAAACUUGAGUACCACAAUUGAAUAGGAAUUAAUUAGCCAACAUUUGCAUAGCAUGCAUUGAAUCUCGCAUGCAUUGCAUAGCAUAUACUACAUUCAAGAAAAUAUAGUGCAUAAAUUCAAGAAGCAAGGGUAUUCCAACAUCCCACAUAGAGAAGACAGAUGUGAAGACAUUUUCAAAUUUGAGAAAAAGCUUUUCAGGCAAGUUUAUAAUCCUUGAAAUAGGAUGUCUCUCGGUAUCAAGGUUGAUUUGUAAAACCUUUGGGAAUAAUCUCCUGAAAUUCUUUCAAACAUGAUUUUCAACUCCUUUGGACAUGAUUGUCAAUGAGCAAUUUAUUUUUCAAAUUUGUGAUGCCUCUGUUUAGAGAAGCAACCUAUUUUUCAAAGUUGUGAUGCCUCUAAUUAGAGGAGCAAUUUACUUUUCAAAAGUCGUUGAGCCUCUGUUUAGAGGAGCAAUUUAUUUUUCAAAAGUUGUUGAGCCUUUGAUUAGAGGAGCCUUUUAUUUUUAAAAGUUAUUAAGCCUUUGUUUAGAGGAGCUUUACUAUCUUUUCAAAAGUCGUUGAGCCUCUAUUUAGAGGAGCUUUAUUUAUUUUUUCAAAGUCAUUAAGCCUCUGCUUAGAGGAGCCUUCGUUUAUUCUUUCAAAGUUGUUGACUAUCUGUCAUUGAGCCUCUACUUAGAAGAGCUUUGAUCAAAAUUUAAAAAAAAAGUAAAAAAAAAAAAGUGUCAAGUUGAGUCUUGAAUGGGUGUAUGUCUUUGCACAAUUUCUGUUUCACAGAAAAUGUAUAAAGAGGGGCAGCUGUAGACACUCAAUUGGUCCAGGCCUGGAUCAAUUGGGCCUAGUCCAAAUGGGUAGCGCAUUUCAUUCUAUUUUAUUUUAUUUUUUAUUUUGUAUUUUAUUUAUUUAUUAUUACUAUUUAUUAAUAUAUAUUUAUUAUUUAUCUGUUAAUAUAUAUACUUUAUUAUUAUUUAUCUAUUAUUAUUAUUAUCUAUUAAUAUAUUAUCUUUAUUUUAUUUAUUUUUUUCUUUCUUUCUUUUUCUGCUUACCCUAUUGGAAUUGGGAUUAAGAGCAACUGAAAUCUAGCAUGAAUUUGGGGCUGGCGGAGUUGGGAUUGGAUUCAAAGAUUGAAUCCAAAUCCCAGAGGGAAUUGGGAUUGAUCAGAAACUCUUCUGAUCAAUCCCUAUAAAUAGAUGCUGGAAUAGAACAAAAAAAUAGACACUGAUAGAGAAAAUAAAUAUUAGGAGAGAGGGAGAGCAGAAGAGAAGAAAAAAGGCAUUCAAAAAAGUCAGAAACAAUUUCAAGAACUUUUUAGAAAAUUUGGGAGAAUUUUAGGCGAUUUUUUUCUGAAAAUUUUUGGAAAAUUUUCAGAUUUCGAUUGAAUUUUUCGAUAAAGUUUGAAUUUUUUGAUGAAUUUUUUGGCACCUGUUGAAUUUUUCGGCCAGCUAUCCAGUUUUCGGUAACUAUUUCCAGAAACUGACCAAAUUUUCAAUGAACUUUCGAUAAAAAACUUAGAUUUUGAUGAUAUUUUCCAGAAUCCAGUGAGAUUUAAUCGGAGUUCUUCAUCCGGGUAGAGAAAAAAAUGAGGAAAAAAAGGGAAAAGAGAGAGAGGAAAUGAGAGAUCUGCUGAAAAACAGAGGUUAUAGCCUUUUAUACCUAUUGAAAACGACGUUGUUUUGGGGUUACUAUUUCCAGAGGAUUCGCCCGUUUUGAAAUCGAGUGACCUAACCCGAGCAUCGACCUGCGUUUGACCCGUGUGUAACCUGAGUACGAGCCAUUUUUGAAGCCCAACCAAACUGACCCGAGUCGUAUCUCCUAGCCGUUUUCUUCCUUAAGUCGAGCCGAGUCGAGUCGAGCCACUAAGUCGAGCCGUUCGAAGGUUUUUUUUUCAUUUAUAUUAUUUAUUUAUUUAUUAUUAUUAUUAUUUAUUUAUUAGGUUAGAAUUAUUUAGUAUUUCUUAUUUUAUUUUAUUUUUAUCUUUAUUUUUAUUUUCUUUAAAUAAAAUUCCAAAAAAGUAUCAAUUUUUCUUAAAAAUAAGUUUUUCUAAAAAAUAUUUUUGAGGAAAGUUGAAAGUAUCAAUUUUUCUUAAAAAUAAGUUUUCUAAAAGAUAUUUUUGAGGAAAGUUGAAAGUAUCAAUUUUUCUUGUACGAAAGCAAUAAGUUUUUUUUUUAAGAGAAAAAGAUUUAUACCUAAAGCUGAAUCAUUUUUUUCUUUUUUUUUCGUUUUACUUCUUUUCCUUUUUGUUUUCUUGAAUUUUCUUUGAUGUAAAAUAAUCCGACGAUAAAGCCUCUGUAAGUAAAACAAUAGUCUCUUUGCAUACUCUUAAGGUGAGAAAAUUUUUUUAAUUUUCUACUAAAAGUAUUAGAGUUAAUUGAAAAUAAUUUUCAGUAGUUAAUUACUUGAUAAAUUUUUAAGGCUUAUUGGAUAAUACAAAAUUAAGCUGGUAUCAUCUUUCAAUGGGCGUUGUGAGGGUGCUAUAACCUUCCUCACACGUAAUCGAACUCUCGAACCCUAUUCUGGUUAGUAGACCUGAAUCUAUUCUUUUAGGGACUCUUAAGUUUAGGUGCUCUUUAAAAUGAUAGAUUCCUUAGGUGGCCAAUCGCACAUAGAUAAAAAAAAUUGGUGGCGACUCUUUAAGUCAAUGUCUAGCGAUAGAUCCCCGGAUCUAUCGUUAUGACACCUAAUUUUGGCCAACCCGCGUUCUAGCCAAACCUUUAGCCGAGCCGAACCGCCUGAGCCACACCUUCUAGCCGCUUUUGUGCCUCAAGCUGAGCCGUUUUAGCCGCAAGCUGAGCCAUUUUUUUGGUUUUUUCUUUCUAUUUAUUGUUAUGUGUUUGUUUUCUUUCAUAAUAUUUUUGCAUGAUUUAAUUUAAUAAUAAAUAAUAAAAUAAAUAAAAUAAAUUUUGUGAAUAAAUAUUAAUUAUCCAAUGAUGAAAUUUAUAGAAUUUUCAAAUGGUAAAUUUUCAAAUGGUAAAUUUUUAUGAAAUUUUUAGGUAAGAAAUUUUGUCUAAAUUUGUCCCAAAUGGUGGAAUAAUUUAAAUAAAAUUUUAAUAACAAUAAUUAAUAUUUAUUUUCAAUCCAAAAAAAAUAAUAAAAAAUAAAAAUUUGGGUUGAAAAUAUUUGAUAAUUAUUUAAUGAUGAAAUUCAUAGAAAUUUAGAUGAGAUUCUUAAAAAUUUCAAAUGAUAAAAUUUUAAGAAAUCUCUAGGUGAGAAAUUUUCUUUAAAUUUAAAUGGUGGAAGAAUUUAAGUGAAAUUUCAAUAAAAAUAAUUGUCAUUUUAUUUUCUUUCUAAAAAAAUAAAAAUAAAUAAAUAAAUAAAUAAAUUCUAAAUAGGUCUAAAUGGUGAAAAAUUUAGAAAUUUUGAAAAAAAAUAUUUUUUAAUUGACCCAAAUAAUGAAAAAUUUAGAAAUAAAUAAUAAUAAUAAUAAUAAUAAUUUCUAAAUAGGCCCAAAUGAUAAAAAUUUUAGAAAUUCAAAAAGAGAGAAUAUUUCUAAUUUAGCCCAAAUUGUAAAAUAAUUAGAUAUAUUUUCAAUAAGAAUAAAAAAAAUUAGACCUUUUUUCGAUGACGGAACCUCUUCAAAAAAAUAAAUGAAAAUUUUGAAUACUCUUGAGAUGAAAAAUAUUUUUAAAAAUUCUACCAGAUUGAUGGAGAAUCUUAAGAAUUAUUUUCAAUAUUUCGAUAUAAAAAUUAAAAUCAUUAAAAUCAAGACUUUAGGAUAAAUUUAAAAUGACACGGUACAUCUCAUCGGAUGGCAGUAGGGGUGCUGUAACAUUCUCCAUAUAUAACCGAACUCCCGAACCUAAUUUUAGUUAGUAGAUCAAAAUUUAUUUUUUUUAGGGACCUUUAAUCAAACUUAAGAGCUCUUUAAAAAAAUAGAUUUCUUCGGUGAUCAAUCACACAUAAAAAAAAAAAAAUUAAUGAUGACUCUAUUUAUUAAAUUUAAUUAUAUAUUCUCGGAUAUAUAUGUUAUGACAGGCAUCACAAUUCACAACCGAAGCUCUUGGUAGAUUGACCUGAUUAGAGUGCCCAUGUGCAUUAAUAUCACGGCAUGGAAAGGUAAAGCUUUUGCCACCAUUGAUGGCAUCCUUCGUUCAAUUGAUCUAUCGAAUUACAACUUAUUUUGUAAAAAAUAUAAAAAUAUAUAUAAUUUUAAAUUCCAAUCGUGUAAUCAUCUUUAGCGCUAAAAGAAGCAUAUUCAUAAAAUUUAAAAUUUAAUUUAAUUGAUUUUUAUAAUUAUUUUUAAAAAUAACAUUUAAUAAAUAUAUAAUUUAAAAUUUAAUACCUACAAUUUCUUUUAUUAUUUUCAAGUUACAACCUAUUUUGUAAAAAUAUGUAAAAAAAAAAAGAAGAAAAACAAAGAUAUAUUUUACUUAUGAGGUCAUGAAUAUUAAUAAAGACAAAGGUUUCCUGAUACAAUUUAAAUUUUUUUUUAAAACUUCAGCAAUACUUUCACUUAAAGGUCUUCACCAUUAAAUCCUAUAUAUAAUUCAAAGAUUUUACAAAAUUAAAAAAGAUAAACUUUCAUUGUCCAAAUCUCUUAUACGAUUUGCUCGAUUAGCAAUGACACAGACAUAUCAUAUACUUAAUUUUAUAAAGAAAAAGGAAAGAAGGAUGUUUAAGUAACAUCUCAUCCUUCUUUCAUUUUAUUUUUAUUUUUUUAUUUUUUUAUAUUUAACUUUUAUAUUUAGUUUUUUAACUUUAUUUUUUAUUAGAUGAUUAAUGGAGUUAAGAGAUGAUAGAAAAAUCUGUUUCUAAUUAAUUUUUAUUCGCAAUAAUUCAACAUAAAUGUGUUUUUUUUUAAAUUAAAAUUUAGUCGAGGUUUUUUUUUUUUCUUUUAAAUGUGAUUAGGUUAAAAAUGGAUUUAAAAUAUCCCAUUCCAACUUGAGUGUCCAUGGACACCUCAUUCUUUUUGUUUUUAUCAUUUUAUUUGUUUUUUAAUUUUUACAUUUUUUUCUUUUUUUAAAAAAUUAUUUUUAUUUUUAUUUUUUAUUAGAUAAAUUUUAUAAUAAAAAAUCCAUUGAGAUAGAGAAAACUAAAUAAUCUAUAUCCGAUAGGUUUAAAUUCAACUCGAUCUAAUUGGUGUGCUUUUUUUUUUUUAAUUUGAGAUAAUUUGGGUUGAGUUCUUUUAAAUCGAAUUCAAAUAAAAAUAACAUUUUGAGUAUUACGCCUCAACCUUAAUAUAUAAAAAUUAUUUUUAAUUAUUUAUUUAAUUCUAUUUUUAUAUAUUUUUUAUUUAAAAAUAUAAUUUAAUACUUUAAUUUUAUAAAAAUUAUAUUUAUAAAUAAUUAAAUUAUAAUUUAUAUUAAAAAUAAAUAUACUUAUAUUUGUUUAUACGUUGUCACCCAUUAAAAUUUGAUAUAAAAAUUUUACUUUUGUCAUUUUUAAAAUAUAAUUUAAAAAUAAAAAAUUAAUCUCACGUUACAAUGUGCGUCUAAUUCUAAUAUAUAUUAACAGUAACUAAUUCCUUUCCCAUUGACAAUGACCCCCACUGAUAAACAACAAAUUAGACUAAACAAACCCAAAUUAAUGUAAUUAAUUUAGUGCAAUAAUUUAUACAAUGGAGAAAGUGAAACAAAGGAGUUGUUAAAUGUGAACCUGAGUUAAAUAUUAGUAUCAUAUUUAAUAUUUUAGAUGAAAAAGUAAUCAUAUAAACAACAAUAACGCAAAAGAAUGAUUUGAUGGAAAAAAGUUGAAGCAACUUUCUUUCUUUCCUGUAGAAUAGAUUUAUUAGAAUUAGAUGGUUUUGGUUACUUUAGAAUGGUCAUUGGCCAGUUGGAGGGCGUGACCUUUCUUCUCCGUUCGUUGGAUUUUUCCUCAUUCUAGAAAUUAAUUAAUAAUAUACUCCCUUCCAUCACAUAUUUUAAUCUAGUAAUUUUCGUGCAAUUUAAGAAAAAAAUUUUAAUUUUAAUGUUUUUUUAAAUUUGAUGUGCCAUAAAUUUUAAUAUAAAAAAAUUUUAAAAAAAAGUUAAAAAAUUAUUUUGGAAUAUUAAAAAUAAGAUUUAAGUGUUAAAAAACAUUACCUUAAGUCAUUAAAAAAAUGAACAAAGAAUGAGUAUACAAUUAAAUUAGUAAGUCUUUUCUUUGCAUAGGGAAUUUUAGCAUAGUUGAUUGGUUUCAUUGACUUCCUACGUCAACUUGACCCAGUCAUUUGCUCUUAAAUUAGUGAUAUAUAAUUUGAUCAAAAUAGCCAUGUGCUUCAUAAUUAAGCUGGUCAAAAUUGGAUGAAACAUGACAUGAGUUUAGAAAUAUAUUUACUUAAGAGUAAAACAAUAGUUACAUGAAGGUUUUGAGGCAAAUUAAGUUCACAAACUUUGAUUAAAUGAAAAUUAAAGUAAAAAAUUGAAAAGAGAAUAUAGCAGUAGAAUUUCAUGAUUUGACAAAUAAUAUUAAGAAUAAGUGAAAAUGAUAUCACAAUUAAAAAGAUUAUCAUAAUCAUUCAUAGAGAACAUUAUUUAAAUAAAAUCAAUUCAACAAAACUCUAACAAUCCACAAGUUUUUAUUUAGAUUUAAUUUAAUCUUCAUUUAAUCAUUUUGAUUAAAGAGUUUCACAAUUAAUGGAGCUAUGUUACCAAUGACCUAAAGGUUGUAAGUCCUUUUAACAGAGUUUCAUUGGCUAACUUUUAGUUAUGUUCUUCUCUGUUUGGUUCCACUUAAUAAAUAAAUAUAACGAAAAAAAUGAAAAAAAUAUCAAUGAGUUUAGUUUAAUUGGAUCACAUAACAAAUUUGAAUUUUAAAUUUCAAUACUUAUAAUAAUAUUUUUUUAUUCUCAAGUUGCAACUGUUUUUGUAUAAAAAAUAUUAAUGAAUUAAUGCUUCAUUGAUUUUAGGUUUGACUCCACGCGUUUUGUCGUUUUGGCUCCACGUCGUUUUGGCUUUAAGUUAAUCAGAGGAUCCACGUCAUUUUGUCGAAACCCGACCUGACCCGAGCGUCGACCCAUUUUUUGACCCGCGCGUGCCAGCCCUCCUCCGAGCCGAGUCAAGCUGCCAAGCCGCUCCCCUCGAGCCGUUUCCCUGCCUUGAGUCGAGCCGAUAGCCGAGCCGCUCCAGGUUUUUUUUUUUUAUUAAUUAAUUAAUUAAUUUAUUAGAUUAGGUUUAUUUAAUAUUCUUUUUAUCUUUAUUUUAUUUUUUUACUUUUCUUUAUUUUUUUUAUUUUAUUUUUAUUUAUUUUUAUUAUUAUUCUCUUUUCUUUAAAUAAAAAUAAAAAAUUCCAAAAAAAAAUAUUUUUAGAGAAAAGUUGAAAGUAUCAAUUUUCCUUAAAAGAAAAAUAAAUUUCCAAAAAAUAUUUUUGGGGAAAAGUUGAAAGUAUCAAUUUUCCUUAAAAGUAAAUUUUCAAAAAAAAGAUUUUUGAGGAAAAGUUGAAAGUAUCAAUUUUCCUUGAAAAUCGAAAUUUUCAAAAAAAAUAUUUUUAGGGAAAAGUUGAAAGUAUCAAUUCUCCUUAAAAAUAAAUUUUCAAAAAAAGAAUUUUUAGGGAAAAGUUGAAAGUAUCAAUUUUCCCUACACAAGAACAAUCAUCAUUUCCUUCCUUUCUAUUUUGAUUUUGAUUUUGAUUUUUCCUUAAUUAAUCCGACGACGAAGCCUCUGCAAGUGAAGCAGUAGUUUUUCUUGCAUACUCUUGAGGUGAGAGAAUUUUCUCAAUUUUCUGCUAAAAGUAUUAGAGUCAAUUGAGAAUAAUUUUCAAUAAUUAAUUACUUGGUAAAAUUUUAAGGCUUUUUUAGAUAACAAAAAUUUAAGCUGGUACCAUUUUUUGAUGGGCGUUGUGAGGGUGCUAUAACCUUCCUCACACGUAACCGAACUCCCGAACUCUGUUCUGGUUUGCAGACCUGAACUUAUUCUUUUGGGGACCCUUAAACUUAAGUGUUCCCUAAAAGGAUAGAUUCCUUAGGUGGCCAAUCGCACCUAGAUAAAAAAGAUUGGUGGCGACUCCCUAAAAGUCAAUGUCUAGCGAUAGAUCCCCGGAUCUAGACGUUAUGACAGCUUGGCGACUCCACUGGGGACUCUGAAAGUCAGGCCAGCAAAUAAUUUGUGUUAUCCAAAAGCCUAAUAAAAUUGAACCUUUUUGUAUAUAUGUGUUAUUAUUCAUUCAUGUUUAUUUACUUUGUUAAUUAUGUCAUUCAUGUGCAUGUGCAUAACAUGAGCUCUACACCCGAGCUCCGUCCCUCUAGGAGGGAGUAAAGUACCUAUUGCUUUCGUGAGGUCUAAUGCCUCCGCAGUGGCUAGCAAAAUACUCCCACUCAAAUUGAACCUUUUUCGCUUGUAGCCUGUAAUGGGUGAGGAUUAGGAUGCCUUACUAGUCUGUGAUGGACAAGGAUAUAAGGAACAAUUUGAGGACCUUUAGACUUUGACCCUUAAAACCACAUAUAGUGAACUUUAGAAGUGCCUAACCCAUAGAUAGAGCCAUCACUCUUCCCUGUUAGAAUUAACCAAAAGCAUAGGAUUCAUCCUUUUUACUUUGUGUGAUGUUUAAAUUUAUUUAGUUAUUUAUUUUUUUUCUGGGUAUACUAACCUUUUUUUUUCUUUUGCAUUGGUCCAUAUGCAUAUCAUAAAGUUACAUAAAGAACAUUUGCUUGAAAAAAGAUCUUCAACAAAUUUUUUCAUGGACGUCAAUAAACGCUUAGUUUAUUUUUCAUCAGUAUUAGCACCCUGUGGGACACCUAAUGAAGUAAGGGCCCAGUCAAAAAAAGCUCAACUGAAGAUGGGAGAUUGCUUGCCAAUUGGAUAUGAUUCUACUCUGUCUCAAGAAACAUCUAUCCUCCUAAAACAGAAUAAUUUAGAGGAUUUGGUUGAUAUCUGAAAGAAGAUGAGUCCGUCAAAACAAGAGCAGUUUUGUCAGAAACACGGGCAUAUAACACACCUCCUAGCAGUGGUUGUUGAUGAUCAACUAAUUAGAGCUGCAACACAAUUCUGGGAUCCUACAUACAAGUGUUUCAUCUUUAACGAAGCUGAUAUGACUCCCACCAUAGAAGAAUAUUCAGUUUUGUUGGGUUUGCAUCUCAAGACUCCUGACAAGAUAUAUGUAAAAAAACAUAAGUCAGGAUUUCGUAAAAGUCUGGCUCAACUCAUGGGGAUAGACAAGGAAGUUGUGGAUUCUCACACAAAGAAGAAACAAGAACAGAUUUGCCUACCUUGGAAGUUCUUUCAUGAGUUUCUGAUGCAACAUGCCAAUGAAGAACGGGGGUUAGACAUAUUUGCCUUGGCUAUAUACGGACUGGUGAUCUUCUCAAAGGUUUUGGGACAUAUUGAGAUAGCGGUGGUUGAUUUCUUCGAGAGUGUGAUCAAUGGUUGUAAUCCUUCAACGGUAAUAUUAGCAGAGACUAUCAGAUCUUUGAGUUAUUGUCGUCGGAAUGGAGGGCGCUUCAUAGGAUGCAUACAGUUAUUGUACGUGUGGAUGAAAAGCCAUUUUGAACAAGAAAAUGGUGCUUUCUCAAAGAUUUACAUCCGUAAUCGUUUUUCGAUCAAAGAAUUCUACGAAAGUGGGUGGUCAAAACGGAAGUCCAAACAAGAAUGGAUAACUUUCUUACAAAAGUUGAAAGGUACCAGGGUGAGAUGGUUAGCCCUAUGGAUGAAUCGAGAGCCUAUGUUAUACCAAUGUGGGGAUAGUACAGUGGUUCCACUUCUGGGUUUAUGGGGAGUGACGAAUUAUGCACCACUCCUAGUGAAAAGGCAAUUGGGGGGAGAACAGUUCAUUCCUAUGACUUAUGGGCUUCAUCAGUUAGAUUUCUCUUAUAAUGAGCCUAAAGCAUUUCAGAGGAUGAAUGAGAUGAUCAAAGCAUGGAAAAAUCCUCAAAGAGUGAGUCCACGACCAUUCACUGAAAAAGUCACCCCAGGUUACUUGGUUUGAAGAGCAAAGAAAAGACAAGAAAUGGUAUUCACUUAUGAAAUCUCUCAACCACUAACAGAAGAAAAACUUGAAGAGACACCAUCAGAGUUAGAGCUGGUAACAAAAGAAUUUGAGUUUGAAAAGACCAAGUUAAAGAAAGAGAUUCAGGAACUUCAAGAAGAAAAAGCCCAAUGAAAAGGUAGAGCCGAAAGCUAUGAAGUCAAAGUUCACAAGAUUGCUAGAGAACGUGAUACAGCUACUGAAGAUCUAACAAGGUUACACCAGGAACAUAAGAGGCUAUGUGUGAGAGAAAGAGCCAAAGAGAUACCCAUUGUCGAGUUGACUGAGGAAAAUACAAGACUAAAACAAGAGUAUGACAAAUUGGAAGAAGAACGUACCAAAGCACAGGCAGAAAUUAACAUGCUAAACAGUUAUUUGAGCAGCCUAAGUCAAAGGUUGGAUGAACAAAGAGACCACAUCACUGCAUUGGCUAGAGAACAUAGAGAAUUAUCAUACCAAGUCUGGUGUGGUAAAAGAGAGAACCUAGGAAGGCAGAAAUACAUUGAGCACCUAACAACCCAAAUUCAUAAAGGGGUGUGUAAGGCAAGAGAGAUGGUGAAAGAGGCAGAAGCAUUAAGACAAGUAAUGGCCCCAGUAAGAGAACAUGGACAGCGUCUGUUGAACUUCAUAGAAGAAGCUAAGGCCCAGUAUGAACAGAUCAAACAAUUUUAUGGCUAUAAUUCUAGGACGAUAAACUCAAUGUAGAUCAAAAUUUUUUGGAAUAAAUGAAAUUUUUUAGUUGAAUACCGUUUUAAGGCAAAUGUUCUUUGCAUACAUGCAUUUUUCAUUCAUUGCAUUCUCAUUCAUUACAUUUAACAAAGUAACCAUAUGAUGAUCAUGCCAAUUUACUAAUUCUGAGAUAUGGUACUCAAAGUCCCAGGAUAGCUCCAUCUAGUGAAAACCCUGCUCAUCCAUACAACACAAGAUCCAGAGCAAGGUAAAUGGAGGAAAAAAAUUCUCAUAGAUUUUAAAAGCUAGAAAAAGCACAAGAGAAGAUUGAAAGUGAGCUAAGCAAGAUUCUGAAGGCUCUUAAUAAUAUGAAUAAAGGAAAAAGAGUUACAGAAAGUACAAGCCAGCAAAUUCCCCCAUUACAAGAAGUGGCUGAUGCUUUAUACCCUCCAGGUUUUGGCCCACCUCAGGCCCAGUCUGCCCAAGAGGUCCCCCCAUAACACUUCUCAUAUCCAACAUAUCCUGGAAUGCCAUCAGCUUUCAACCCAGGGCAGUAUAAUAGCUAUAUAAAUCCUGUCUUCACUGAAAAGGUAGUAGAACCAAUUCCUGACCUAGAUGACUUAAAGGAGAAGGAAAAAAAAAGAUGAGAGUGGAAACUGAAGAAAGUUCCAAGAUUAGCAUGCUAGAGCAAAAGCUAAGGGCUGUGGAAGGAUUUAGCUUUUAUGGGUCAGUUGAUACUGCUGGGCUCUGUCUAGUUCCUGAUGUGGUUAUUCUCCAUAAGUUUAAAGUAUCGAAAUUUGAAAAAUAUUACGGUACAAAAUGCCCCAAAACCCACAUCACCAUGUAUUGCAGGAAUAUGGCAGCUCAUGCACAUGAUGAAAAACUCUUGAUGCAUGUUUUCCAGGACAGUCUUAUUGGCUCUGCGGCCAGAUGGUAUGUUCAGCUAGAUAGGACUCGCAUUCGCUCUUGGAGCGAUAUGGCACAUGACUUUAUCAGUCAAUAUCGACAUAUCAUCGAUUUGGUCCCAGAUCGUUUGUCUUUGCAGAAUCUGGAGAAAAAGGUAAAUGAGUCUUUUAAAGAGUAUGCCCAGAGGUGGAGAGAUAUUGCUUCUCAGGUACAGCCUCCUCUGAUCGAGAAAAAAACUACAGUGCUAUUUGUUAGCACUUUAAAACCUCCCUAUUAUGAAAAGAUGAUAGGGAAUGCAACAAAAAAUUUUGUUGAUAUGGUAAUCUCGGGAGAGAUCAUUGAGAGUGCCAUCAAGAAUGGUAAGCUAGAAAGAAAUGAAGCAUCUGGCAAAAGAAUCUCGAAGAAGAAAAAAAUUGAAGCUCAGGCUGUGAGCUUUGAUAGAUAAUAGUUUAGAGGUUAUUCACCCUACCCCCCACCAGAAUAUCAGCCAUAUCACCUUAUUGUAAAUAACACUUGCUUUCACCUAUACCAACCAUUUACACAACCACCAUACCCCCAAACCUAUCAAACCUCUAAUAGACCCCAAAAUACCAUGUACAGUCCUAACAUUCAACCUGUCUCAAGACCAUAAAAUCGCCCAACUAACCCUACUGGUGGCUCGCUUGAGCAACGAACCACUCGUGAGAAACCUAUUUUUGACCCUAUUACCAUGACCUAUACGAAAUUAUACAAGGAGCUCUACAACAAUCACUUUAUUGCUCCAAGUAAAUUAGAACCCCUUAAGCCACCCUACCCUAAGUGGUAUGAUCCCAUCGCCCACUAUGAUUACCAUUAUGACAUUGCUGGUCACUCCACCGAAAAUUGCACUACCCUAAAAUACAAAGUGCAACGGUUGAUUAAGGAUGGGAUGAUUUGUUUUGAUACUGGAGGGAUGACUACGCCAAAUGUUAGUGGCAAUCCUUUGCCAACUCAUAACGUGAAUGCUAUAGGUGAAGAACAGGAGCGCCAUGUGAAGAAGGAAGUGGCAGAUAUUAAGACACCCAUGGGCCAAUUGUUUGAUGUUUUACAAAGAGCAGACAUGAUACAACUGGUAAGCUUACACAACUAUCACGGAGCAUAUAUAGCUGGUACCAGUUGUAAGUAUCAUAGUGGGGCAAUGGGCCAUUCCCUUGAAACCUGUGAGCAGUUUCACCAGGAGGUGCAAAGACUCUUGGAUUCAUACCAAAUGGAGGUCUAUGAAAAAAAAGAAAACCUGAAGAAUACUGAGGUGUACAUGACUGAUAGGCCUGAAAAGAUGUUUCCCAAACCAGUGACAAUUCAGUGUGGGAACAAACCAAAGUCAGUCAUAGAUAAACUCUUUCCCAGGCCAGUAACUUUUAAAGUCCUAACUCUUUUCCCAUAUAAAAAUGAUAAAGCUGUACCCUGGAGAUAUGGCUGUGACACUGUAGUUCAGGGACAAAAAAAAGAGGUCUCCAAAGUCGAUGCUUCCAAUAUUACUAGUGUAUGAGGCAUUACUCGAAGUGAGAGAUGUUACACCCUAAAAAUGCUAGAGAAGGCUAGAAGGGAGAAGGCUAAAGAAGGAGAAAGACAAAAUAAUCCAGAGAUAGAACCUGAAGAAGAUCAACCAAAGCCAGUAUCAGAAAGGGAGGUUUGUGAAUUCCUGAAGCUGGUAAAACAUAGCGAAUAUUCAGUUGUGGAACAGUUGAAUAAAAUGCCAGCUCAAAUCUCAUUGUUAUCACUGUUGCUGAACUCAGAGCCACACCGAAAUGCCUUGCUGAAAGUGUUGAAUCAGGCAUACGUGGCACAUAACGUGUCUGUCGAAUAUGUGAAUCACCUGGCUGGAAACUUAGUCAUGCCAAAUCAUAUUUCAUUCAGUGAUGAUGAGAUUUUUUUGAAGGGAAAGAGAAAUGCCAAGGCUCUGCAUACCACAGUCAAGUGCAAGAGCCAUAUCAUAGCUAAAGUCCUUAUCGAUAAUGGUUCUGCCAUCAAUGUCAUGCCUAUGUCAACUUUGGCAAGGCUACCCAUUGAUUAUUCUCAUAUGCGGGAUAGUCAAAUGAUUGUGAGAGCCUUUGACGAGACCAGAAAAGAAGUCCUGAGAGAUAUUGAGAUGCCAUUACAAAUUGGGCCAUGCACCUUCAAUGUAAAAUUUCAAGUGAUGGACAUCUCUCCGUCCUACAGCUGUUUAUUAGAAAGACCAUGGAUUCACAUGGCAAGAGCUGUGCCCUCUACUUUACAUCAAAAGAUCAAGUUCAAUGUAGAAGGUCAAUUGGUAAAAGUAGUUAGAAAGGAAGACAUGCUGAUGACUCAACCAUUGAACACUCUAUAUGUAGAGGCUGCUGAAGAAGCAUUGGAAUGCUCCUAUCGGUCUUUUGAAUUGGUCAAUACUGUAAGUGAAGGAUUUCAAAGUCAGUCUUUUUCAAAGAUAGUGGUGAGCCAAAUCAUCAACAAAGGUUGGUAUCCAGGACUUGAGCUAGGCAAAAAUUUACAAGGAAUUAAAGAACCUCCGACAAUAACAGACAAUAGCGACAGGGUGGGCCUAGGCUAUGAGAUGGCAGAGUGGGAAGUCAAAAGAAGGCCAUCAAGAAAGACACCAAGACUGAUGUUUAUCCCACAUUUAUAUGAAACCUUCAGACCUGGAGGAUUCAUGAACCCAGAUGCAAGGAAAAGUGUGGAAAACGAUUUUGCCCAGUUAACCAUUAAUGCUGUUAAAGAUGAAGUGAGGGUUAAUCAAGAGGAGUGGGUUCGCCUUUGUCCACCAGAUUAUGAGCUAAACAAUUGGAGUGCCAUCAAAAUGCCUUUGACUUUUGGUUUUGACACAAUGUAAUUGUAACAUCUCAAUAGCUUUUGCCCAAGGCUAUGGGGUGAUCUUUUUUUAUUUGGGCCAUUCAUCAUUUAUUAUUUUUAAUAAAAAAAAAUAGAAAGGAUGCAUUUUCAUUCAUUUCUUUUUAUGCCCUCAUUAUUUUCAUCUUUCCAAGCACAUCUUACCAACAUAUCCCAUUUCAUUCAAUUUCAGGUCUUUAAAUGAACAUGAAGAUAAUCAUGAUAACAAUUAAGAGGUUAGCUUUGAGAAUUUGAUUAAUACUGAUGAACUUGACAACGAAGAGAAUUCUAAAGAAUAUGUUAUGCCUCCGGACCUAAUGAGGAUGAUUGAACAAGAAAAUAAGCCAAUUGAGCCUCAUCAAGAGGUAGUGGACUUAGUGAAUCUGGGAGAUGAAGAAAAUAAGAAAGAGGUCAGAGUAGGCACUUCACUUUCAUCUGAAGAUAGGCAAUGAUUGGCAGACCUACUUCAAGAAUUUAUAGAUAUAUUUGCUUGGUCUUACUAGGAUAUGUCAGGAUUGAGCACAGAGAUAGUAGAGCACAGAUUAUCCUUAAAGCCAGAAUGUAAGCCAAUUCAGCAGAAACUGAGACGGAUGAAGCCCGAAAUACUGCUAAAGAUUAAAGAAGAAGUGAAGAAACAAUUUGAUGCAGGUUUUCUACAAGUGGCCAAGUAUCCAGAAUGGGUAGUCAAUAUAGUCUCGAUUUUUAAAAAAGAUGGAAAAGUACGAAUGUGUGUAGACUAUCGGGACUUGAAUAAGGCUAGCCUAAAGGAUAACUUUCCUUUGCCUCAUAUCGACACACUGGUAGAUAACACAGCUAAACAUUCGAUUUUCUCCUUUAUGGAUGGUUUCUCGGGGUGUAAUCAGAUAAAGAUGGCUGCAGAUGAUAUGGAUAAGACUACUUUUGUGACCAUGUGGGGAACCUUCUGCUACAAAGUCAUGCCUUUUGGAUUAAAGAAUGCUGGGGCAACAUAUCAAAGGGCCAUGGUAACACUCUUCCAUGACAUGAUGCAUAAAGAGAUCGAAGUGUAUGUAGAUGAUAUGAUUGCAAAGUCUUGUGGGGAUGAAGAUCAUGUCACCAGCCUCAAAAAAUUAUUUGAGAGGUUGAAAAAAUUUCAACUAAAAUUAAACCCAGCCAAGUGCACCUUUGGGGUAAAGUCAGGAAAGUUGCUAGGCUUCAUAGUCAGUGAAAGAGGAAUUGAAGUCGAUCCCGAUAAGACACGGGCCAUUCAGAAUUUGUCACCUCCUAGCACACCAAAAGAAGUUCGAGGUUUUUUGGGGAGAUUAAACUACAUUUCUCGGUUCAUCUCUCAACUUACCUACAAAUGUGAUCCCAUCUUUAAGCUUCUCCGUAAAGAUAAUCCUGAAAAUGGAAUGAAGAAUGUCAAGAGGUGUUUGAUAAAAUUAAGCAAUAUUUAUCAAACCCUCCAGUAUUGGUGCCACCUGUUCCAGGGAAACCUUUAAUCUUAUACUUAACUGUAUAUGAAAAUUCAAUGGGAUGUGUGCUGGGGCAGCAAGACAAGGCUAGUCGAAAGGAGAAAGCUAUUUACUAUCUGAGUAAAAAGUUCACAGAGUAUGAAUCCAAGUAUUCUUCAUUGAAGAAAAUGUGUUGUGCAUUAGCGUGGACUGCCAAAACACUCAGACAGUACAUGUUCUACCAUACUACGUGGCUCAUAGCGAAACUAGAUCCCAUUAAGUAUAUCUUCGAGAAGCUUUCUUUGUUUGGAAGAAUCGCUAGAUGGCAAGUAAUGCUCUCGGAAUACGAUAUCAUAUACGUGAGCCAAAAAGCAAUAAAAAGAGGUGUUAUAGCAGAAUUUCUUAUAGAUCGUGCUACUGAAGAGUAUGAGCCGAUGAAGCUAGAAUUCCCUAAUGAAGACUUAAUGACUAUUUCUCAACUGGAGGAAAUGGAGCAUAAAUGUUGGAGAAUGUACUUUGAUGGAGCUGCUAAUGCUUUGGGGCAUGGAAUUGGGGCAAUUCUGAUUUCUCUGAAAGUAUCAAUUUUCCUUAAAAAUAAAUUUCAAAAAGGGUUUUUGAGGAAAAGUUGAAAGUAUCAAUUUUCCUUAAAAGAAAAAUAAAUUUCCAAAAAAUAUUUUUAGGAAAAAGUUGAAAGUAUCAAUUUUUCUUAAAAGUAAAUUUUCAAAAAAAGGAUUUUUAAGGAAAAGUUGAAAGUAUCAAUUUUCCUUGAAAAUCGAAAUUUUCAAAAAAAAUAUUUUUAGGGAAAAGUUAAAAAUAUCAAUUCUCCUUAAAAAUAAAUUUCCAAAAAAUAUAUUUUUAGGGAAAAGUUGAAAGUAUCAAUUUUCCUUAAAAAUAAAUUUUCAAAAAAAGGAUUUUUAGGGAAAAGUUGAAAGUAUCAAUUUUCCUUAAAAAUAAAUUUCAAAAAAAUAAUUUUUGGGGAAAAGUUGAAAGUAUCAAUUUUUCCUACACAAGAACAAUCAUCAUUUCUUUUCUUUCUAUUUUGAUUUUGAUUUUCAUUUUUCCUUAAUUAAUCCGACGACGGAGCCUCUGCAAAUGAAACAGUAGUUUUUCUUGCAUACUCUUGAGGUGAGAGAAUUUUUUCAAUUUUCUGCUAAAAGUAUUAGAGUCAAUUGAGAAUAAUUUUCAAUAAUUAAUUACUUGAUAAAAUUUUAAGGCUUUUUUGGAUAACACAAAUUUAAGCUGGUACCAUCUUUUGAUGGGCGUUGUGAGGGUGCUAUAACCUUCCUCACACGUAACCGAACUCCCGAACUCUGUUCUGAUUUGCAGACCUGAACCUAUUCUUUUGGGGACCCUUAAACUUAAGUGUUCCCUAAAAGGACAGAUUCUUUAGGUGACCAAUCGCACCUAGAUAAAAAAGAUUGGUGGUGACUCCCUAAAAGUCAAUGUCUAGCGAUAGAUCCUCGAAUCUAGACGUUAUGACAACUAUAAAUAUAAAUUUUUAAUUCGACAAAUAAUAUUAAGAGUGGCAAAUAUCUUAUUUUUAUUUUUAAUUUUUUUAUUUUAUUACAUAUAUCUUAAGAGAUAUGUGACACUUUUUAAAUUUUAUUUAUGAAAUUAAAAAUUUUACUAUAAGUGUUUUCCAUAAUUUUUAAUUUUUUUUUAUCAUUUAAAAGUUUUAGAAUGAAAAUGAAGCAUGGAUGUAAAAUAAUAAAAAAAAAGAAAUGAUUACUUCUAAGUUUUGAUUCUCUUAUGAAUCCACAUCAUUACCGAUAAAAAAUAUCCUCCCAAAUCUCAACUAUGAAUUUUAUAAAAUUAAAAAAAAAAAUUAUAAGUAUCAUUAAUAAACAAAAGGAACUAUUAUCAGCCAAUAGUUUAAAAUGAAUUUCAGACCACGUCGGGAGACUUGCAUGAAUAUAUCCAAAUGAUGUCUGAUUUUGAUUGUUGCCAUUAGCAGGCUGCCGGAAACUAACCAUUAAAUUAGAGACAAAUUUUGCAAAGAUCAUUUGACAAAUAAUUUUAAAUUUUAAUAUUCAUAAAUAUGAAAGAGACCAAAAUUUUGGAUCAGAAGAUAGGACUCCUAAUCUCUUGAGGUCAUAAAAUAAUGUUUAGAUUAAAACGUGACGCUCUUUUUUUUUAACAUAAAAUAUGGUGGGAAAUUUGCUACUUCAACUCUCAGGUCAUGAUGUAGAUGAUUUACUUAAAAUUUUCUACUCAAAUAAUAUCCAACAUGUAAGUAGAGAAGAAGAGAAGUAAUCUCGUUAUCAGUUGAUGUUAAUUUCGAGAGUGGAGUUGUCCUUUUCUGUUUCCGAGAGCCACUCUUUAAUUUCUACACCAUGUCUAUUUAUCCUUUCUUCACUUCGUUAAUUUGAGAGUGACUAUACAUGAUGUUGAUGAUGCUGACGAUAUUUGAAGGGUGUCACCUUAAUCACUAAAUUAUUCUUUGCAUGUGUCAAAGAAAAUGUAAAUUAUUUUCUAGAGAAUAAAAAUGUAAGUAUUUAUGAAGCAAGUUGAAAAGAACAAAUCAUAUUAUAUGAUACAAGGUCACUUUCCGCGCAUUACUGCGGGUUUAUAUAUAUAUUUUUAAUAUUGUAUUUUAUAAAUUAUACAUGCAUUUUUUUCUGUAAGCAUAAAUUAUAUGAUAAGAUAGGAUUUCUAUGGACAGAUACCACACCAAUCGAAUCAAUAAUGGAUUCCCCGUUGAGUCCAGCCACAAACUUCACCAUCUUACAACUCACUCCUACUUACCUUGGGGCAAGCACUGGGCAAUGAAUCCUUUCUCUCUCACCACCAAGAAUGCAUAGCAAUUUGCUAAAAAAAAAUACAAACUAACGCACAACAAACAAUAAAUACAUUUCUUUAAUAAAAAAAAAAAAAACAUGUUGAAAUUUUUUUGUAAGGACAGGUUUCAUCAAAAAUAGAAGAUGUAACUUGAAUACUUACUGUUGAAUUUGCUGCAGGCGGAUUCUCCCUAAUAACAUCAUUUACGUGCAACGUUUAAAACAUUAACAUGCUUAAGCAUAUUUGACAUCUUCCUUUCCAUAAUCCAUUAAUGUAUUUUUUAUUUAUUUCCAAUUAAAAGCAAAAUUGAGUAAUUAGGUACUGAUUGUCAUCUAUAUUUACGUAAUUAGGGAGUUACUAUUAAUUUUAAAUUAGUUUUAAGCUGUGCAAUAUACGGAUAUGCAAUUAUAUAUAUAAUAUAAUUAAUAAAUUUUAUAUAAAAAAUAAAAAAUUUCAAUGUAAAAUAAUAGAAAAAUAAAAAUAUUGUAGAUCAAUAUGUACCUAUAUAAUAUAAAGAAAAAUAUAUUGUAUCUUAUCUCAUCUAAUAGUGAUAGUUAUAUAAAUUUAAAUAAUAUUUGAUUUCAAACCAUAGAAAUUUAUUCCACUUAAAAUCAAUUUUUUGUAGAAACUUUUAUUUGGUGCUGCCCCUUGCUUUGGUGCAAGACAUCUAAAACUCCCAAUAACAACAACAAAUCCUCGUCUAGGCAGUGUUCAUUCUUGCAUUGUAUUCAUAAAGGUCAAAUAAUUCAAAUUGAAUUUGAAUUAUUUGGCGAAAGAGAUUGAAAUCAUAUAUUACAUAUUAAACAUGAAUAAAAUUGUAAAUGAAAGGUAAAUAGGAGAGCAAAGACUUGUGCCAAAUUCUAACAAACUUUAAACUUAACUAAAAAAUCUCACCUCGUUUACAUCCAUUAUUAAUCAUGAAAAAAAAAUCUGACAAAAUAUUCAAGGACUAAAAACUAAAAAGAGAUAAAACAUAUGAAAUUAUUCAAUUCAAAAGUUUUUUUUUUAAAAAUUAAUAUUGAAAAUGAAUAAAUAAAUAAAUAGAGUAUGAACAUCCAUAAAAAAGUGAAUAAAAAAGAAAUAAAAUCACCCAACAAGCAUGAUAAAGAAAAAAGUUUAUAAACAUAAAAAAACAUGUAACUUGGUGAUCAAAAUUUUCUUGAUCAUAAAAAAUCAAAACAUUUGGAGGGUUUUGAAGAAUAACCUCCUAGUACUUUCAGCAUACAUAAUUCUGUAUUUAUAAUAAGAGUUUGAGAGAUUUUUAUAAAUUCUGAGUAAUUUAUGCAAAAAUUAUAAUGGGUUAUUAAUUAUUUAUGUAAUAUAUCUUUUAUUUUGAAAGGUCCACACUUAAUAUUUUGAAAAUUUUUUGUAAGACAAUAAAUUAUACCAAUUGUAAUUAAUACUUAUAUAGAAAUAAAUAUGAAAAUAUGUUUCCAUCUAAUUAGACUUUUAUUUUAGGUUUGAAUUUUUAGCAUUAUAUGCCUUAUAUAUUCAUUUAAAUUAAUAAAUACAUAAAUUAUUUCUUAAUUAAAUACAAAAAUCAUAGUCAUUAAAUGGCCAAUGCUUUCAAAGCAUAUUUCUUAUUUAUAGUAUACGUGUUUGAUGUUUAAUAAAUUAUUUCUUAAUUAAAUAAAAAAAUCAUGGUCAUUAAAUAGUCAAUGCUUUCAAAGCAUAUUUCUUAUUUAUAGUAUACGUGUCGAUAUUUAAAAUUAAGAAUUGAAUUUGGUUGAAAAUUAUUUAAAAUAAUUUAAUUGUAACACAUUUAUAAAAGGCCAGAAUAUUGGAAAUUUAUAAGAAAAUAAACAACCUAAUUUAGCCAAAUAAAUAUCUUUUAAAUUAAUAAAAUGUAUAUGAAAUCAAAUCGAAAUAACUAAGUGUAAGAUACGUGACGAUUGUUUAAAACAAUUCACAUAUAAAAAAAAAGAUUAUCCACAUUGGAUUUUUUUUUUUUUUUUACCAAAAAUUUUGGUUUUUAUAUAUUUAUAUAAAAUGGGAUGCACAACUUAUUGAUUAUAACCUGUAUACAUAAAAUCUAACAUUAUAAUGUAAGAUUGAUUUAUACAAAAUUGAAAAGAAAAUAAAUAUAAUUAAUGCAUUGAAAUAUUUUAAAAUUUUUAUGAAAUCAAAUUAAUUUAUAUCAAUUUGAAAAGAAGUAAAUACAAAUAAAUAUAUUUAAUACAAGACAUGUGGCUAUUGAUAAAGGUUGUCCACAUCAUCCACAUUAAACAUUUUCCUUUUUUGCCCAAAGUUUUUAGCAUUUAUAUAUUUAUAUAAGAUUAAAUAAGAUGUAAUUUAAGAGUUUAAUAUUAUAAUUGGAAAAAGAGAAACAUAAAAUUUUUAUAUUACGAUGGCAGUUAAAGUUUUAUUACUUUAAUAUGAAUUUAAUUGAUAGUGAUUUAAAGUAAAAAAAUUAAUAAAAAUAAUUGUAAUUAAUUUAAUUUUUUAAAAAUAACUCAAAUAAAAUAAAAUACAUGAUGCAUGGUGAUUUUCAAGAUUGUUCCCAUGUCAAUAAUAUAGGUCAUCCACAUUGAAAAUUUUCUUUUUUUAUCAAAAGUUUUAGCUUUUAUUAAUUUAUAUAAGAUGAAUAAUACAUCAAAGAAUAAGAAAUAUUUUAUACUGAAGGAAAAAAAAAAAAGAAACUGCUCUCGUUUCAAUCACAACAGCACAAUUAUAAAGAGAAAUUAUUAAUAAGAAAAAAUUUCUUAUACUCCAAAUUUAAAAAUGGAAAAGCAAAAAUAAAACCCUAACUCCCUAAUGUGCUUAUCAAUAAAAAAGCGGAAAUUGUUGAUCCUAAUAUUAACAAACUGGCAAAAUUUUAAAUGAAGUUUUUUUGUGAAAUUUGUGAAAUUCUUUAUUAUAAACAAUUAAAUAAUAUUUAAAAUUGAAAAUAAAAAAUGAUAAAUUAAAAGAUUUUAUUAUAUAGAUUAAGUGUAUAAAUUUUUAAAAAAUUUUAAUAUAUUUUUUUAUAUAGAUAUUUUUAGUAAUAUUAAUAGAAUUUUUAACGAUGAAUAAGUGUCGAUCAAAUUUGAAUUAUAAACAACAUUUUUAAUAUUUUUUUAAUAUUAUUGAUUUUCAUAUUAAACUCUAUCAAUUUAUCAUUUUGGAUAUUUUAUUAAAAUUUUUAUUAAAUCAUUUUUUAAAAAAAAUUUCACAAAGUCCACCUAAAUAACUUCAUGUAAGUUUUGUCCUAACAAACUAUCAUUAAAAAAAAAGAUAAUGUCUUAUUUAACUCUUGAAAUAUUGUAGUUUGUUAGUUUUGAUAUCUAAACUAAAAAAAUUACUAAAUAGGUACCUAAACUCUCGAAUUGUAUAUCUAUUUGAUUCUUGAGUCAACUCCAUUAGAAGAGUUAUUGACUUAGCUAUUUUAGUCAAUGAAAAGUCGUCAUUUGGACACAAAAUGAUAUGUCAAUUUAAGUUAUUGCUUACAUGUCAUGAUUAUGUGGUCAUAUAUUCUAGAGAAGGCAAUCUAACUCGAAACUAGGGGGUUUCGACCCGACCUUUUAAGAUUUUUUUUUUUAAAAUUGGGUAUCGGGUUAGGUCGGGUUGGAUAAUAUAAGAAAAAAUUUGAAGUCAGGUCGGGGUCGGGUUUUAAGCAAACCUAACCCUACCCGACUUGAUAUGUAUAAAAAUUAUUUUUUAAUUAUUUAUUUAAUUUUAUAUUUUUAUAUAUAUUUAAUUUUAUAUUUAUAUUAAAAAAUAUAUUUUAUAUUUAAAAAUAGUAUUUUAUUAAUUUUGGUCGGAUCUGAUAUGAUUUUAUAUAAUGUUGAAUCAGGUCAAUUUGGGUAUAAAAAAUAAGAAAAUUACCAUGUAGGGUUGAGUUCGGGUUUUGCAUAUAUAAAGUCGGGUCAAGUUUGAGGUGAGUAAAAAUCCGCUUUAACUCGAUCCAUUGUUACCACUAAUAUAUUCUAAAAAAAAUUAAAUCAGUAAAAAAAAUAAUUCUCCCUUAAACCGUACACCUCAAAUUCAAUACUCAUACCACCAUCCACCCCAAAUUGAAAAAACUAUGAAAUUUUAGCAAAACCAAAGCUUAUGAAUUCGAAACUGCUACCUUGUAAAAUCGAAGUUGGUGCCUUCACGAAAUCAACGACAAAUGAACCAAUUAAUCAUCCCCAUCCAUCAUCACAACCCCAUUUAACCCAUGAAAACCACCCAUGCCAGACCCUUCUCAACAAUCGAAUCAACCCAACAACCCAAAAACCGAAACCUAUGCUCACCACCAUAAAUUUUAAUAUAUUUUUUAAUUAAAAAAUUAUUUUUUUAUCCUUAUAUAUCAAUUUAAAUCUGAACUCGAGUUUGAACAUAUGAUUAAGCUCAAAAUUGAGUAUAAGAAUUAAAUUUAUAUUUUAUUAAACAAAUUUAAUUGAUCGAGUUUGAAUAAUUUGAUUUUUAUCUCAAAUCGCACUUAAAUUUAAAAAUUAAAUCUGGAUCAAAUUUGAAUCAAAUUUUAAACUAUAAAUUUUAAAUCAAAUUCAAACUUUUUAUUAUAUCGACUCAAUUCAAUUACACCCGAGAGGAUCAGUGGCAGCACGGUUAAAAGUCAAAACAUUUACACAGCUUUCGAUCUUAAAUGCACUGCUAAAAGUUUGACAUUUGACCCCUUCCACUUUAUUUUGGCCUAAGCGAUUUUUUCGUUUACUUGUAAGCUACGAUGCAACUCAAGAAGAAAAGAAAAAGUUUUAGACAUUAAAAUUUGAAUUUUAAAUUUAUUAUGUAUCAUAUUUUAAAAAUAAUUAUAUGAUUAAUUUAAAUUUUGUAUUUAAUUAUUUUUAUCACUUUGAAUCACACAACCAAUUAAAAACCAUUUGCAUGAAACAAAAAUUAUAGGAGUAAUUAAUGAACUAUUGCUUAAUCAUUUGCUUAUAGUUGUAGUAAUAAGUUAGUUUGAGUAAUUAUAAAAAGACCAAACAUCCUAUAUUUUUGCAUGAUUGAAAGAUUGACGAUAUUUCCUUAUGUUUUUUAAAGGGAAACAAAUGAAAAAGGGAAAAAAAGGAAAACUGAAAGUCUUUUCUCUUUUCCCAACAUCGUACUUCACUGAUCCCCCUUAUAUGAGUUAAAAUAUUGGGUUAAUUGAAGGGAGAAAACAUAGAAUAAAACAGAGAUGACAACAUCAAAAUUCAGUCAAGAAUUAACAAUUUUAUUAUACAACAGAUAGGAGACAUCAAACAAAACCUUUAUCACACUUUCACUAUCAGAAAUCUGGCCCUUCUCAUUCCUCCACCACCCUUUGCUGUUUUCCUAACACAAUAUACGAUAAAAUUCAAAACUGAAAAUAAAAAAUAAAUAAAUAAAGGGCAACAAGUCUAUCUCACAUGGACACUAUUGCCUGCUUAAAUUUUACAUUUCCUUCAUGAUAUGAGACGUAGAAAUUAGAGCUCUGUUGACAUGUUGUUCGUGAACUGCAAGAUAUAGUAUUAAAUUUCUCAAACUCAGCUGCAUCUGUCUCUUUUCUUGUCCCCUGUAAAAUCCCUGUCCCCUACAUGAUGGAGCAAGGGUCGUGGUGCUGGGCAUAUCCAUAUGGUGGCACCUCUUGAUACACAUAUAAAGGUUGAUUAUAUGGCCACACAUACGCCGCUGGCUUUACCUCGUCUUUCUUCUCAUCUUUCUUUUCACCACCCAUGGCACUCACGCUCACAAGCUCUGUAUGCCCCACACUCUUUCUUAGCUUGUAAAUUUUUUUUUUUUCUUCAAGCUUCGGUAUCUUUUGUAUAAAAAAUUAUCAAUGAAUUGAUAAUUUCGUGGUGUUAGAAUCGAAUUUAGAAUGAAUAAUUUUGAGUUCGAACCGCAACCGUAAUUUAAGAAAAAAAAGACUUUUUUGAUUAAAUUAAGAUAAGUGAAAAUUGUGACUUGUUAAUUUUAUUUAUAUUUGAUUGUUGGUAGUUUAAAAUGUAGUGCGUCUCACAUUGAAUAGAAAGAUUUAAUUAUUGAUAAAUAAAAUUAAUUUUUGUAUUAAUUUUAUUCAUAUUUUAAAUAAUUAUGUUUGAAUACAAAUAAUUAUCAUAUGACAAAUCGACAUAACUAUUUGAAUAUAAAUAGAUUAUUAUUUAUAAAGGUUAUGAUUAUAUAAAAUAUCAUAACCAUCUAAAUAAAAUUUUAUUUUGUUUAUUCAUUAUAAAUAAAUCUUUCAGUAUAACUAUUUUAACUGCUUCUGAUUAGAAAGUUUGGACUUUGUUGUAUCCUACAGGCAUAAUUGCCUUUAAGAAAGUUUUCUUCACGUCUUAAAACCAAAAUUUUUUUUCAGUUAUUUCUCUUCUCUUAGUUAUUUUUUUUAACAAUUGGUAGUUUAGAAUAUGAUGCAUCCUACAUUGGAUAGAAAAUUUUAAUUAUUGAUAAAUAAAAUAACUUUUGUAUUAAUUUUAUUCAUGUUUUAAAUAAUUAUAUUUGAACACAAAUAAGUAUCAUAUGAAAAUUUGUUAUAACUGUUUGAAUAUAAAUAGAUUAUUAUUUAUAAAGGUCAUGACUAUACAAAAGAUCAUAACCAUUUCGACUGCUUUUGAUUGGAGAGUUUGAGGCUUUGUUGUAUUCUAAAGUUAUAAUUACCUUUAAGAAAGUAUUUUUCACGUCUCAAAGCCAAAAAAAUUUUUCUAUUAUUUAUUUUUUUUAACAAUUUAAAAGUAAUUAUAAGACAGUUAAAUUUUAUAUAAGGAAGAUACAAGGAAAAAAUAUUGGCACGAUUUGGAGAUCAAUAUUAGAAAAGGCUCAAGGUGUUAAAGGAUUAAUGUUUUUAUGGACCAAAAUAUUAAUUUUCAUAAAAAUCUUUAUUAAAGGUAAGUAUUUUAUUUUUCGCAUAAUUGUUGGUAAAAAGAUUGACUAAAUAAGAUAAAUAUAUUAACAAUUUAUUUUAUUAGUAUAUAAAGUUAAAACACAAUAUGUAAAAUAUUAAUUACAUUGUAUAAGUUUAUGCAUAUACUGAAAUUGACUUCACAAUUGAGUUUAAUGAAUUAUAUUAUAUCUAUUUGAAAAAUCUAUAUUUAUAAAGACUAGGAUGGGAAAUAGUCUGAAAACAUAAAAAAGAAAGAUAUGAAUUGAUCUACAACCAAAAAAAUUAUCACUUAUUAUAAAGUAAUGAAUUAAAUUGGGUUCUAAUGGAAUAGCCAAUUAUUUAAUUGUCAUGUCUUGGUUAUAUAUGGAACAGGUAAAUUGUCCCAUGAUUUCUAUGAAAACAAACGAAAAUAGGUAAAGGUAAUUGCCAUGAAAAAUUAGAUAUAAGUGAAGAAUAUACGCGAAAAAUAAGAUUUGACUGUAAGAUUAGUUUUAUUUUUAAAUCAUGACACCAAAAUUGAGAUAAUAAGUUGAGUCAAGCUAUUUGUAUGGUUCUAUCUUUGUUGGUCAUUUAUAAAUCAAAUGUUGAUAUAUUUUUUUUUAAAUUUAUUAUUGGUUUAAAUUUUGACUUGUGUUCAAUUUUCAAAAAAUCAAUUAAAAUUAAAUUGAUAUAUGUGAAUAAUUAUUAUUAAGAUAUAGUGUUUCAUGGAUUAAUUAGUGGAUAAUAAACCAAAUAAUUGUUAUUAUAAAAAAUAUGGACAAUGUGACAAGUAUUUUUACUUGCUAGGUGUAUUACACUAAAAGUGAUUUUAAAAAAUAAAUUUUAUUGUGAACAAUCACAAAGUUAAAAUCAUAAAUAGCCAUCAAAGAGUUAAUCAAUCGUUACAAAAAAGCAUUGUUGCUUUUCGCAUAUGGGACAUUGAUUAAAUGAAAUGGCAUGUUAUUAAAAAAUAUUGAAGCAUUUAUCGAUUAGUAGCAUUUUGAAGGAUGCUUAUCAAUGUAUAAUUAGGCAUGUUUAUAAAUGAGAAAAAAACAUGCAAAUUCAAUGUUCUAAAUGCACCAAUACUUGCAUGUGUUGAAUUUUAUUUUGUGAUAGCAUGAAAAACAUUGGUACAGUUUGUCAUAUAUUACAAAAAUGAACAGAAUGAGAUGAAAUUUUCUUUGUUAUACAUAUCCAAUAUUAUAUAUGUUGUAUAUGAUAGGCAAACUAGAGGCGUUAAGUCUCUUUUUUAAUCAAACUCGGUUCUCCUAUUUACUUUUUAUUUUAUUAUUAAAAUAUAAAAUAUUAGAUUAUAUUAAUAUCAUAACAUUUUAAAUAUAUUUAAUAAUUAAUGAUAAAUAAAGAUAUAUUAUUUGUUAAUAAAAUAAUUUAAUCCAACUAAGCUCAAGUUUAAAAAUUCAAUGCUUGAAUUGAUAUUUUUAUUAAAAUUUAAUUUUUAAUACUUAAAUUUAAUGAUUUUUAAUAUUAAAAUUUAAAAAAUCAUAAAAUAUAUAUCUCGUCCAAGUUGAAUGUCUACCUUUUUGGGUUACUCAGACUAUGUUUGUUACUCUUACUUUUAUCUGUAUUUCAUUUUUUAAUAAAAUGGUUUUUUACUUUAUUGAUGUUAAAAAACUUAUACUUCAACAUUUUAUUAAAAUUAUUUAAAAAUACUAUAAAAAAUAUACAAUAAGAAUGACGAAUGGGAGUGAAUGUUAUCGUCAGCAGUCAUUCACAUUCCAGUCCCCGUACACGGUAGCUGUAGCUUUCACACAUUUAUUAAUUAAAAGAAAUUAGCUUUAUUGACUCGUCAAGUCUUUCUCAUAUGUUUUGCAUGUAAGAAUAGUCCUUAAGUUGAGACUUAUUUUAUUUAGGAGCAUUAUUGGUUUUUACCCUAAAUUGUUAGAAAUGAAAUAUAAAAUUAAUUAAAAAAUAAAUAAGCAGUUAGAACUUAGAAUUGAUGAGAUCGAAAUUUGUCAUAAUUAUUCACUGUGAUAUUGCUAAAAUAGAAGUGUUUAUAAACGGAAUCUCUCUUCUAGUCAAAUUCGAGCUUCCUUUGUUUCAUUUAUUUAAUUAUUAUUUUAUCAUUAAAAUAUAAAAAUAUUCUAUUAUAUUGAUAUAUAAUAUUUUAAAUAUAUUUAAGAAUUAGUAAUAACUAAUAAUAUAUUAUAUUAAUUUAUUAAUAAAAUAAUUUAAUCUAGACGAAACUCCAGUUUAAAAUAAUUGGGGAAAAAAAAAAGAAAAAACCUCCAGCUUAAAAUUCCACGGAGCUCGUUUUAAUCGUGAGUGCAUAAUUUUAUGAGGCACUGCAAAUUUUGUUUUGAUUCGGAGAUUACCUAAUCUCUCAAAGUUCUUUUGACAAAAGAUGGGCUCAAUUGAAUUACACUUCUCAAACCUUUUUUUUUUAAUUUGUUUUUAAUUUAUAUUUAAUAAAUAUAUUUUAUAUUUUAUAUUUUUUAUGUGUUGGUCUCGUUGAGAUGACAUGUGUCAAAUUUUUAUUUAUUAAUUUAUAUUUUAUAUUUUUAUAUUUUAAAUUAUUUUGUACAGUUCAUUUGAUAUUAUGUAUCAAUUUAUUUUAUUUUAUUUUCUUUUUCUUUUUUAUAUUUAUAUUUCUUUUUCUUUUUCAUUUAUCUCUUUUUUAUAUUUAAUAAAUAUAUUUUAAUUUUUAGAAACUCAUUUAAUAUUAUUGAUUAAAAACAUAUUUUUUAAUAAAUUUUUAAAUAAAAUAAAUUUGUAAAAAAAUAAUAUUAAUAAAGGCAUCUACAUGAUCUGAAUUUUUUUUCAGUCUUUUUAGUUUUUAAAAAUUAAUUAUAUAAAUUUUGUAAGAACAGUUCAUAAUUUUUAAUAAUGUGUGAUAAUUAAUUUUUUUCAUUUUGUUGUAGAUCGAUUUUUUUUAUUGGGGUUUAAAGUUUUUUAAUGCUAUAUUUAUAAAAUCAUAAAAUAUUAAUACACCCUUCCAAUUUGAUGUUUAUCUCAAAAAAUAUAUUCAUUAUUCUUUUUCUAUAUUUCAUUUAUUUUUUUUUAAUAAAAACUUAAAUUUUUUUAACAAUUUUAUUUAAAAAUUGUUAAAAAAUUUAAGAAUAACAUAAAAAAGACAUUAAAAUAAGAAUAACAUUGAUACGUGAGAGCGACCCUUCCCCUCUUCAAUUCCGUCGUAUAAAGAGAGGUCGAUUUUAGAGUGUCGUCAUUAUUCACACACGGUGAAGCCGCGAUGAAGGCUGUCGCUUUCUCGCAUUGCUGGAACUGUCAGAUUGAAGCUUUACUCAUUCAUCACGUCUUCCUCUGACUUUCUCAUUUGCAGCUUUGUAUGCUAGAAUAGUCGGCAACUUAGAUAUUUUUUAUUUUUUUAAUAUCCAUAAAUAUCCUAAUCCAAAAAUGGAUCUGCCAUUGCAUGGUUGUCAAUGUUAGAGAAAAUUUAACUUUUUUUUUUUUAAAUCUUGCUUAUUAAAUUAAAAAGAUAAUGAAACUCAAAGAUAAAAACAAAUUUAGAAUUGUUCUUCUAUAUUUAUUUAUAAAAAUUACAAUAAUAUUUAUGCAUGAAAAAAUUAUAUACACAAAAAUAUAUAUACCUAUCUAUACAUAAUUGAUUCAGGAACCCUUGCCGUUAAAUUAAAAAAAUAAUUAAUAUAAAAGAUUUUUUCCCUGAAAAAUAAUCCAUAUUAAUUAAGUGGUCGAAGGAAUCCAAACUCACAUUUAGCAUUUUGAUCCUUACCCCUGAUUUUUAUGGAAAAUGACUGUUUUACCAAACUUCACCCUUUUCCUCUUACAAAAGAUCAACUUUGUAGUUUAAAAUGAAUGGUGAAACAGGAUCUAAGAUAAUAGAGAUACAACAUCAGCAGCAGCACAAUUUUAUGUCAAAACAAGUACUUAGCUUUCAAUCUUAAAUGCACUGUUAAAAGUUUGACAUUUCACCACCUCCAACUUAUUUUGGUCCAAGUGAUUUUUUUUUUUUUGGACACAAAGUAAACUACAAUGCAAUAUGAUAUAAAAAAAACAGAUUUUAUAAUUUAAAUUUUAAAUUUAUUGUAUAUCAUAUUUUUAAAAUAAUUAUACGAAUCAUUUAAAUUUUGCAUUCAAUUAUUUCUACUACUUUGAUCCACACAACCAAUUAAAAACCAUUUGCAUGAAACAAAAAUUAUUGGAGUAAUUAAUAAACUAUUGCUUAAUCAUUGGCUUAUAGCUGUAGAAAUAAGUUAGUUUGAGUAAUUAUAAAAAGAGUAAACAUCCUAUAUUUGCAUGAUUGAAAGAUUGACGAUGUUUCCUUAUUUUUUGUAAAAGGAAACAAAUGAAAAAGAGAAAUUGAAAGUCUUCUCUCUUUUCCCAACAUGGUACUUCACUGAUUCCCCUUAUAUGAGUCAAAAUAUCUGGUUAAUUGGAGGGAGAAAACAGAGAAUAAAACAGAGACGAAGACAUAAAAAUUCAAUCAAGAAUUAACAAUUUUAUUAUGCAACAGAUAGGGGACAUCAAACAAAAACUUUAUCACUCUUUCGCUAUAAGAAAUCUAGUCCUUCUCAUUCCUCCACCACCCCUUUUUUGUUUUCCCACCACCAUAUAUGAUAAAAUUCAAACCUGAAAAAAAAAGAAAAGAAAAGAAAAGGGCAACAAGUCUUUCUUACAUGGACACUAUUGUCUGUUUAAAUUUUAAUUUUCCUUCAUAAUAUGAAACGUAGAGAUCAGAGCUCUGUUGACAUGUUGUUCGUGAACUGCAAGAUAUAGUAUUAAAUUUCUCAAGCUCAGCUGCAUCUGUCUCUUUUGUUGUCCCCUGUAAAAUCCCUGUCUCUUACAUGAUGGAGCAAGGGUCAUGGUGCUGGGUGUAUCCAUAUGAUGGCAACUCUUGAUACACAUAUAAAGGUUGAUUAUAUGGCCACACAUACGCCGCUGGCUUUACCUCGUCUUUGUUCUCAGCUUUCUUCUCAUCCUUCUUUUCACCACCCACGGCACUCACGCUUACCAGCUCUGUAUGCCCCACACUCUUUCUUAGCUUACUUGUUAGCUUAACUGGAUCAAACCCAUCUCCUGUUACCUCUAUUUGGCUCUUGUCAUCGCCUUUCAAUGAAGCAGACUCCACUCCUUGACACACACAAUAAAGAAAAAAAAAAUCAGCAAUCAGCAUAAAAAAUGUUCUCAAUAUUUUAUUAUCAGAAUGAAUGAAAUCAAAGUGGGUUUCAGCUUGUUUUUACUACCUGAGAGACCGACUAUAAUUUUCAAGGCCUUGGAGCGGGACUUGUCUCCAUUCAUGGUUACCUUGACUACAAUCGUUUGCUGCAAAAAGGAAAAUUUCAAUUCAACAUAAAAUUCAUCAAUCAAAGAAACUUUUAAUUUCAUGAUUCAUUUUCAUACCUUCAUGGUGUCGUUUAUCUGUUAAGAUAGACUUAGAGAGAGUAGGAAAAUGAUGGCGAUGGCGAGGGAAAGAUGUUUGGAGGAAGAAGCUAGAAAGGAACUAACUGCUUACUUGUUUUGUUUUGAACGAGGCAGAACAUGUUGUCGGUAUUUAUAGACCGUUCGGGAUUGAGAAUUUGUUACGACCCGAGCUGUAUGGAUAUUUCUUUGGAACUUCCAGGAACCAUUGAUGACCUUUAUUACAAGCUGACCCCACCAAGUUUACUUAAGUCAGCUCUUUCACUUUAGCUCCAUGCACUGGACCAUCGGAGUCAGCUCAAACAAAACAUUUUUUUUUUUUUUUUGUUUACAAAGUCCGUUUUGAAUCUUCUUCUUCUGAUAAAAUGCAUAAAAAUAUAAACGACGCAUAUAUGUAACUCUCAUUAUAAUUUUAAAUACCAGUCUUGUAAUCAUCUUGACGAAGAAAGAAGUAUACUCAAAUUUUAAAAUUUAAUUUAAUUGAUUUAUAUAAUUAUUUUUAAAAAAUUAUAUUCAAUAAAUUUAAAAUUUAAAUUUAAAUACUUAUAAUCUUUUUUAUUAUUUUCAAAUUACAACUUAUUUUGUAAAAAAUAUAAAAUUAUAUAUAAUUUUAAAUUCCAAUCGUGUAAUCAUCUUUAGCGGUAAAAGAAGCAUAUUCAUAAAAUUUAAAAUUUAAUUUAAUUGAUUUUUAUAAUAUUUUUAAAAAUAACAUUUAAUAAAUAUAUAAUUUAAAAUUUAAUACCUACAAUUUCUUUUAUUAUUUUCAAGUUACAACCUAUUUUGUAAAAAUAUGUAAAAAAAAAAAAAAGAAAAACAAAGAUAUAUUUUACUUAUGAGGUCAUGAAUAUUAAUAAAGACAAAGGUUUCCUGAUACAAUUUAAUUUUUUUUUAAAACUUCGGCAAUACUUUCACAUAAAGGUCUUCACCAUUAAAUCCUAUAUAUAAUUCAAAGAUUUUACAAAAUUAAAAAAGAUAAACUUUCAUUGUCCAAAUCUCUUAUACGAUUUGCUCGAUUAGCAAUGACACAGACAUAUCAUAUACUUAAUUUUAUAAAGAAAAAGGAAAGAAGGAUGUUUAAGUAACAUCUCAUCCUUCUUUCAUUUUAUUUUUAUUUUUUUAUAUUUAACUUUUAUAUUUAGUUUUUUAACUUUAUUUUUUAUUAGAUGAUUAAUGGAGUUAAGAGAUGAUAGAAAAAUCUUUUUCUAAUUAAUUUUUAUUUGCAAUAAUUCAACAUAAAUGUGUUUUUUUUUUUUAAAUUAAAAUCUAGUCGAGGUUUUUUUUUUCUUUUAAAUGUGAUUAGGUUAAAAAUGGAUUUAAAAUAUCCCAUUCCAACUUGAGUGUCCAUGAGACACCUCAUUCUUUUUGUUUUUAUCAUUUUAUUUGUUUUUUAAUUUUUACAUUUUUUUCUUUUUUUAAAAAAUUAUUUAUACUUUUAUUUUUUAUUAGAUAAAUUUUAUAAUAAAAAAUCCAUUGAGAUAGAGAUAACUAAAUAAUCUAUAUCCGAUAGGUUUAGAUUCAACUCGAUCUAAUUGGUGUGCUUUUUUUUUUUUUUUUUAAUUUCAGAUAAUUUGGGUUGAGUUCUUUUAAAUCGAAUUCAAAUAAAAUAAGAUUUUGAGUAUUACGCCUCAAUCUUAAUAUAUAAAAAUUAUUUUUUAUUAUUUAUUUAAUUCUAUUUUUAUAUUUUUUUAUUAAAAAUAUAAUUUAAUACUUUAAUUUAAUAAAAAUUAUAUUUAUAAAUAAUUAAGUUAUAAUUUAUAUUAAAAAUAAAUAUACUUAUAUUUGUUUAUAUGUUGUCACCCAUUAAAAUUUGAUAUAAAAAUUUUACUUUUGUCAUUUUUAAAAUAUAAUUUAAAAAUAAAAAAUUAAUCUCACGUUACAAUGUGGGUCUAAUUCUAAUAUAUAUUAACAGUAACUAAUUCCUUUCCCAUUGACAAUGACUCCCACUGAUAAACAACGAAUUAGACUAAACAAACCCAAAUUAAUGUAAUUAAUUUAGUGAAAUAAUUUAUACAACGGAGAAAGUGAAACAAAGGAGUUGUUAAAUGUGAACCUGAGUUAAAUAUUAGUAUUAUAUUUAAUAUUUUAGAUGAAAAAGUAAUCAUAUAAACAACAAUAACGCAAAAGAAUGAUUUGAUGGAAAAAUGUUGAAGCAACUUUCUUUCUUUCCUGUAGAAUAGAUUUAUUAGAAUUAGAUGGUUUUGGUUACUUUAGAAUGGUCAUUGGCCAGUUGGAGGGCGUGACCUUUCUUCUCCGUUCGUUGGAUUUUUCCUCAUUCUAGAAAUUAAUUAAUAAUAUACUCCCUUCCAUCACAUAUUUUAAUCUAUUAAUUUUCGUGCAAUUUAAGAAAAAAAUUUUAAUUUUAAUGGUUUUAUAAAUUUGAUGUGCCAUAAAUUUUAAUAUAAAAAAUUUUAAAAAAAAGUUAAAAAAUCAUUUUGGAAUAUUAAAAAUAAGAUUUAAGUGUUAAAAAACAUUACCUUAAGUCAUUAAAAAAAUGAACAAAGAAUGAGUAUACAAUUAAAUUAGUAAGUCUUUUCUUUGCAUAGGGAAUUUUAGCAUAGUUGAUUGGUUUCAUUGACUUCCUACGUCAACUUGACCCAGUCAUUUGCUCUUAAAUUAGUGAUAUAUAAUUUGAUCAAAAUAGCCAUGUGCUUCAUAAUUAAGCUGGUCAAAAUUGGAUGAAACAUGACAUGAGUUUAGAAAUAUAUUUACUUAAGAGUAAAACAAUAGUUACAUGAAGGUUUUGAGGCAAAUUAAGUUCACAAACUUUGAUUAAAUGAAAAUUAAAGUAAAAAAUUGAAAAGAGAAUAUAGCAGUAGAAUUUCAUGAUUUGACAAAUAAUAUUAAGAAUAAGUGAAAAUGUUAUGACAAUUAAAAAGAUUAUCAUAAUCAUUCAUAGAGAACAUUAUUUAAAUAAAAUCAAUUCAACAAAACUCUAACAAUCCACAAGUUUUUAUUUAGAUUUAAUUUAAUCUUCAUUUAAUCAUUUUGAUUAAAGAGUUUCACAAUUAAUGGAGCUAUGUUACCAAUGACCUAAAGGUUGUAAGUCCUUUUAAUAGGGUUUCAUUGGCUAACUUUUAGUUAUGUUCUUUGUAGACACCCAAUUGGGUCCGGGCCCAGAUCAAUUGGGUCUGGCCCAAAUGGGUAAGGCCCAUUUCAAUCCUGUAUUUUUUUUUCUUUUCUUUUUCUUCUUUUGUAUUUUAUGUAUUUCAUUAUUAUUAUUAUUAUGUAUAUCUUUGUGUAUUUAUUUUUAUUUAGAUUAGAUUUAUAUGUAUUGUAUGUAUAUAGUUAUAUAUUUAUUAUUAUUAUUAUCUUUUUUUUUUUGUUUUGUAAUAUAUUUUUGGGUUUAUCUUAUGUUAUUUUUUUUUAUUAUCUGUUAAUUUUAUCUGAUUUUUUUUUCUGAAUUACCUGAUAUUAUUUUUUUAUUUUUAUACUAUCAUAUCUUUUGAUUAUCUAGUAUUUUUUUAUUUAUUUUGAUUUUAAUUCUGGAUGGCUAAGAUUCAAAGUUGAAGAAUCCCACUCUGGAGGGGAAUUCAAUCAGAAGAGUCCAGUUGGAUUCAAAGACUGAAUUUCCGUCCAAGGAGGAAUUGGGAUUGAUCAGGAACUCCUGAUCACCCCUAUAAAAGGGAUCCCCCUGGAACAGAGAAAAAACACAGAAAAACAGUAAGCAAAGCUACUGAUUUGAGAGAAAAGGAGGCGUAUAGGAAGCUAGGAAAAGUUUAGGAGUGUUCUGGGAGUGAGAAAAAAUUUUUAGAGAUUUUUUGGCGAAAAUUUUUUCUGGAAAUUUCUGGGAAAUUUCCAGAAUCCGGCGAAAAUUUCGGCGAAUUUUGAAUUUUUCGGCAACAAUUCCGGCGAACAUUGAAGUUUCCGACGACCAGUCCAGUUUCCGACGAAGAAUCCUAGAAGCCGGCGAUCUUCCGGCCAACUUCCGAUGAAAUUUCCAGAUUCCGGCGAAAAUUUUUAGAAUCCGGCACCGGUGUUCUUCAGUUUCUAGAGAGAAGGGAGAGAAAAAGGAAGAAGAGAGAGAGAGGGGGAGGAGCGUUCUGCCGAAAAACGGAGGAAGGUGCCUUUUAUACCCUCCCAAAACGACGUCGUUUUGGCCUUAAGUAACCCAGAGGAUCCGCGCGUUUUGCCGAACCCGACCCGACCCGAGCGUCGACCCGCUUUCUGACCCGCGCGUGCUAGCCCCCCUCCAAGCCGAGCCGAGCCGAGCCGCGAUCCGAGCCGCUCCAGGUUUUUUUUUUUUUCUUUGUUUAUUUGUUCAUUUUAUUUUUUAUUUUUUAUUUAUUAGAUUAGGUUUAUGUAAUAUUCUUUUUAUUUAUUUUUUAUUAUUUUAUUUUCUUUAAAUAAAAAUAAAAAAAUUCUAAAAAAAUAUAUUUUUAGGGAAAAGUUGAAAGUAUCAAUUUUCCUUAGAAAUAAAUUUCCAAAAAAAUAUUUUUGGAGAAAAGUUGAAAGUAUCAAUUUUCCUUAAAAGAAAAAUAAAUUUCCAAAAAAAAAAGUAUUUUUGGGGAAAAGUUGAAAGUAUCAAUUUUCCUUGAAAAUCAAAUUUUCAAAAAAAAUAUUUUUGGGGAAAAGUUGAAAGUAUCAAUUUUCCUUGAAAAUCGAAAUUUCCAAAAAAUAUUUUUAGGGAAAAGUUGAAAGUAUCAAUUUUCCCUAAAAAAAAAUCAUUCUUUCCUUCCUUUCUAUCUUAAUUUUGAUUUUGUUUUUUUUCUUUAAAUAAUCCGACGACGGAGCCUCUGCGAGUGAAACAGUAGUUUUUCUUGCAUACUCUUGAGGUGAGGGAAUUUUCUCAAUUUUCUGCUAAAAGUAUUAGAGUCAAUUGAGAAUAAUUUUCAACAACUAACUACUUGGUAAAAUUUUAAGGCUUUUGGAUAACACAAAUUCAAGCUGAUACCAUCUUUUGAUGGGCGUUAUGAGGGUGCUAUAACCUUCCUCACACGUAACCGAACUCCCGAACCCUGUUCUGGUUAGUAGACCUGAACCUAUUCUUUUAGGGACCCUUAAACUUAGGUGUUCCCUUGAAGGACAGAUUCUUUAGGUGACCAAUCGCACCUAGACAAAAAAGAUUGGUGGCGACUCCCAAAAGUCAAUGUCUAGCGAUAGAUCCCCGGAUCUAGACGUUAUGACAGCUUGGCGACUCCGCUGGGGACUUUGAGAGUCAGGCCAGCAAAUAAUUUGUGUUAUCCAAAAGCCUAAUAAAAUUGAACCCUUUUGUAUAUAUGUAUUAUUACUCAUUCAUGUUUAUUUACUUUAUUAAUUAUGUCAUUCAUAUGCAUGUGCAUAACAUGAGCUCUACACCCGAGCUCCGUCCCUCUAGGAGGGAGUAAAGUACCUAUUGCUUUCGUGAGGUCUAAUACCUCCGCAGUGGCUAGCGAAAUACUCCCACUCAAAUUGAACCUUUUCCGCUUGUAGCCUGUAAUGGGUGAGGAUUAGGGUGCCUUACUAGUCUGUGAUGGACAAGGAUGUAAGGAGCAAUUUGAGGACCUUUAGACUCUGACCUUAAAACCGCCUGUAGUGAACCUUAAGAGUGCCUAAACCUAGGAUAGAGCUCUUUCUACCCAAUGAUAGAUAUACCCUAAAAUUAGGACACAAAAAGGGUGUUUAUCUAAUCAUUUUGAUUGCUUGACUUUGUGUAUUAUUUUUACCAUAUGUAACAUUAUGCAUCAGCAUCACUUACGUUUCAUCCACGGAACUAACUAUGUUGUUUGUCUGAUUGUAUGCAUCUGUAUUCUUUCCAUGAUCAUGUUUCAACACAAUUAUUUGCAUUCAUUUCAUACUAGAUCUCAUUCAAAAAAUGUACAUUUCAUUUGUGCAUCAAAGCAUCAUACAUAAGGCACAGCAUAACAUUUCUAAUCAUAAGUAUGGUACUCAAGGUCCGAGGAUAGCUCCAUCUAGCGAAAACUUUGCCCAUCCAUACAACACAAGAUCCAGAGCAAGGCAAAUGGAGGAGAAAAGUUCUCAUAGAUUUGAAAAGCUAGAAAAAGCUCAGGAGAAGAUUGAAAAUGAACUUAGCAAAAUUCUGGAGGCUCUUAAUAACAUGAACAAAGGAAAAAGAGUUGAAGGAAGUACAAGCCAGCAAAUUCCCCCAUUACAAGAAAUAGCUGACCCCCUGUACCCUCCAGGUUUUGGCCCACCUCAAGCUCAGUCUGCUCAAGAGGUCCCACCACAACACUUCGUAUAUCCAACAUAUCCUGGAAUGCCAUCGACUUUCAACCCCGGGCAGUAUAACAGCUAUAUAAAUCCUGUCUUCACUGAAAAGGCAGUAGAACCAAUUCCUGAUCUAGAUGAUUUAAAAGAGAAGGAGAAGGAAAAGAUGAGAGUAGAGGCUGAGAAAAGUUCCAAGAUAAGCAUGCUAGAGCAAAGGCUAAGGGCUGUGGAAGGAUUUAGCUUCUAUAGGUCAGUUGAUGCCACGGGGCUCUGCCUAGUUCCUGAUGUGGUUAUCCCCCAUAAGUUCAAGGUACCAAAUUUUGAAAAAUAUGAUGGUACAAAGUGCCCCAAAACCCACAUCACCAUGUAUUGCAGGAAGAUGGCAGCUCAUGCACAGGAUGAGAAACUCUUGAUGCAUGUUUUCCAAGACAGUCUUACUGGCUCUGCGGCCAGAUGGUAUGUUCAGUUGGAUAGAACCCACAUUCGCUCCUGGAGCGAUAUGGCUUAUGACUUCAUCAGCCAAUAUCGACACAUCAUCGAUUUGGCCCCUGAUCGUUUAUCUUUGCAAAAUCUGAAGAAAAAGUCAAAUGAGUCUUUUAAAGAAUACGCCCAGAGAUGGAGGGAUAUAGCUUCACAGGUACAACCUCCACUGACAGAGAAAGAGACCACAGUGCUAUUUGUUAGCACUUUAAAGCCUCCCUAUUAUGAAAAGAUGAUAGGGAAUGCAACAAAGAAUUUUGCUGACAUGGUAAUCUCUGGAGAAAUUAUUGAAAGUGCCAUAAAAAAUGGUAAGUUGAGAGGAGGAGAAACCAAGAAGACAUCAGAAAAAAAAGAAGCUGAAGCUCAAGCUGUGAGCUUUGAUAGACAACAAUUCGGGGGUUAUCAACCCUAUCCAUCCCAAGGUUACUUUCCAUACUAUCCUGUUGUGAAUAAUGCCUCAUCCUACCCCUACCAGCUAGCCCCACAACCAUCUUAUUCAUUCACUUACCGCCUUAACAUUCAAGCUCCUGUAAGAACCCAAAUUCGUCCUACUCACCCAGCAAGUGGCUCACGAGAACAACGGACUACUCGAGAAAAACUUGUAUUUGAUCCAAUCCCUAUGACUUAUACAGAGUUAUAUCAAGAACUCUAUAAUAGCCAUUUGAUUGCCCCCAGCCAUGUGGAGCCGCUUAAACCACCCUAUCCAAAGUGGUAUGAUCCUACAGCUCGUUGUGACUACCAUUAUGGGAAUUACUGGCCAUUCUACUGAAAAUUGCACUGCUUUAAAGUAUAAGGUGCAACGGUUGAUCAAUGAUGGAAUGGUAAGUUUUGAUCAGGGAAAAACAACAACACCUCAUGUUAGCGUACUGAGUGAAAGUCAAGAACAGAAAGGAUUUGGAGAGUCACAAUGAAUUGAGGGGCAAGAUGUCAAUGGGGAUUUCUUCACCUGAUCAUAUAGGGAGCUAAUUUUUAAUGGAGAUAAGGCGGGUUGAAGGUUUUUUGUCAUUUUAAGAUUUCUUUUCGAGUGAUUGUUGGAUUUCUUUGUGCAAUAUGAUUUCACUUGUUAUCAUCUUAAUAAGGGCAAGUUAAUGCAUUUCAUUUACAUUUUCUCUUUCACUCGACCAUAUUUCAUGCCCUGUUACCUUUCAUGACUUUACAUUCCCAUUUUCAAAUUUCAGAUGAUGAAUAUUUAGACAAUGGUAACAAUAAUUCUGGAAUUUAAUUUUGAGAACUCAUUCACAGAGGAGAUGAUUUGAGCGAAAAUAAAGAGGGUAAGCCAUUACCAGAGAUGAAAGAGAUAUACCUUGAAGGUGUGCAAUCUUUUAUACAAGUUCAUGAGCUUUGUUCAAUAGAUGAUGUUCAAGAAAGGUAUUCACAAUUGAGAUGAAAAAUGGCCAUCUUUCUUUUACCAUUUGAAAAACCAUUUAUUGUUACCCCUUUGAGCUUAUCAUUUUUUUUUUUUUUGGAAGAACCCUAACCAAGGAUCACCCUCUACACUGGAGGGUAAAUUUUGAAAAAAAAAAAGAAAAAAAACACCACAAAAGGUCUCAAAAAUGGAAAGAGAAAGAAAAGCAAAAGAAAAAUAAGAGCCACACAUGACUUGGGGCAAAGUAAUGAGAAUCCUUUGUGUGAGGAAAAAGAAAAGUAGUGAAAUGAUGUGGGGGCAAAAUGCCAAGCUGCAUCAAAUGAUUCUUUGGUUUUGAACCUUUUUAAUAUAUGUUUUGAGCCUAUUAUAUCCUUUUUUUAUGACCCUUCACCUUGGCCUACAUUACAACCUUGAAAAGUCCAUUUGGAUCAAAUAUGAAUACUCAACUUGAAUGAUCAUAGGUUGAGCAAAGAUAUGCUCAUGAUGAAGCAAUGGAAUCAUGCUAUAUGAAAGAUAUCAACACUAGAUGAAAAAUGAGAAAAAAAAAAGAGAAAAAAUGAGAAAAUGAAAAAAUGAAAAAAGAGAUCCAAAUUGAAAACCUGAAAGGGUGAUUUUGGUAAAAAAAAAAAAAAAAAAAAAGAUCCAGGUCAAAUGGCUCACAUGAAUGAAAGAUCAAAGACAUCUGAAGAUCCCUCAAAGACUGGGACAGAGUUCGCCAAGCUCAAGAUGACUUCAAUAGUAAAUGGAAUGAGUUUUUGAAAAAGAAUCCUAGAUUAAUGUUGAAAAUUGUCUGAAUAUUCAUCAUUUGGACAUACCAUUCACCUCAAUGACAUCCAAUUUAUUUCCUUUCCCAUUUAUUUUUUUACCAAAAUAGAUCUUCCAUUGAUUAUCUUUAUCAUAAUUCACCUUCUGUUCUCUUAUUGUUUCACCCCUAGAAUAAAUUGAGAAAAUGCUUGAUUGCAUUAUAUUUGUCAAGAAUUGAAAUGAUAAUGAAUGAAUGAAUAUGUGCUUAAAAGAGUCUUGCAUUCAUUUGAAAAGAAAUCUAAGAUGAUGGUGGUAGAAACCUAAAAGAGAUGAUUGGGAAGGAUAUAUGAUGUGACCAAAUCAAGAAUAUGAUGAGGCAAAUCUUGAAAAGCGAUACAACCAAGUGAUGAGUACAAGGAUGAAUUGGUCGAAUGGUAGGAACAAUCAGUGGACAGAGUUUGUUUUGGAAUGGUUGAUGCUGAGGCAAGGACCCAGUGAUGGUGGAUGAAAUUUGUUUUAAAAUUUGUUAUGAAAUUUGCUAGCGCUGAGAAAUUCAUUGAAUGAUGGUCAAGGGAUGAUCGAUUGAUGAAGCUUAUUCCAAAGUAUUGAAAAACAGAACAAGGAAGAAUCUGAGCGGAAAGGACAAUUGAGAGCUACACUGGUUCGAUCUUAGAAGAGCAGUGUAAUUGGAUCCUUGAGGGAUCAAAGGGCUUGACGCCCAAGAAAGAAAAGAGCUUGAGAAACUUGAGUACCAUACAUUGAACAGGAAUUGAUUGACCAACAUUUGCAUACCAUGCAUUGAAAAUCAUGCAUAUUGCAUAGCAUACACUACUUUCAGAAAAGUAUAGUGUACAAAUUCAAGAAGCAGGGGUGUUCCAACAUCCCACAUGAAAAAGAUAGAUAUGAAAAGACUUUGCAAGUUUGAGAAGAAACUUGUCAGGUAAGUUCCUAAUCCUUGAGAUAGGAUGUCUCUUGGUAUCGGGGUUGAUUUAUAAGACCUUUGGGCAUAAUCUCCUGAAAUCCCUUUAAACACAACUUUCAACUCCUUCAGACAUGAUCGUCUAGGAGUAUUUACUUUUUCAAAGUUCGUUGCCUCUGUUUAGAGGAGCAAUUUAUUUUUCAAAGUUUCGUUGCCUCUGUUUAGAGGAGCAAUUUAUUUUUCAAAGUUUCGUUGCCUCUGUUUAGAGGAGCAAUUUAUUUUUCCAAAGUCGUGGUACCUCUGUUGAGAGGAGCAAUUUACUUUCCAAAGUCGUGUUGCCUCUGUUUAGAGGAGCAAUUUAUUUUUCCAAAGUCGUGGUACCUCUGUUGAGAGGAGCAAUUUACUUUCAAAAGUCGUGGUGCCUCUGUUUAGAGGAGCAAUUUACUUUUUCAAAGUUCGUUGCCUCUGUUUAGAGGAGCAAUUUACUUUUCCAAAGUCGUGUUGCCUCUGUUUAGAGGAGCAAUUUAUUUUUCAAAGUUCGUUGCCUCUGUUUAGAGGAGCAAUUUAUUUUUCAAAGUUCCGUUGCCUUUGUUUAGAGGAGCAAUUUAUUUUUCCAAAGUCGUGGUACCUCUGUUGAAAGGAGCAAUUUACUUUCCAAAGUCGUGGUACCUCUGUUGAGAGGAGCAAUUUAUUUUUCAAAGUCGUGGUACCUCUGUUGAGAGGAGCAAUUUACUUUCCAAAGUCGUGGUGCCUCUGUUUAGAGGAGCAAUUUACUUUUCAAAGUCGUGGUGCCUCUGUUGAGAGGAGCAAUUUAUUUUUCCAAAGUCGUGGUGCCUCUGUUUAGAGGAACUUCGACAAAAACAAAAAAAACAAAAAAAAACAAAAAAACAAAAAACAAAAAAUAAAAAACAAAAAACAAAAAACAAAAAUUUUAAAAAAAAAAUCAAAAAAUAAAAAUGUUGAGUUGAGUCUUGAUUGGGUGUCUACGUCUUUGCGCAAUUUCUGUUUCACAGAAAAUGUGCAAAGAGGGGCAGCUGUAGACACCCAAUUGGGUCCGGGCCCAGAUCAAUUGGGCCUGACCCAAAUGGGUAAGGCCUAUUUCAAUCCUGUAUUUUUUUUUCUUUUCUUUUUCUUCUUUUGUAUUUUAUGUAUUUCAUUAUUAUUAUUAUUAUGUAUAUCUUUGUGUAUUUAUUUUUAUUUAGAUUAGAUUUAUAUGUAUUGUAUGUAUAUAGUUAUAUAUUUAUUAUUAUUAUUAUCUUUUUUUUUUGUUUUGUAAUAUAUUUUUGGGUUUAUCUUAUGUUAUUUUUUUUUAUUAUCUGUUAAUUUUAUCUGAUUUUUUUUUCGAAUUACCUGAUAUUAUUUUUUUAUUUUUAUACUAUCAUAUCUUUUGAUUAUCUAGUAUUUUUUUAUUUAUUUUGAUUUUAAUUCUGGAUGGCUAAGAUUCAAAGUUGAAGAAUCCCACUCUGGAGGGGAAUUCAAUCAGAAGAGUCCAGUUGGAUUCAAAGACUGAAUUUCCGUCCAAGGAGGAAUUGGGAUUGAUCAGGAACUCCUGAUCAACCCCUAUAAAAGGGAUCCCCCUGGAACAGAGAAAAAACACAGAAAAACAGUAAGCAAAGCUACUGAUUUGAGAGAAAAGGAGGCGUAUAGGAAGCUAGGAAAAGUUUAGGAGUGUUCUGGGAGUGAGAAAAAAUUUUUAGAGAUUUUUUGGCGAAAAUUUUUUCUGGAAAUUUCUGGGAAAUUUCCAGAAUCCGGCGAAAAUUCCGGCGAAUUUUGAAUUUUCCGGCAACAAUUCCGGCUAACAUUGAAGUUUCCGGCGACCAGUCCAGUUUCCGGUGAAGAAUCCUAGAAACCGGCGAUCUUCCGGCCAACUUCCGACGAAAUUUCCAGAUUCCGGCGAAAAUUUCCAGAAUCCGGCGAAAAUUUUUAGAAUCCGGCACCGGUGUUCUUCAGUUUCUAGAGAGAAGGGAGAGAAAAAGGAAGAAGAGAGAGAGAGGGGGAGGAGCGUUCUGCCGAAAAACGGAGGAAGGUGCCUUUUAUACCCUCCCAAAACGACGUCGUUUUGGCCUUAAGUAACCCAGAGGAUCCGCGCGUUUUGCCGAACCCGACCCGACCCGAGCGUUGACCCGCUUUCUGACCCGCGCGUGCUAGCCCCCCUCCAAGCCGAGCCGAGCCGAGCCAAGCCGCUCCCCCGAGCCGUUUUCUCUUCCUUGAGCCGAGCCGAGCCGAGCCGCAAUCCGAGCCGCUCCAGGUUUUUUUUUUUUUCUUUGUUUAUUUGUUCAUUUUAUUUUUUAUUUAUUAGAUUAGGUUUAUGUAAUAUUCUUUUUAUUUAUUUUUUAUUAUUUUAUUUUCUUUAAAUAAAAAUAAAAAAAUUCUAAAAAAAUAUAUUUUUAGGGAAAAGUUGAAAGUAUCAAUUUUCCUUAGAAAUAAAUUUUCAAAAAAAUAUUUUUGGAGAAAAGUUGAAAGUAUCAAUUUUCCUUAAAAGAAAAAUAAAUUUCCAAAAUAAAAUAUUUUUAGGGAAAAGUUGAAAGUAUCAAUUUUCCUUGAAAAUCAAAUUUUCAAAAAAAAUAUUUUUGGGGAAAAGUUGAAAGUAUCAAUUUUCCUUGAAAAUCGAAAUUUCCAAAAAAUAUUUUUAGGGAAAAGUUGAAAGUAUCAAUUUUCCCUAAAAAAAAAUCAUUCUUUCCUUCCUUUCUAUCUUAAUUUUUAUUUUGUUUUUUUUCUUUAAAUAAUCCGACGACGGAGCCUCUGCGAGUGAAACAGUAGUUUUUCUUGCAUACUCUUGAGGUGAGGGAAUUUUCUCAAUUUUCUGCUAAAAGUAUUAGAGUCAAUUGAGAAUAAUUUUCAACAACUAACUAUUUGGUAAAAUUUUAAGGCUUUUGGAUAACACAAAUUCAAGCUGGUACCAUCUUUUGAUGGGCGUUGUGAGGGUGCUAUAACCUUCCUCACACGUAACCGAACUCCCGAACCCUGUUCUGGUUAGUAGACCUGAACCUAUUCUUUUAGGGACCCUUAAACUUAGGUGUUCCCUUGAAGGACAGAUUCUUUAGGUGACCAAUCGCACCUAGACAAAAAAGAUUGGUGGCGACUCCCAAAAGUCAAUGUCUAACGAUAGAUCCCCGGAUCUAGACGUUAUGACAUUCUUCUCUGUUUGGUUCCACUUAAUAAAUAAAUAUAACGAAAAAAAUGAAAAAAAUAUCAAUGAGUUUAGUUUAAUUGGAUCACAUAACAAAUUUGAAUUUUAAAUUUCAAUACUUAUAGUAAUAUUUUUUUAUUCUCAAGUUGCAACUGUUUUUGUAUAAAAAAAUAUUAAUGAAUUAAUGCUUCAUUGAUUUUAGGUUUGACUCCACAAUGAAGAAUCUCGAAUUUGAAUUACAAUUAAAAUUGAAAAAAAAAAAAAGAAUGAACGAAUGACUUCUCUAAUUAAAUUAAUAAGAGGUAAGUAAAAAUUAUGACUUGUGAAUGUAUAUAUAGCAUUAUGCUGAAAUGGACAUGUGAAACCAAGUCACAAGAAUUUCUUCAUGCCCCAUGAAGUGAGAUCUUGGCUACUAGCUGCAAGGUGAUCGAGGAAUUAAAAGCCAACUGGCGAAAGAGUCCCCACCAAGAAAAUAUUUUAGCUAUAGGGCCCUUCCAAGUCUACCACAGAUUUGUAGGAUAAGGGCGUUAGGCUACGCGGUUUAGCCUCGCUCUUUUGCUUGACUUUCUCAGUCAACACAUAUGCCAAGGCUUUUGCUUUCACCCCUAUUCAUGGCCUGUUCCAAAGAAGUACUGCUUCUUUCCAAAUAUCAGCGUUAAAUCCAAAUAAAGCUCCACUUUUUUCUUUCAUACUUUUAGAAAGAACCUUUUUUUUUUGGCUUUUGGGGCCAAAAGCCAAAAAAAAAGGAAAGUGUAAGCUCGGAAAUAUACAUGAUUCAUUUCUUUUUAGAGUGUAUCUUGAAAAACCAAGAUUUUCUGUUUACUUUAGAGACAUAAAGUUAAAUUGUUUAGACCAAAAACAAUGACUAAUGAAGAAACAGGGAAAAUUGUUUUCUCAGUUUUGUUCAAUAUCAUCGAUUCAUAUAGUAGGCCAUAGCAUGAAAAACGUGUUUUGAAUAAAUAUGAUUAAAUUAUUACUUAUUAAAUUGAAGAAAAAAAAAAGAAAUCUAUUAAAGCUUCAUUUGUCAUUGCUCUUAAAGCUAUAAAGUUUGUUGCAACGUUAAAUACUAGGGCUAAACCAACAAAAUUAUGAAAGAAAGCCCAAAUAGUAAAUUAAAGCAAUAACUUCAUUUGGAGUUACUGCAAAUUUUGUCUCUCUUUUUUUUUUUAAUAAUACAUUAAUCACAAUUUUCACUUUUAAAUGCAACUUUUUAUCACAAUCUUAAUGACAAAUUUAAAUCCAAUCCAAGUUUCUCAUCUAUUUUCCGAACAUAUAGUUGUUUUCUUAAUACUAUUAAGGCAUAAAUUGUUUUCCAAAUAGGCGUAAAGUCUUAUUAUUAUUAUUUCAUAAUAUAUACAGUGAAGAUAAAGUCAAUUCCCAUCUCUUUUUGGGCAGCGCAAGUUCUUUUGUUUCGGAGGGAGAUUUUAACUCUUCCCUGAGUUAGAAAAAUACAUGCAUCUAUUUUUUUCAUCUCUUUAUAAUCAUUAUAGGUCGAAAACUUUUUAAAUUUAGUAUUUAAUAUACUAUAAAUAUAAAUUUUUAAUUCGAAAAAUAAUAUUAAGAGUGAAAAAUAUCUUUUUUUUAUUUUUUAUUUUUUUAUUUUAUUACAUAUAUCUUAAGAGAUAUGUGACACUUUUUAAAUUUUAUUUAUGAAAUUAAAAAUUUUACUAUAAGUGUUUUGGAUAAUUUUUAAUUUUUUUUUUAUCAUUUAAAAGUUUUAGAAUGAAAAUGAAGCAUGGAUGAAAAAUUAAAAAAAAAAGAUUUAUCACAAUCUUAAUGACAAAUUUAAAUCCAAUCCAAGUUUCUCAUCUAUUUUCCGAACAUAUAGUUGUUUUCUUAAUAGUAUUAAGGCAUAAAUUGUUUUCCCAAUAGGCGUAAAGUCUUAUUAUUAUUAUUAUUAUUAUUAUUAUUAUUAUUAUUAUUAUUAUUUCAUAAUAUAUACAGUGAAGCUAAAGUCAAUUCCCAUCUCUUUGUGGGCAGCGCAAGUUCUUUUGUUUCGGAGUGAGAUUUUAACUGUUCCCUGAGUUAGAAAAAUGCAUGCAUCUAUUUUUUCAUCUCUUUAUAAUCAUUAUAGGUUGAAAUUUUAUUUAUGAAAUUAAAAUUUUAUUUAUAAGUGUUUUCGAUAAUUUUUAAUUUUUUUAUCAUUUAAAAGUUUUAGAAUGAAAAUGAAGCAGGGAUGAAAAAAAAAAAUGAAAUGAUUACUUCUAAGUUUUGAUUCUCUUAUGAAUCCACAUUAUUACCGAUAAAAAAUUAUUAGGAUUUACCUUGAAUCUCAGAAUCCCACAUCGAAUAAGUUUGAAUUUGUCUUGUAUCCCACAUCGAGAGUUUAGUAAAGGUAUAAAGGGUUUCACCCUUAUAAAUAAGAUGUUUUGGUUUUAGUUUAGUAACCCCAGAGAGUUAGACACCAAGAGAAUAGCUAAAUAAGUAGGCUAUUAAAGGGUGUAAUUAGGUUUUGGGUUAAGUUUUGAGUAAAGAGUUUUAGGAGACUUUUCUCAUUCUAAAAGUCUCACAAUUGUAAAGAUUUAUUUGAUAGUGGAUUUGGUUUGGAGUAGGCUAUUUUGAGUUGGGCUGAACCAAAUACAUUUGUGUGUUUUUAUUCUUGAUUUGAGCUUGUUAUUUUGUGUGUGGUUGCUGCGCGUGGGUAUUGUUUUUCCCAACAAGUGGUAUCAGAGCGAGGUUCGAGGUUCGAGGUUUAAGGUUCGUGGGUUCAAUAGAUCGUGAAGCAGUGUUUGAAGAUGUCUGAAGAAGGUAUGUUUGGUAUGUCUAUGCCUAAGUUUGAGAUUCCGUUAUUUGAUGGAAAGAGUAAUUUUAUGUUAUGACAAAGUACGAUUCAAGAUCUGUUAAUACAACAAGGGUUGGAUCAGGCAUUAGAGAGUAGUAAGCCUGAGGGAAUGUCUGAUGCUAAUUGGAAUAUGAUUCAGAAGAAGGUUGUUAGUACUAUUAGAUUGGAGUUAACUCUAGAAGUAAAGUACAAUGUGUUGACUGAGAGUACUCCGAAGAGUUUGUGGGAUAAGCUUGAAGGUAUUUAUGCUUCGAAGUCGUUGACUAAUAGAUUAUGUUUGAAGAUGGAUCUGUAUUCUCUGAAAAUGGAAGAAGGUAUGAGUCUUCAUAAUCACUUGAAUGAGUUUAAUAGAUUGGUUUCUCAAUUGCUAGCGAUUUCUGUUGAUGAGUUAAAAGAUGAAGAGAAGGCUUUAAUUUUGCUGUCAUCUUUGCCCAAGUCUUAUAAGCCUUUAGUUCAGACUGUGUUGGUAGGCAGGUCUACUUUGAAGUUAGAUGAUGUGACUGCCCUAUUGCGUGAGAAUGAAAGGUUUAUGGGAGCUCAGAACUCAUCACCUGAGGGGAGUACACUAGCUGUAGAGGGUUUUGAUCGAGAGAGGACUCAAAAGAGGAUUGAUGGAUCAAGAUAGAGAUCUAAGUCAAGAGACAGAGAUUACAGUGAUGUAGAAUGUUAUUAUUGUGGUGAGAAGGGACAUAUCCAAGUGCGCUGCAGGAAGCUGAGAAGGGAUAUGACUGCUUUCAAAAAGGCGAAUGAUGAGAAGAAAUCAAAUGAAGAAAAUAGUGAUAUUGCUGCUGUCGUGUCUGAUGAUGAUGAUGUUGUUUUGACAACUUGUGUGGAUGAGACCCAGACUUUGAAAAGUGAUAAAGGUUGGGUUUUAGAUUCAGCUGCUACAGUUCAUGUUUGCAAUGAUAGGAGCUAUUUUGUGGAGUUGAAUGAGAAUGAAAGGUAUGGGGAUAUUGUGGUUGCUAACAAAAAAAAGGUGCAGAUUCAAGGCAUUGAGAGUGUUCGCCUUAGAUCUCACAAUGGUGUUAUUAGGACACUUCGUCAUGUAAGGUAUGUACCAAAUUGUCACUACAAUUUGAUUGCUUUGGGUGAGUUAGCUUCUCGGGGGUACACAUAUUAUGGUAGUAAUGAUUGGUUGAAAGUAUACAAGAAUGGUAGUGUGAUUCUACAAAGGAAUAGGGUCAAUAAUCAUUUGUACAUGUUUGAUGGAAGCUCAGUUGCUGAGAUGCCUGUGAUGAACGAAAAGAAGAAAGGUAAGCGUGUUAGCUUUGCAGAUACUGUUGAAGUGUUUGGAGAUUCAAGUCAAGGGAGGAUUUGUUGGGAUUUGCCUUGAAUCUCAGAAUCCCACAUCGAAAGUUAAGUAAGUUUGAAUUUGUCUUGUAUCCCACAUCGGGAGUUUAGUAAAAGUAUAAAGGGUUUCACACUUAUAAAUAAGAUAUUUUGGUUUUAGUUUAGUAACCCCAGAGAGUUAGACACCAAGAGAAUAGCUAAAUGAGUAGGCUAUUAAAGGGUGUAAUUGGAUUUUGGGUUAAGUUUUGAGUAAGGAGUUUUAGGAGACUUUUCUCAUUCUAAAAGUCUCACAAUUGUAAAGAUUUAUUUGAUAGUGGAUUUAGUUUGGAGUAGACCAUUUUGAGUUGGGCUGAACCAAAUACAUUUGUGUGUUUUUAUUCUUGAUUUGAGCUUGUUAUUUUGUGUGUGGUUGCUGCGCGUGGGUGUUAUUUUUCCAAACAAAAAUAACCUCCCAAAUCUCAACUAUGAAUUUUAUAAAAUUAAAAAAAAAUUAUAAGUAUCAUUAAUAAACUAAAGGAAUCUAUGAUCAGCCAAUAGUUUAAAAUGAAUUUCAGACCACGUCGGGAGACUUGCAUGAAUAUAUCCAUAUGAUGUCUGAUUUUGAUCGUUGCCAUUAGCAGGGUGCUGUAAACUAACCAUUAAAUUAGAGACAAAUUUUGCAAAGGUCAUUUGACAAAUACCUUUAAAUUUUACUAUUCAUAAAUUUGAAAGAGACCAAAAUUUUGGAUCAGAAGAUAGGACUCCUAAUCUCUUGAGGUCAUAAAAUAAUGUUUAGAUUAAAACGUGACGCUCUUUUUUUUAACAUAAAAUAUGGUGGGAGAUUUGCUACUUCAACUCUCAGGUCAUGAUGUAGAUGAUUUACUUAAAAUUUUCUACUCAAAUAAUAUCCAACAUGUAAGUAGAGAAGAAGAGAAGUAGUCUUGUUAUCAGUUGAUGUUAAUUUCGAGAGUGGAGUUGUCCCUUUCUGUUUCCGAGAGCCACUCUUAAUUUCUACACCAUGUCUAUUUAUCCUUUCUUCACUUUGUUAAUUUGAGAGUGACUAUACAUGAUGUUGAUGAUGCUGACGAUAUUUGAAGGGUGUCCCUUAAUCACUAAAUUAUUCUUUGCAUGUGUCAAAGAAAAUGUAAAUUAUUUUCUAGAGAAUAAAAUGUAAGUAUUUAUAAAGCAAGGUGAAAAAGGAAACAAGCCAUUUUAAUAUGAUACAAGGAUCACUUUCCGGCAAUUAACUGCCGGUUUAUAUAUAUAUUUCUUUAAUAUUGUAUUUUAUAAAGUUAUUACAUGGCAUUUUUUUCUGGUAAGCAUAAAUUAUACUGAUAAGAUAGGCAUUUCUCAUGGACAGAUACCACACCAAUUGAAUCAAUAAUGGGUUCCCCGUUGAGUCCAGCCACAAACUUCACCAUCUUACAACUCACUCCUACUUACCUUGGGGCAAGCACUGGGCAAUGAAUCCUUUCUCUCUCACCACCAAGAAUGCAUAGCAAUUUGCUGAAAAAAUACAAACUAACACACAACAAACAAUAAAUACAUUUCUUUAAUAAAAAAAAAAAACAUGUUGAAAUUUUUUUGUAAGGACAGGUUUCAUCAAAAAUAGAAGAUGUAACUUGAAUACUUACUGUUGAAUUUGCUGCAGGCGGAUUCUCCCUAAUAACAUCAUUUACAUGCAACGUUUAAAACAUUAACAUGCUUAAGCAUAUUUGACAUCUUCCUUUCCAUAAUCCAUUAAUAUAUUUUUUAUUUAUUUCCAAUUAAAAGCAAAAUUGAGUAAUUAGGUACUGAUUGUCAUCUAUAUUUACGUAAUUAGGGAGUUACUAUUAGUUUUAAAUUAGUUUUAGGCUGUGCAAUAUACGGAUAUGCAAUUUUAUAUAUAAUAUAAUUAAUAAAUUUUAUACAAAAAAUAAAAAAUUUCAAUGUAAAAUAAUAGAAAAAUAAAAAUAUUGUAGAUCAAUAUGUACCUAUAUAAUAUAAAGAAAAAUAUAUUGAAUCAUAUCUCAUCUAAUAGUGAUAUUUAUAUAAAUUUAAAUAAUAUUUGAUUUCCAACCAUAGAAAUUUAUUCCACUUAAAAUCAAUUUUUUGUAGAGACUUUUAUUUGGUGCUGCCCCUUGCUUUGGUGCAAGACAUCUAAAACUCCCAAUAACAACAACAAAUCCUCGGCUAGGUGGUGUUCAUUCUUGCAUUGUAUUCAUAAAGGUCAAAGUAAUUCAAAUUGAAUUUGCAUUAUUUGGCGAAAGAGAUUGAAAUCAUAUAUUACAUAUUAAACAUGAAUAAAAUUGUAAAUGAAAGGUAAAUAGGAGAGCAAAGACUUGUGCCAAAUUCUAACAAACUCUAAACUUAACUAAAAAAUCUCACCUUGUUUACAUCCAUUAUUAAUCAUGAAACAAAAAUCUGACAAAAUAUUCAAGGACUAAAAACUAAAAAGAGAUAAAACAUAUGAAAUUAUUCAAUUCAAAAGUUUUUUUUAAAAAAAUUAAUAUUAAAAAUGAAUAAAUAAAUAAAUAGAGUAUGAACAAGCAUAAAAAAGUGAAUAAAAGAGAAAUAAAAUCACCCAACAAGCAUGAUAAAGAAAAAAGUUUAUAAACAUAAAAAAAUAUGUAACUUGGUGAUUAAAAUUUUCUUGAUCAUAAAAAAUCAAAACAUUUGGAGGGUUUUGAAGAAUAACUUCCUAGUACUUUCAGCAUACAUAAUUCUGUAUUUAUAAUAAGAGUUUGAGAGAUUUUUAUAAAUUCUGAGUAAUUUAUGCAAAAAUUAUAAUGAGUUAUUAAUUAUUUAUGUAAUAUAUCUUUUAUUUUGAAAGGUCCACACUUAAUAUUUUGAAAAUUUUCUGUAAGACAAUAAAUUAUACCAUUUGUAAUUAAUACUUAUAUAGAAAUAAAUAUGAAAAUAUGUUUCCAUCUAAUUAGACUUUUAUUUUAGGUUUGAAUUUUCAGCAUUACAUACCUUAUAUAUUCAUUUAGAUUAAUAAAUACAUAAAUUAUUUCUUAAUUAAAUACAAAAAUCAUAGUCAUUAAAUGGUCAAUGCUUUCAAAGCAUAUUUCUUAUUUAUAAUAUAUGUAUUUGAUGUUUAAUAAAUUAUUUCUUAAUUAAAUAAAAAAAUCAUGGUCAUUAAAUAAUCAAUGCUUUCAAAGCAUAUUUCUUAUUUAUAGUAUAUGUGUUGAUAUUUAAAAUUAAGAAUUAAAUUUGGUUGAAAAUUAUUUAAGAUAAUUUAAUUGUAACACAUUUAUAAAAGGCGAGAAUAUUGAAAAUUUAUAAGAAAAUAAAUAACCUAAUUUAACCAAAUAAAUAUCUUUUAAAUUAAUUAAAUGUAUAUGAAAUCAAAUUGAAAUAACUAAGUGUAAGAUACGUGACGAUUGUUUAAAACAAUUCACAUAUAAAAAAAAAAAUUUCCACAUUAGAUUUUUUCUUUUUUUGUUUACCAAAAAUUUUGGUUUUUAUAUAUUUAUAUAAAAUCGGAUGCACAACUUAUUGGUUACAACCUGUAUAUAUAAAAUCUAAUAUUAUAAUGUAAGAUUGAUUUAUACAAAAUUGAAAAGAAAAUAAAUAUAAUUAAUGCAUUGAAAUAUUUUAAAAUUUUUAUGAAAUCAAAUCAAUUUAUAUCAAUUUGAAAAGAAAUAAAUACAAAUAAAUAUAUUUAGUACAAGACAUGUGGCUAUUGAUAAAGGUUGUCUACAUCAUCCACAUUAAACAAUUUUCUUUUUAGCCCAAAGUUUUUAGCUUGUAUAUAUUUAUAUAAGAUUAAAUAAAUGUAAUUUAAGAGUUUAAUAUUAUAAUUGGAAAAAGAGAACAUAAAAUUAUUAUAUUACGAUGACAGUUAAAGCUUUAUUACUUUAAUAUAAAUUUAAUUGAGAGUGAUUUAAGGUAAAAAUUUAAUAAAAAUAACUAUAAUUAAUUUAAUUUUUUAAAAAUAACUCAAAUAAAAUAAAAUACAUGACGCAUGACGAUUUUCAAGAUCGUUCACAUGUCAAUAAUAUAGGUCAUCCACAUUAAAAAUUUUCUUUUUUUAUCAAAAGUUUUAGCUUUUAUUAAUUUAUAUAAGAUGAAUAAUACAUCAAUUAAUAAGAAAUAUUUUAUAGUGAAGGAAAAAAAAAAAAAAAAGAAACUGCUCUCGUUUCAAUCACAACAGCACAAUUAUAAAGAGAAAUUAUUAAUAAGAAAAAAUUUCUUAUACUCCAAAUUUAAAACUGGAAUAAGCAAAAAUAAAACCCUAACUCCCUAAUGUGCUUAUCAAUAAAAAAGCGGAAAUUGAUGAUCCUAAUAUUAACAAACUGGCAAAAUUUUAAAUGAAGUUUUUUUGUGAAAUUUGUGAAAUUCUUUAUUAUAAAAAAUUAAAUAAUAAUUAAAAUUGAAAAUAAAAAAUGAUAAAUUAAAAGAUUUUAUUAUAUAGAUUAAGUGUAUAAAUUUUUAAAAAUUUUUAAUAUAUUUUUUUAUAUAGAUAUUUUUAGUAAUAUUAAUAGAAUUUUUAACGAUGAAUAAGUAUCGAUCAAAUUUGAAUUAUAAACAACAUUUUUAAUUGUUUUUUAAUAUUAUUGAUUUUCUUAUUAAAUUCUAUCAAUUUAUCGUUUUGGAUAUUUUAUUAAAAUUUUUAUUAAAUCAUUUUUAAAAAACAAUUUACAAAGUCCACCUAAAUAACUUUAUGUAAGUUUUGUCCUAACAAACUAUCAUUAAAAAAAAAGAUAAUGUCUUAUUUAACUCCUGAAAUAUUGUAGUUUGUUAGUUUUGAUAUCUAAACUAAAAAAGUUACUAAAUAGGUACCUAAACUCUCAAAUUGUAUAUCUAUUUGAUUCAUGAGUUAACUCCAUUAGAAGAGUUAUUGACUUAGCUAUUUUAGUCAAUAAAAAGUCACCAUUUGGACACAAAAUUAAAUGUCAAUUUAAGUUGUUGUUUACAUGUCAUGCUUAUGUGACCAUAUAUUCUAGAGAAGGCAAUAUAACUCGAAAUCGAGGGAUUUCGAUCCGAUCCGAUUUUUUAAGAUUUUUUUUUUUAAAAUUAGGUAUCAGGUUAGAUCGGGUUGGAUAAUAUAAGAAAAAAUUCGGAGUCGGGUCAAGGUCGGGUUUUAGGCAAAUCUGACUCUACUUGACUUGAUAUAAUAUAAAAUUAUUUUUUAAUUAUUUAUUUAAUUUUAUAUUUUUAUAUAUAUUUAAUUUUAUAUUUAUAUUAAAAAAUUUUAUAUUUAAAAAAUAAUAUUUUAUUAAUUUUGGGUCGGAAUAGGUAUGAUUUUAUAUAAUGUCGAAUCAGGUCAAUUUGGGUAUAAAAAAUAAGAAAAUUAUCAGGUAGGAUCGAGUUCGGGUUUUGUAUAUAUAAAAUCGAGUCAAAUUCGGAAUGAGCAAAAAUCUGCUUUGACCUAAUCCAUUGUUAUCACUAAUAUAUUCUAAAAAAAAUUAAAUUAGUAAAAAAAAAUAAUUCUCCCUUAAACCGUACACCUCAAAUUCAAUACUCAUACCACCAUCCACCCCAAAUUGGACAAAUUAUGAAAUUUUAGCAAAACCAAAGCUUAUGAAUUCGAAACUGCUACCUUGUAAAAUCGAAGUUGGUGCCUUCAUGAAAUCAACAACAAAUGAACCAAUUAAUCAUCCCCAUCCAUCUUCACAACCCCACUUUACCCACGAAAACCACCCAUGCCAAGACCUCUCUCAACAAUUGAAUCAACCCAACAACCCAAAAACCAAAACCUACGCUCACCACCAUAAAUUUUAAUAUAUUUUUUAAUUAAGCUUAAAAUUGAGUAUAAAAAUCAAAUUUAUAUUUUAUUAAAUAAAUAUAAUUGAUUAAGCUUGAAUAAUUUAAUUUUUAUUUCAAGUCAAACUUAAAUUUAAAAAUUAAAUCUCGAUCAAAUUCGAAUCGAAUUUUAAAUUAUAAAUUUUAAAUUAAAUUCAAAUUUUUACUAUAUCGAUUCAACUCAAUUACACCUGAUCAGUGGCAGUACGGUUAGAAGCCAAAACAUUUACACAGCUUUCGAUCUUAAAUGCACUGCUAAAAGUUUGACAUUUGAUCCCUUCCACUUUAUUUUGGCCUAAGCGAUUUUUUCGUUUACUUGUAAGCUACGAUGCAACACGAGAAGAAAAGAAAAAGUUUUAGACAUUAAAAUUUGAAUUUUAAAUUUAUUAUGUAUCAUAUUUUAAAAAUAAUUAUAUGAUUAAUUUAAAUUUUGUAUGUAAUUAUUUUUAUCACUUUGAAUCACACAACCAAUUAAAAACCAUUUGCAUGAAACAAAAUUUAUAGGAGUAAUUAAUGAACUAUUGCUUAAUCAUUUGCUUAUAGUUGUAGUAAUAAGUUAGUUUGAGUAAUUAUAAAAAGACCAAACAUCCUAUAUUUUUGCAUGAUUGAAAGAUUGGCGAUAUUUCCUUAUGUUUUUUAAAGGGAAACAAAUGAAAAUGGGAAAAAAGGAAAACUGAAAGUCUUUUCUCUUUUCCCAACAUCGUACUUCACUGAUCCCCCUUAUAUGAGUUAAAAUAUUGGGUUAAUGAAGGGAGAAAACAUAGAAUAAAACAGAGAUGACAACAUCAAAAUUCAGUCAAGAAUUAACAAUUUUAUUAUACAACAGAUAGGAGACAUCAAACAAAACCUUUAUCACACUUUCACUAUCAGAAAUCUAGCCCUUCUCAUUCCUCCACCACCCCUUGCUGUUUUCCUAACACAAAAUACGAUAAAAUUCAAAACUGAAAAAAAAAUAGAAAUAAAAAAAAGGCAACAAGUCUAUCUCACAUGGACACUAUUGCCUACUUUAAAUUUUACAUUUCCUUCAUGAUAUGAGACGUAGAAAUUAGAGCUCUGUUGACAUGUUGUUCGUGAACUGCAAGAUAGAGUAUUAAAUUUCUCAAACUCAGCUGCAUCUGUCUCUUUUCUUGUCCCCUGUAAAAUCCCUGUCCCUUACAUGAUGCAGCCAGGGUCGUGGUGCUGGGCAUAUCCAUAUGGUGGCACCUCUUGAUACACAUAUAAAGGUUGAUUAUAUGGCCACACAUAGGCCACUGGCUUUACCUCGUCUUUCUUCUCAUCUUUCUUUUCACCACCCAUGGCACUUACGCUCACAAGCUCUGUAUGCCCCACACUCUUUCUUAGCUUAAAAUUUUUAUUUUAUCUUCAAGCUUCGGUAUCUUUUGUAUAAAAAAUUAUCAAUGAAUUGAUAAUUUCGUGGUGUUAGAGUCGAAUUUAGAAUGAAUAAUUUUGAGUUCGAACCACAACUGUAAUUUAAGAAAAAAAGACUUUUUUUAUUAAAUUAAGAUAAGUGAAAAUUGUGACUUGUUAAUUUUAUUUAUAUUUGAUUGUUGGUAAUUUAAAAUGUAAUGCGUCUCAUAUUGAAUAAAAAAUUUUAAUUAUUGAUAAAUAAAAUUAAUUUUUGUAUUAAUUUUAUUCAUAUUUUAAAUAAUUAUGUUUGAAUACAAAUAAUUAUUAUAUGACAAAUCGUCAUAACUAUUUGAAUAUAAAUAGAUUAUUAUUCAUAAAGGUUAUGAUUAUACAAAAUAUCAUAACCAUCUAAAUAAAAGUUUAUUUUGUUCAUUCAUUAUAAAUAAAUAUUUCAGUAUAACCAUUUUCACUGCUUCUGAUUAGAAAGUUCGAACUUUGUUGUAUCAUAAAUGUAUAAUUGCCUUUAAGAAGUUUUCUUCACAUCUCAAAACCAAAAUUCUUUUCUAUUAUUUCUCUUCUCUUAUUUAUUUUUUUUAACAAUUGGUAGUUUAGAAUGUGAUGCAUCCUACAUUGGAUAGAAAAUUUUAAUUAUUGAUGAAUAAAAUAAUUUUUGUAUUAAUUUUAUUCAUAUUUUAAAUAAUUAUAUUUGAACACAAAUAAUUAUCAUAUGAAAAAUGGUCAUAACUAUUUGAAUAUAAAUAGAUUAUUAUUUAUAAAGGUCAUAACUAUAUAAAAGGUCACAACCAUUUCGACUGCUUUUGAUUGGAGAGUUUAAGGCUUUAUCAUAUCUUAAAGUUAUAAUUACCUUUAAAAAAGUAUUUUUCCGUGUCAAAGCCAAAUUUUUUUUUUUAUUAUUUCUCUUCUCUUAUUUAUUUUUUCUAACAAUUUAAAAGCAAUUAUAAAACAGUUAUAUUUUAUAUAAGGAAGAUAUAAGGAAAAGAAAUUAGCAUGAUUUGGAGAUCAGUAUUAAAAAAGGCUCAAGGUGUUAAAGGAUUAAUGUUUUUAUGGACCAAAAUAUUAAUUUUCAUAAAAAUCUUUAUUAGAGGUAAGUAUUUUAUUUUUCGCAUAAUUGUUGGUAAAAAGAUUGACUGAAUAAGAUAAAUAUAUUAACAAUUUAUUUUAUUAGUGUAUAAAGUUAAAACACAAUAUGUAAAAUAUUAAUUACAUUGUAUAAGUUUAUGCAUAUACUGAAAUUGACUUCACAAUUGGGUUUAAUGGAUUAUAUUAUAUCUAUUUGAAAAAUCGAUAUUUAUAAAGACUAGGAUGGGAAAUGGUCUGAAAACAUAAAAAAAGAAAGAUAUGAAUUAAUCUACGAUAAAAAAAAUUAUCACUUAUUAUAAAGUAACGAAUUAAAUUGGGUUCUAAUGAAAUAGUUAAUUAUUUAAUUGUCAUGUCUUGGUUAUAUAUAGAAUAGGUAAAUUGUCCCAUGAUUUCUAUGAAAACAAACGAAAAUAGGUAAAGGUAAUUGCCAUAAAAAAUUAGAUAUAAGUGAAGAAUAUAUUCGAAAAAUAAGAUUUGACUGUAAGAUUAGUUUUAUUUUUAAAUCAUGGCACCAAAAUUGAGAUAAUAAGUUGAGUCAAGCUAUUUGUAUAGUUCUAUGUUUGUUGGUCAUUUAUAAAUCAAAUGUUGAUAUAUUUUUUUUAAUUUAUUAUUGCUUUAAAUUUUGACUUGUGUUCAAUUUUCAAAAAACCAAUUAAAAUUAAAUUGAUAUAUGUGAAUAAUUAUUAUUAAGAUAUGGUGUUUUAAGGAUUAAUUGGUGGAUAAUAAACCAAAUAAUUGUUAUUAUAAAAAACAUGGACAAUGUGACAAGUAUUUUUACCUGCUAGGUGUAUUACACUAGAAAUGAUUUUAGAAAAUAAAUUUUAUUGUGAACAAUGACAAAGUUAAAUUCAUAAAUAGCCAUCAAAGAGUUAAUCAAUCUUUACAAAAAAGCAUUGUUGCUUUUCGCAUAUGGGACAUUGAUUAAACGAAAGGGCAUGUCAUUAAAAAAUAUUGAAGCAUUUGUCGGUUAGUAGCAUUUUGAAGGAUGCUUAUCAAUGUGUAAUUAGGCAUUUUUAUAAAUGAGAAAAGAACAUGCAAAUUCAAUGUUCCAAAUGCACCAAUACAUGUAUGUGUUGAAUUUCAUUUUGUGAUAGCAUGGAGAACAUUGGUACAGUUUGUCAUAUAUUACAAAAAUGAACAGAAUGAGAUGAAAUUUUCUUUGUUAUACGUAUAAGAAAGAUAUGGACUAUGGAGAUAGAAUGCCAUCAUCCAAUUAAUACAUUAUUGGUUAAAGACAAUGAAGAUAUUUUUACUUUUUGUGCCAAAAAAAAUGGCCUUUUGCAGGUUAUUAAAAUGAAAAGUGAAAAAUUUCUUGAGAUUUUCAAUAGUUUCAUGACAAUGGUAAGGAUGUGACUGGUUAUACAUUAUAUUAACAUAUGAGCUUAGAUAAUAAUUUGAUUUGUGAAAGCCGCAAGCCUUAGAGUUAAUCAAUCAAUGAUUUAACCAAUGCAAAUACAUCAUAAAUUUUUGUAUGAAAUAUGAGUGGAACUGAUAUUAUAAUUAUUGUUUUAUUUUAUUUUAUGAAAAUGAUUCUUUGGAUUUAUGUUUCAUGACUCGUACUAAUAUGGGGAUCUAGAUAUGAACAUAUUGAUCAUAAAAUGAUUGUGAAAGUAUUUAAAAUUGGAGCUAAAUAUACUAUGAACUCUUAUUUUAUAUAGGCAUAUUGAUCCUAUGAGUAAAGUUUUAAUUUAUUAUAUAUCCAAAAAUGUUAUGACCAAUUAAAGUGGUAAAUAAUAGAGAUAUAUAAGUUGCACAAUGAUGGAUAAAAAAAGUUCUCAUAAAAAAUUUUUUGAAAUCAAAUUUAGAGGUUUCAAUAGUCAUGAACUUGGAAUUGGCUAUUGGGCAAUUAAUAUAUGCACUUGAAACUCAUGAUAACUUUGAGAUAGUUGGUUUUUACAAAAAGCCAUCAUUAUAAAUGAAAUAACUUCAAUAGCCAAAUCUACAUGAUUUGUAGGUAUGAUGUGGAUUAUUAUAGUUGGCUUAGAAUAGCCAUAAGUCAAAAUUGAUGCCACAAUCUUGAUCAUGUUAUGGUCAUUUUUUAUUAUCAUAUGGUCUAAUUCAUGGAUUGUACAAAUAAUUUAUAGUUUAUGGUUUUAUAUAGUGAAAUUUUCAAUGUAUAUUUACUUUAGAAGCCAUGGGUUCAAAAUCUUAUGAAUAUGAAAUAGCAAAAGGAAUGCUAUUUGAUCCAUUUGGGUGAUGGAAAUGGUUUUGUUCAUGGUAAUAAAAAAUUAUUAAUAGUAUCCACGAUGAAAUAUAUUUAUAUAAGUAUUUAUGAAUUGACAUAAAAGUCUUAAAAGGAGACUAUAGAAGCAUGAUUAUAUUUGAAAUUUGCUUAUUAAUGUAAACUCUUAUAUUGAGUUUAAAUAUAAAAGGUUUAGAACUUUUAUAGAAAUAUUAAGAUAUUUGCUAGUUAUUUUUCACUAAGGGUGGAUUUGGAAGCCUCAUACUUAAAAACAAAAAUAUCACCAAUUAGUGAAAAGAUAAAUAAAAUGGCAACUUGAUUAAGUAUAUAUAAUAUCUUAAAUAAUUGAAUGAGACAUUCUUUAAUAAAAGAAUGCAUACUUGCAUAAGUAAGGGUGAUAAGAAUCAAAAUAAAUAAAAAUUACCAGUAUAGUAUUGUAAGAUUUUAGUAUAAUUUUAUGAGCAAAUUAUACAAACUAAUAAGUUUAGACAUUUAUUAAAGUAAACUCAUAAAAAAGGUCCUUAAAAAUCUUAAAAAGACUAAAAUCAUUUGGUUUAUUCAUUGAGUUUAUCAAAUUAUACUAGAAGUAUAAUUGUAUUAAAAAUGUAUAAAAGUAUGGAAAUAGAAUGGUUGAAAUUAAUGAAUAUAGAGUUAUGGCCACAACCAAAACUAAUUAUUUUUUAAAAUGAUAAGAAUGAGACAACAAUGUCUACAGCAUAUAAAUGAUAUGCAAAAUAAAAAUUUUGGACAUAUUAGCCUGAAGUGAUUAUAUUAGAGAUUCAAUUUCAAGUGGAGAUAAUUACGAUAAAAGAAAAUUAAAUUUCAAGAUAUUUGAUUAGUAGUACUACAAGUAAAAUGGAUUUAAACCUUUACUAUUAGACACCAAUAAUGGGAACCCAACAUUAAAUUAGUAACCUCUAAUUAUAAAGUUUAAUGGGUAAAAAUAAGUUAUUGUUAUGUGUUUGUUAAGCACUAGUAAAAUACAUUUAAAUUUUAGAAACUAGUGUGAUCCAUUGUAUGGGGAAGAUGAGUUUUUAUACUCUUACUGGAGUUUUAAAUGUCUAAAGCAAUAGAUACAUAAUGGAAACUCUACCUAUAUAAAUAUAGAAGUGGUGUCAUUUCAACAAAAAGAAUCAGGGUCUCUCUUGUAAAUGUUUAUUAAUAGGAUAAGCACAUUGCCAUAAUAGUGAUAAAAGCGGUUAUAAACCUCUUAUAGAAGAAUAAAUAAGUAUUAUGUGUAUUAUAUCUUCAAUUUUAAUAUUAGGAGUUGAGGUUUAAUUUGCGGACACCAUUAACUUCGUUAAAAUUUUAAGAUAUAUAUACUAAUUAAAUGUUUAAAUCAAGAGAUAUUUUUUUGUAUUCAUAAUAUUUAUUUGUAUGAAAGGUAAAAAUUAAACACCAACAUUCCAAAUUAGUAGAGGAUUGUUGGUAGUUUAGAAUGUGGUGCAUCCUACAUUGGAUAGAAGGAUUUAAUUAUUAAUGAAUAAAAUUAAUUUUUUAUAUUAAUUUUAUUCAUAUUUUAAAUAAUUUUGUUUGAACACAAAUAAUUAUCAUAUGACAAAUGAUCACAACUAUUUGAAUGUAAAUAAAUUAUUAUUAAUAAAUGUUAUGAUUAUACAAAAGGUUAUAAUAGUCUAUAUAGAAGUUUAUGUCUGUUCGUUUAUUAUAAAUAAAUCUUUCAAUAUAAUCAUUUUCACUACUUCUGAUUGGAGAGCUUAAGAUUUUUUUAUAUCCUAAAGGCAUAAUUACCUUUAAGAAAAUAUUCUUUAUACCUCAAAACCAAAAUUUUUUUUUAUUAUUUCUCUUCUCUUAUUUAUUUUUUCUAACAUAUAUAGCAUUCUGCCGAAAUUGAUACGUGAAACCCACUCACAAGAAUUUUCUCCACACCUCAUAAAAUAGGAUAUUAGCUACCAGGUGUAAGUAGGAAUAGUAAUAGAGUAGAUAUAUGUUAUUUUUAAAAUAUUCAAUUCUGAAUUUAUUUAAUAUUUAUAAUAUCUAAAUUCGUUUAAAUAUUUGUUUAAGUUUAAUAUUUUUAUUCAAAUCUGAAUCUGUUUAAAUAAAUAUUAUCCAUUUAAAUUUUAAUUCGUUAAAAUAUCUAUUUAUUUAAAUUUUUUUGUCAAAAUAUAAAAUAAAUAAGAAUUUAAUUUAAAAUUUAAAUUUACUCUUAAUUAAUAAUAAAUAAAAGUUAUUUUUUAAUAUUCGAAAGGACAAACCUUUUACAAGCAUAAAAUUUUAUAUAAUUUAUAUUCGUAAUGGAUAAUAAAUUCGGUUACAAAUUCAAAUAUUUAUUAUUAUUUACUAAAAUUUAAACAAAUUUAAAUAUUAGAUAUCCAAUAAAUAUUAUUCAUAUUCAUUCUAAAUUUAUCACAAAUAAUAAAUUUUUUGUUUGAAUCUAUUAAUUAUCCACUUAUAAUUAUUUUAAUCCAAUAUAAAGGAAUCAAAGAAUAUCCAUCUAUUUAUUAUCCAUUCCCAUCCCCAGCUUUAAGGUGAUCAAGGAAUUGAAAGGCUUUGCCAAUUGGCGAAAGAGUCUCCACCAAGAAAAAUAUUAGCUAGGGCCCUUCCAUGUCUACCACGGAUUUGCAGGACAGCGUUAGGCUACGCGGUUUAGCCUCCUUCUUUUGCUUGACUCUCUCAGUCAACACAUACGCCAAGCCUUUCGCUUUCUCCCCCGUUCAUGGCCUGGCCCAAGGAAGUCCCGCUUCUUUUUAAUAUCGCCAUUAAAUCCAAAUAAAUCUCCACUUUUAGAAAGAACCAUUUUUUUUUUUUAACUUUUGGGGCCAAAUAAAUGGAAAGUGGAAUCUUGGAUGUGUAAAUUACUCAUUUCUUGUUUAGACUGCAUCUUGAAAAACGAAGAUUUUCUGUUUACUUUAGAGAUAUAAAGUUAAAUUGUUUUGGGUCAUACACGUUGUAAUCAAAUAAUUUAGACCAAAAACAAUGACUAAUGAAGAAACAAGGCAAAUACGCAAUAUCAUAGUAGGCCAUAGAAUGAAAAACGUGUUCCGAAUGAAUAUGAUUAAAUUACUACUUAUUAAAUUGAAGAAAAAAGGAAUUCUAUUAAAGCUUCAUUUUUUGACAUUGCUCUUAAAGCAAUAUGUCAUAACGUCUAGAUCCGAAGAUCUAUCGUUAGACAUUGACUUUUAGGAAGUCGCCACCAAUCUUUUUUAUUUAGGUGCGAUUGUUCACCUUAAGAAUCUAUCCUUCCAGGGAACACCUAAGUUUAAGGGUCCCUAAAAGAAUAGGUUCAGGUCUACUAACCAGAACAGGGUUCGUGAGUUCGGUUACGUGUGAGGAAGGUUAUAGUACCCUCGCAACGCCCAUCAAAAGAUGGUACCAGCUUAAAUUUGUGUUAUCCAAUGAGCCUUAAAAUUUUACCAAAUAAUUAACUAUUAGAAAUUAUUCUCAAUUGACUCUAAUACUUUUAGCAGAAAAUUAAAAAAAUCCCCUCACCUCAAGAAUAUACAAGAAAAACUAUUGUUUCACUUGCAGAAGCUUCAUCGUCGGAUUAAUUAAGGAAAAAUAAAAAUCAAAAUCAAAAUAGAAAGGAAUGAAAUGAUGAUUGUUCUUGUGUAGAGAAAAUUGAUACUUUCAACUUUUCUCCAAAAAUAUUUUUUGAUUUUUAUUUAAAGAAAAUAAAACAAAAUAAAAGUGAAAAUAAAAAAAAUAAAGAAAAGUAAAACAAAAAUAAAAAUAAGAUAAAGAUAAAAAAUAUUAAAUAAAUCUAAUCUAAUAAAUAAAAAAUAAAUAAAUAAACAAAACAAAUAAACAAAUAAAUUAAAAAAAAAAACCUGGAGCGGCUCGGCUAUCGGCUCGGCUUGGCUCGGAGGGGGGCAGACACGCGCGGGUCAGGAAGCGGGUCGACGCUCGGGUUGGGUCGGAUCUCGGUAAAACACACGGAUCUUCUAGGUCACUUAAGGCCAAAACGACGUCGUUUUGGGAGGGUAUAAAAGGCAGUUCCCUUUAUUUUUCGGCAGAAACCUUCUCCCCUCUCUUUCUCUUCCUUCCCUUUUCUCUCAUUUCUCUCUAAAAGGCUGAAGAACUCCGGUUGAAGAUUCAUCGGAUUCUGAGAUUUGUUACCGGAAUCUGAGUUUUUUCGUCGGAAGUUCACCGGAAGUUGGUCGAAAAUUGGUUGGUUUCUGGGAAAGGUCGUCGAAAACUGGGCAGCUCACCGGAAACUUCAAAGUUGAUCGAAAUUUUUACCGAAAAAUUUAACUUUCGUCGAAAAAUUCACCGAAAUCUGGAAUUUUCCAGAAAUUCCCAGAAAAAAAAUUGCUAGAAAUCUUCAAAAAAAUUCAUACUAACUCCAGAACAUUUUUUAAUAUUUCCUUAGCCUUCUAUACUCUUCUAUCUCUCAAAUCAGUAGCUUUGCUCACUGUUUUUUCUCUAUCCAGCAUCUGUUCCAGGAGGUCCCUUUUAUAGAGAUUCAUCAAGAGUUUCUGAUCAAUCUCAAUUUCUGUUUGGACGGGGAUUCAAUCUUUAAAUCCAAUCUGGACUCUUCAGAUUGAAUUCCCAUUCACAAUGGGAUUCUUCAACUUUCAAUCAUAGCCUUCAAAAAAAAUUAUAAUAAUAAAAUAAUCGAAAAAAAAAUCAGAUAAAUGAAUAAAAAUAAAAUUAACAGAUAAUUAAUUAAAAAAAUUAAAAUAAGAUAAAUCCAAAAAAUAUUACAAGAUAAAAAAAAUAAUAAUAAUAUAAUAAUAAUAAAUAUAACUAUAUAAAUAAAAUACAUAUAAAUAUUAAAAUAAAUAAAUAAAUAAAUAAAGAUAUACAUAUAUUAAUACAUAAUAAUAAUAAUAAUAAAUAAUAAAAUACAUAAAAUACAAAAGAAGAAAAAGAAAAAAAAAUAACACAAGAUAAAAAUUGGAUUGGGCUUACCCAUUUGGGUCAGGCCCAAUUGGUCUGGGCCUGGACCCAAUUGGGUGUCUACAGCUGCCCCUCUUUACACAUUUUCUGUAAAACAGAAAUUGCGCAAAGACAUAGACACCCAAUCAAAACUCAACUCAACAUUGUCAUUUUUUAUUUUUUUUAUGUUUUUUUUGUUUUUUUUAUUUUUUUAUUUUUUUUUUUACCAAAGCUCCUCUAAAUAGAGGCUCAACGACUUUGAGAAACAUAAAUUGCUCCUCUAAACAGAGGCACCACGACUUUUGAAAGUAAAUUGCUCCUCUAAACAGAGGCACCAUGACUUUUGGAAAGUAAAUUGCUCAUCUAAAUAGAGGCACCACAACUUUGAAAAAGUAAAUUGCUCCUCUAAACAGAGGCACCACGACUUUUGGAAAAGUAAAUUGCUCCUCUAAACAGAGGCACUACGACUUUGGAAAGUAAAUUGCUCCUCUAAACAGAGGCACCAUGACUUUGGAAAAAGUAAAUUGUUCCCUGACAAUCAUGUCCAAAGGAGUUGAAAAUUGUGUUUGAAGGAGUUUCAGGAGAUUAUGCCCAAAGGUCUUAUAAAUCAAUCCUGAUACCACAAGACAUCUUAUUUCAAGGAUUAGGAACUUACCUGAUCAGUUUCUUCUCAAAUUUGCAAGAUAUCAAGAUUUGCAUUUGCAACUUGUAAGACUCGCAUCAAAGAUCCUCAUUUGAAUUUUGGAGGCUCACAUCCAAAAGUUCAAAGCUUUUUUAAAGGUUCUUAUUUGGCAAACUUGGAAUUCAUAUCCAAAAGUCUAAAGCUUUUCAUUUGAAUUUUGAAAAUUCACAUCCAAAAAAUUCAAAGCUUUUCAUUUGAGUUCAAAGGCUCACAUGCAAUAAAACUUAGAGUUUCACAUCUAAGUUCAAAGGCCCUUAUUUAAAAUAUUGGAAAUUCAUAUCCAAAAGGUUGAAUUUUGUAUUUUGGAGAUCCACAUCCAAAAGUUUAAAACUUUUCAUUUGUUCGAAGAUUCACAUUCGAUGAACUUUAGGGUUUCACUCCUCAAAGAUUCUCAUUUUGAAAUUCAAAGAUUCUCAUUUGAGUUCUCAAAAAUUAUCAUCAAAACAUUCACAAUUUCUUUUUCAAGUGACUCAAAAUUUUGCAUGAAUGACUGUUAUGACCAAAGAUGCAAAUACUUUCUUAAUGAUGCAAAUGUGGCAACCUAUAUUCUCAUAGUGCCAUGCAUGUCCAAACAAAGUUUAAUUCAUCAAAUCAUGUGCAUGUACUAUUCAAGCGACGAUGCCACCAUGAUGCAUGUAAUGCAAAUGUCUAUGCAACAAAAUUCUAAAUUAUUAUGGUGAUAUGGCUCUCAAAACUCCACCAUUUCGUAUGUCUUCCUUGUUCAGUUUCUCCAUAUUUUGAAACAAGUUUCAUCAAUCAAUCAUCACUUGACCACUGUUCAUAGACUUCUUAGCACUAAAAAUUUCAGAACAAGUUUCACCCACUAUCACUGAGUCAUUACUCAUAAGUGUCUCAGCAUUAACCAUUCCAAAACAAACUUUGUCCACUGAUUGCUUUCAUCAUUCAAUCAUAACUUGCAAGUCAUAUCGACCAAUUCAUCCUUGUAUUCAUCACUUGGUUAUACCAUUUUUCAACCCAUUAUAUCCUCCAUUUGAUCAUAUCACAUAUCCUUCCAAAUCAUCUCUUUUGGGUUUCUACCAUUUCUUUAUCAUCUUAGAUUUCUUUUCAAAUGAAUGCAAGAUUCUUUUAAGCACAUAUUCAUUCAUUCAUUAUCAUUUCAAAUCUUGACAAAUAUAAUGCAAUCAAGCAUUUUCUGAAUUCAUUCUAGGGGUGUAACAAUAAGAGAACACAUGGUAAAUUAUGGUAAAGAUAAUCAAUAAAGAUCUAUUUUGAUACAAAACAAAUGGGAAAGGAAAUGAAUUGGAUACAUGUCAUUGGGAUGGAUGGUAUGUCCAAAUGAUGAAUAUUCAAACAAUUCUCAACAUUAAUCUAGGAUUCUUUUUCAAAAACUCAUUCCAUUUACAAUUGAAGUCAUAUGGAGUUUGGCAAACUUUGCCCCAGUCUUUGAGGGAUCUUCAAAUGUCUUUGAUCUUCCAUUCAUGUGAGCCAUUUGACCUAGAUCUUUCUCUAUCAAAAUCACCCUUUCAGGUUUUCAAUUUGGAUCUCUUUUUUCCAUUUUUUCAUUUUUUCUUUUUUUUUAUCAUCUUUUUUUUUUCUCAUUUUUCAUCUAUUGUUGAUAUCUUUCAUACAUCAAACUUUACAGCAAUGUAGCAUGAUUCCAUUGCUUCAUCAUAAGCAUACCUUUGCUCAACAUGUGAUCAUUCAAGUUGAGUAUUCACACUUGAUCCAAAUGGACUUUUCAAGGUUGUAAUAUAGGCCAAGGUGAAGGGUCAUAAAAAAAUGGAUAUAAUAGGCUUAAAACAUGUAUUAAAAAGGUUCAAAACCAAAGGAUCAUUUGAUGCAGCUUGGCAUUUUGCCCCCACAUCAUUUUUUCUUUCCUCACACAAAGGAUUCUCAUUACUUUGCCCCAAGUCAUGUGUGGCAUUUAUUUUUUUCUUUUUUUUUUCUUUUUUUUUUCUUUUUUGAGACCUUUUGUAAAAAAUUUUUCAAAAAUUGCCCCCCAGUGUAGAAGGUGAUCUUUGGUUGGGGUUCCUUCGAAAAAGAAAUCAUAAUAGGCUCAAAGGGAUAGCAAUAAAUGGUUUUUCGAAUGGUAAAAGAAAGAUGGCCAUUUUUCAUCUCAAUUGUGAAUAUCUUUCUUGAACAUCAUCUAUUGAACAAAGCUCAUGAAUCUAUAUAAAAGAUUAUACAUCUUCAAGAUAUAUCUAUUUCACCUCCGGUAACAGCCUAUUUUUGCUCAAAUCAUCUUCUCAUAUUAAUAUGGAUAAGUUCUCAAAAUUAAAUCCCAAAAUUAUUGUUAUCAUUGUCUAAAUAUUCAUCAUCUGAAAUUUAAGAAUGGGGGUAUAAAGUUAUGAAAGGUAACAGAGCAUGGAGUAAUGGUCAAGUGAAAGAGAAAAAUGUAAUAAAAUGCAUUAACUUGCCUUUAUUAAAAUGAUAACAAGUAAAGUCACAUUGCAAAAGAAAAUCUAACAUUAUUUGAAAAGAAAUCCUAAAAUGACAGAAGAAACCUUCAACCAGCCUUAUCUCCAUUUUUUAAAAUUGUUGCCCUAUGCGAUCAGGUGAAGAAUCUCUAUUGACAUCUUGCCCCUCAAUUCAUUAUGACUUUUUGGACCCUUUCUGUUCUUGACUUUCACUCGGAGUGCUAACAUUAGAUGUUGUUGCUUUUCCUUGAUCAAAACUUACCAUUCCAUCAUUAAUCAAUCGUUGCACCUUAUACUUUAAAGCAGUGCAAUUUUCAGUAGAAUGGCCAGUAAUUCCAUAGUGGUAGUCGCAGUGGGCUAUAGGAUCAUACCACUUUGGAUAGGGUGGUUUAAGCGGCUCCAUAUGGCUGGGGGCAAUCAAAUGGCUAUUAUAGAGUUCUUGAUAUAACUCUGUAUAAGUCAUAGGGAUUGGAUCGAAUACAGGUUUUUCUUGAGUAGUCCGUUGUUCUCGUGAACCACUUGCUGGGUUAGUAAAGCGGAUUUGGGUUCUUGCAGGAGCUUGAAUGUUAAGGCUAUAUGUAAGAUCUUGAGGGCUAAAAAUUGAUCGAUAUGUGGAUGAAUAAGGUGGUUGUGGAGCUAGCUGAUAUGGGUAGGAUGAGGCAUUAUUCACAGCAGGAUAGUAUGGAGAGUAACCUUGGGGUGGAUAGGGUUGAUAACUCCUGAAUUGUUGUCUAUCAAAGCUCACAGCUUGAGCUUUAGCUUCUUUCUUUUCUGAUGCCUUCUUGGUUUCUCCUCCUUUCAACUUAUCAUUUUUUAUGGCACUAUCAAUAAUUUCUCCAGAGAUUACCAUGUCAGCAAAAUUUUUUGCUGCAUUCCCUAUCAUCUUUUCAUAAUAUGGAGGUUUUAAAGUGCUAACAAACAGCACUGUGGUCUCUUUCUCAGUCAGUGGAGGUUGUACUUGUGAAGCUAUAUCUCUCCAUCUCUGGGCAUAUUUUUUAAAAGACUCAUUUACCUUUUUCUCUAGAUUCUGUAAAGAUAAACGAUCAGGAGCUAAAUCGAUAAUGUGUCGAUAAUGACUGAUGAAGUCAUGAGCUAUAUCGGUCCAAGAUCGAAUGUGAGUCAUAUCCAACUGAACAUACCAUCUGGCAGCUGAACCUGUAAGGCUAUCCUGAAAGACAUGCAUCAAGAGCUUUUUAUCAUGAGCAUGAGCUGUCAUUUUUCGGUAAUACAUUGUGAUGUGAGUUUUGGGGUACUUUGUACCGUCAUAUUUUUCAAAUUUUGGUACUUUAAACUUAUGGGGGAUAACCACAUUAGGAACUAGGCAAAGCCCAGCAGCAUCAACUGACCCAUAAAAGCUAAAUCCUUCCACAGCCCGUAGCCUUUACUCUAGCAUACUAAUCUUGGAGCUUUUCUAAACUUUCACUCUUAUCUUUUUUUUCUCUUUCUCUUUUAAAUCAUCUAGAUCAGGAAUUGGUUCUGCGGCUUUUUCAUUAAAGAUAGGAUUUACAUAGCUGUUAUACUACCCUGGGUUAAAAGUUGAUGGCAUUCCAGGAUAUGUUGGAUAUGCGAAGUGUUGUGGCGAGACCUCUUGAGUAGACUGGACUUGAGGUGGGCCAAAACCUGGAGGAUAUAAAGGGUCAGCCACUUCCUGCAACGGGGGAACUUGUUGGCUUGUAUCUUCUUCAACUCUUUUUCCUUUAUUCAUGUUAUUAAGAGCCUCCAGAAUUUUGCUCAGCUCACUUUCAAUCUUUUCCUGUGCUUUUUCUAUUUUUUCAAAUCUAUGAGAAUUUUUCUGCUCCAUUUGUUUUGCUUUGGAUCUUGUGUUGUAUCGAUGGGCAGGGUUCUCACUAGAUGGAGCUAUCCUUGAACCUUUAGCACCAUAUCUUAUGAUUAGAAAUGUAUGCUAUGCUUUAUGUCUGAUGCUUUGAUGCACUAAUGAAAUGUACAUUUUUCUAAAUGAAAUCUAGUAUGAAAUGGAUGUAAAUGAUUGUGUUAAAACAUGAUCAUAAAAAUAAUGCAGAUGCAUACAAUCAGACAAACAACAUAGUUAGUUCCAUGGAUGAAAUGAAAGUGAUGUUGAUGCAUAAUGUUACAUAUGAUAAUGAAAAUGAUACACAAAGUUAAACAACCAAAAUGAUUAGAUAAACACCCUUUUUGUGUCUUAAUUUCAGGGUAUAUCUAUCAUUGGGUAGAAAGGGCUCUAUCCUAGGUUUAGGCACUCUUAAGGUUCACUAUAUGCGGUUUUUAGGUCAAAGUCUAAAGGUCCUCAAAUUGUUCCUUACAUCCUUGUCCAUCACAGACUAGUAAGGCACCCUAAUCCUUACCCAUUACAGGCUACAAGCGAAAAAGGUUCAAUUUGAGUGAGAGUAUUUUGCUAGCCACUGCGGAGGCAUUAGACCUCACGAAAGCAAUAGGUACUUUACUCCCUCCUAGAGGGUCGGAGCUCGGGUAUAGAGCUCAUGUUAUGCACAUGCAUAUGAAUGACAUAAUUAACAAGGUAAAUAAACAUGAAUGAAUAAUAACACAUAUAUACAAAAAGGUUCAAUUUUAUUAGGCUUUUGGAUAACACAAAUUAUUUGCUGGCCUGACUCUCAAAAUCCCCAGCGGAGUCGCCAAGCUGUCAUAACAUCUAGAUCCAGGGAUCUAUCGCUAGACAUUGACUUUUAGGGAGUCGCCACCAAUCUUUUUUAUCUAGGUGCGAUUGGUCACCUUAAGAAUCUGUCUUUCCAAGGAACACCUAAGUUUAAGGGUCCCUAAAAGAAUAGGUUCAGGUCUACUAACCAGAACAGGGUUUGGGAGUUCGAUUACGUGUGAGGAAGGUUAUAGCACCCUCGCAACGCCCAUCAAAAGAUGGUACCAGCUUAAAUUUAUGUUAUCCAAUGAGCCUUAAAAUUUUACCAAGUAAUUAACUAUUAGAAAUUAUUCUCAAUUGACUCUAAUACUUUUAGCAGAAAAUUGAGAAAAUCCCCUCACCUCAAGAGUAUGCAAGAAAAACUACUGUUUCACUUGCAGAGGCUCCAUCGUCGAAUUAAUUAAGAAAAAAUCAAAAUCAAAAUCAAAAUAAAAAGGAAUGAAAGGAUGAUUGUUCUUGUGUAGGGAAAAUUGAUACUUUCAACUUUUUCUCAAAAAUAUUUUUUUGAAAUUUAUUUUUUUAGGAAAAUUGAUACUUUCAACUUUUCCCCAAAAAUAUUUUUUGAUUUUUAUUUAAAGAAAAUAAAAAAAAUAAAAGUGAAAAUAAAAAAAUUAAAAAAAAAGUAAAACAAAAAUAAAAAUAAGAUAAAGAUAAAAAAUAUUAAAUAAAUCUAAUCUAAUAAAUAAUAAAUAAAUAAAUAAAACAAAUAAACAAAUAAAUUAAAAAAAAAACUGGAGCGGCUUGGCUAUCGGCUCGGCUCGGCUCGGCUCAAGGAAGAGAAACGGCUCAGGUGGGCAACUUGGGAAGCUCGGCUCGGCUCGACUUGGCUCGGAGGGGGGCAGACACGCACGAGUCAGAAAACGGGUCGACGUUCGGGUCGGGUCGGAUCUCGGUAAAACGCGGAUCCUCUGGGUCACUUAAGGCCAAAACGACGUCGUUUUGAGAGGGUAUAAAAGGCAGUUCCUUUCAUUUUUCGACAGAAACCUUCUCCCUUCUCUCUCUCUUCUUUCCUUUUCUCUCUCUUCUCUCUAAAAGGCCGAAGAACUCCGAUUGAAGAUUCACCAGAUUCUGAGAUUUGUCACCAGAAUCUGAGUUUUUUCGCUGGAAGUUCACUGGAAGUUGGCCGAAAGUUGGUUGGUUUCUGGGAAAGGUCGUCGAAAACUGGGUAGCUCGUCGGAAACUUCAAAGUUGGCCGAAAUUUUUGCCGAAAAAUUUAACUUUCGUCGAAAAAUUCACCGAAAUCUGGAAUUUUUCAGAAAUUCCCAGAAAAAAAAUCGCCAGAAAUCUUCAAAAAAAUUCCUACUAACUCCAAAACACUUCUUAAUCUUUCUUUAGCCUUCUAUACUCUUCUAUCUCUCAAAUCAGUAGCUUUGCUCACUGUUUUUUUCUCUGUCCAGCAUCUGUUCCAGGAGGUCCCUUUUAUAAGGAUUGAUCAAGAGUUUUUGAUCAAUCCAAAUUCCUGUUUGGACGGAGAUUCAAUCUUUGAAUCCAAUCUGGACUCUUCAGAUUGAAUUCCCAUUCACAAUGGGAUUCUUCAAUUUUCAAUCACAACCUUAAAAAAAAAUCAUAAUAAUCAGAUAAUUGAAAAAAAAAUCAGAUAAAUGAAUAAAAAUAAAAUUAACAGAUAAUUAAUUAAAAAAAUUAAAAUAAGAUAAAUCCAAAAAAUAUUACAAGAUAAAAAAAUAAUAAUAAUAUAAUAAUAAUAAAUAUAACUAUAUAAAUAAAAUACAUAUAAAUAUUAAUAGAAAAAAAAUAAAUAAAGAUAUACAUAUAUUAAUACAUAAUAAUAAUAAUAAUAAAUAAUAAAAUACAAAAAAUACAAAAAAAAAAAGAAAAAAAAUAACACAAAAUAAAAAAUUAGAUUGGACUUACCCAUUUAAACCAGAUCCAAUUGAUCUGGGUUUGGACCCAAUUGGAUGUCUACACAAUAAAAUUUCUUGCAACGUUAGAUACAAGGGCAAAACCAACAAAAUUAUGAAAGAAGGUCGAAAUAGUAAAUUAAGUUAGAAAAAGGAACGGAGUUUUAUAUUAAAGGUACCGAGCCACCAGAAUAGCCCUUGGUUAAAUAGGAUAAGAAUUGUGAUAAAAAUUUCAAUUAUAAGAUGAAUUUGUUUCCAAUGAGUAAAGUAAGUACUUGCAUUGGAGUUACUGUAAAUUUUCUCUGUCUCUUUUUUUUUUUUUGAUAUAUUAAUUACAAACUUUACUUUUAAAUGCAAUUUGAUCACAAUCUUGAUACCAGACUAAAUCCAAUCAAAUUUUCUUAUUUUAUUUUCCGAACAUAUAUAUAGUUAUUUUCUUAACAAUAGGAAGGCAUAAAAUUGUUUUUGCAAUAAGCAUAAAGUCCUAUUAUUAUUAUUAUUAUUAUUAUUAUUAUUAUUAUAUAUACAGUGAAGAUAUAGUCAUUUCCCAUUUCUUUAUAGUCAACGCAAGUUCUUAUGUUUCGGAGGGAGAUUUUAACUCUUUCCUGAGUUAGAAAAUACAUGCACUGACUUUUUUCAUCACUUGAUAGAUAUUAUAUGAUGAAAUUUGAAAUUUUUUUAGAGUUAGUAUUUGAUAUAUUGUUAGUGUAAAUUUUUAAUUUGACAAGUAAUAUUAAGAGAUUGAUAAAUAUUUUAUUUUUAAUUUUUUUAAAUAAUCUAAAAAAAUGCAUGACACCUUUUAAACCUUAUUUUCUGAAAUUUAAAAAUUUUAUUACUAAUGUAUUUAAAGUUUUAGAAUGAAAAAGACACAUGGAUGACAAAAAUCACUGUACAUGAUGACGAUGAUAUUUGAAGGGUGCCACCUUAAUCACUAAAUUAUUCAUUGGAUGUGUCAAAGAAUAUGUAAAUUAUUCUCUAAAGAAUAAAAAUUUAAGUAUUUAUGGAGCAAAGUGAAAAGAACAAAUCAUAAUAUAUGAUACAAUAUCACUUUUUGAUCGGUAUUGUGAGUAUUAUAUUUUUUUUAUUGUGUUUCAUAAAUUAUAUAUGCAUUUUCUUCUAUAAGUAUAAAUUAUAUUAUAAGAUAGGAUUCCUAUGGACAGAUACCACACCAAUUGCAUCCAUGAUGGAUUCUCUGUUGAGUCCACCCACAAACUUCACCAUACUACAACUCACUCUUACUUACCUCGGAGGCAAGUAUUGGACAAUGAAUGCUUUCUCUCUCACCACCAAAAAUGCAUAGCAAGUUGCAAAAAAGUAAAAAUAACACACAACAAACAAUAAAUACAUUUCUUUGAUAAAAUAAAAAUCGACAAAAAAAAAAAAACAUGUUGAUAUUUUUUUGUAACGACAGGUUUCAACAAAAUAGAAGAUGUAACUUAAAUACUUACUGUUGAAGUUACUACUGCUGGAUUCUCCCUAGCUUCCUGAUUAGUCUCUAGUAACAUCAUUACAUGCAACGUUUAAUUAAUCAAUAUCACAAAAAAACACUAAUUAAGGGUAAUUUAAACUUGCGACAAUAAAUACAAUUCUUUAAGUUGGUACAUGCCAGCUGGUUAUGUAUUUUCUGACUACAGGUUGUUGAUAAACUACUCACAAUGAUUUUAGCAUCAACAUCGUCUUACACAGAGAAACAAGAAAUGAAAUCAAGAAGGCAAGAUGUGAAGAAGCUCGAAUAAAGCCCUCAAACACUUAUACAAAACAAAGGCAUGCAUCGAGUCUUUUAGGGAUUUUCAAUAAAACAAACACAGUAAUAACAAUCUUGUAUGACUUUUUGUCAAAUUAAUAUUUUCCAUCCAAAUUGACGCUUAUCUCUAACACCCUUCUUGUGUUCGUUUUUAGAGUGUAGUUAUUAUUCAGACACGGUGGAACCGCGGAGAAGGCUGUCGCUUUCUCGCAUUGAUGAUACUAUCAAAUUGUAGCUUUAUCCACUAAUCUAGUCCGCCUUCCGACUUUCUUAUUUGCAGCUUUGUAUGCAAGAAUAGCCCACAACUUAGACUUAUUUUAUUUAGUAUUACUUUUUUUUUCAAAAUUUUUAGAAAUAAAAGGUAAAUUUUAUUAAAAAUGUAAGGUACACACUAAUUUGAGUAGGUACUUAAACCUUUAUCACACUUUCAAUAUAAGAAAUCUAGCGCUUCUCAUUCCUCCACCACCCCUUGUUGUUUUCCUACCACAAUAUAUGAUAAAAUUCAAAACUGAAAUAAAAAAAGAAAUAAAAAAAGGGCAACAAGUCUAUCUCACAUGGACACUAUUGUCUCUUUAAAUUUUACAUUCCCUUCAUGAUAUGAGACGUAGAGAUUAGAGCUCUGUUGACAUGUUGUUCGUGAACUGCAAGAUAUAGUAUUAAAUUUCUCAAGCUCAGCUGCACCUGUCUCUUUUGUUGCCCCCUGUAAAAUCCCUGUCUCUUACAUGAUGGAGAAGAUGUCAUGGUGCUGGGCAUAUCCAUAUGAUGGCACCUCUUGAUACACAUAUAAAGCAUGAUUAUAUGGCCACACAUACUCCGCUGGCUUUACCUCAUCUUUCUUCUCAUCCUUCUUUUCACCACCCACGGCACUCAUGCUUACCAGCUCUGUAUGCCCCACGCUCUUUCUUAGCUUAUUUGUUAGCUUAACUGGAUCAAACCCGUCUCUUGUUACUUCUAUUUGGCUCUUGUCAUUGUUGCGCCUGAAGCAAUAAUCACAACAAUAUAGAAGCAAUAGACAACAAUCAAUAAUAAAAAACGUAAGAAAAAUAAAACACACCAAGAUUUACAUGAAAAAUCCUUCAGUGUAGAGGAAAAAAAUCACGGACCACCAGAAAAAUCGUUACUAUCAAAUAAUAGGUAUACAAAGUUCUUCUCUAGCUAAAACAAGAGCUAAUCAACAACUAGAUAAACAAUUGGAAAAAUCUCAUCAAAUAAGUGACUUAACAAAUACACCUUGAAUUUGUUCCUAGAGAGCUUCAAACCCGAUUUUCACCGUUCAAAUGUAAAACUCUAAAUCAUAAAUCUCCUAACAAGGUUCCAACUCAAUCAGACCAUGGAUCGACUUCCGUUUAACCAACUCUCCCUUUUUUUUUUCUCUAUGCUUUUUCUGGCUUUUCUUUUUUCUCUACUUGGUUUUUGACACACCCUUAAAACAACCCCACCUCUUUUUUAUUAAGUAGCUAGGGCUAUGUGUAAAAUGAAAGAUCAAGACCCAUGACCUUUACUUGGUCCAAAAUCACUUACAUGGGGCUAGAUCCCAUUUUCCUAACAAUCUCCCCCUCCAAUCCCAUUAGGAAGAGAUUCAUCACCAUAGUAGUUUCAUUUGAAACUUACCUUGGCCAGGAAACUCAUUCCGUCCAAGUUACUGCAGAGCUCAAGCUUUUUCCUGAAAAGUAUCUUAGUCAACAUAUCUGCUAUAUUCUUAUCAGUAUGGACUUGCUUCAACAACAUCUAAUGUUCUUUGAUCACUAAACAUAACCAAUGAUAUCUAACAUCAAUGUGUUUUAUUCUAGCAUAGUACAUGGCAUUCUUACUCAAAUCUAAAGCACUCUGACUAUCAUAAAAUAUCACAUACUCUUUUUUAUUCAACCCCAAUUCAAAAAAAAAUGUUUCAUCCAAAGCAUUUUUUUACAUGCUUCGGUUGCUGCAAUAUACUCAGCCUCUGUAGUUGACAAAACAAUACACUUCUGCAACUUAGAUUGCCAAGAUAUAGCUCCUCCUGCAAAAGUGAACAAAUACCCUGAAGUAGAUUUUUUACCAUCAAGAUCGCCUGCCAUGUCAACAUCAGUAAAUCUUUCUAGAACUGAUUGUGAAACUUUAUAAGUCAAGCACAUUUUUUAGCUACCCUUCAAAUAUCUAAAAACUCAUUUCACUGCUUCCCAGUGAACUUUUCUCGAAUUAGAAAGAAAUCUGCUCACUACACCAACUGCAUGAGCAAUGUCAGGCCUUGUACAAACCAUAAGAUACAUUAAAAAACCGACUGCAAAAGAAUAAAGAAUACUAGACAUAGCUAGUUGCUCUUCCUUAGACACUGGAUAAGAUUUCUUACUUAGAUGAAAAUGGUUGGCAAGUGGACUACUAACUGAUUUAGCAUGUUGAAUGUUGAAUCUACCAAGCACUCGUUCAACAUACGUUUCCUGUGACAACCACAGCUUUCUAGCUCUUUUAUCUCGGAUAAUGUCCAUACUAAGAAUCUACUUUGCUGGACCUAAAUCUUUCAUAACAAAGGACUUAGACAAUUAUUCUUUCAACCUGCAAACCAUACUAGCAUUUUGUCCUACAAUCAACAUAUCAUCAACAUAUAAUAAUGGGAUAAUGAAGUUUCCAUUAGAAAAUUGUUUAACAUACACACAAGAAUCCGUUGCUGUUUUUUUAUAGCUAUGACUCACCAUAAAAGAAUCAAACUUCUUGUACCACUCUCGCGGAGCUUGUUUCAAGCCAUACAAGUUUUUCUUCAAUUUGCAAAUUAAGUGCUCUUUUCUUUUCACUUCAAAACCCCUCAGGCUGAUUCAUAUAAAUGUCUUCCUACAAAUCAACAUGCAAAAAUAUAGUUUUAACAUCAAGUUGCUCAAGCUCAAGAUUACACUCUAAGGGUAACCCUAUCAUCCUUUCAACCAUGACAUAAAAUUUUUGAAAAUACUGUAGUACCUGACUUUUGUAUUUCAACAUAUACACCCAAGUCUUACAUUAAGCAUCAUCAAUAAAAGUAACAAAAUAUUUGUUACUACUUAAUGACUUAACCUCAAUGAGAUCACAUACGUUAGAAUAAAUUAAUUUCAAUCUAUUUUCUUUUCUCUGAGAAUUUUUACGAAAAGAAACUCUAUGAUUCUUACCAAACAAACAAUAAUCACAUGAAUCGAGAAAUAUACUUUUAGUCAAGGGAAUAAGAGACUGCCUUGCCAAAACCUAUAACCCCUUUUCACUUAUGUGUGCCAGCCUCAUGUGCCACAAGUUUGCUGAAGCAUCAUUUUCAACGGUAUUUACCUGGUUACCGUUUAAUUGCAACAAUGUCUUAUACAUUGUGUAACAUAGUUUUCCCCUUGCAACUAUCAUAGAUCCUUUGAGAAGCUUCUACUGUCCAUUCUUUUAUCGGCUUUCAUAUCCCUUUUUAUCAAGGACAUUAAUAGCAAGCAAGUUCAUUUUCAUAUCUGAAAUGUGUCUGACAUCCCUUAAAGCCAACAUGCAGCCUGUACUAGUUUAUACAAUAAUAUCACCAAUCCCAAAAAUCUGUAACACACUCUUGUUUCUCAUCUUGGUACAACCAAAGUCUCAUACUUUGUAAGUUAUAAACAACUCACUCUUAGAAACACAAUGAUAUGUCGCUCCUGUGUCAACUAUCCACUCAAUGUCAGGAUCACUAACAUGAUUACAAUUACCAUGUGUACAAAUCAAAGUAAUUGAAUCACUAUCUGAAUUCACUGCUACAACAUUGCUAUCAUCUGAACUCUUGCCUUUCUCAUCUUUUCACUCUUGCUUUAAGAUUUUACAAUUUCAUUUUAUAUGACCUGCCUUAUCACAAUAGAAACACUUCACUUUACCUCUAGACUUGGAUCUAUGUUUAGACUUACCACGACCUUUUGAGUCCUGACCUCUGUCGAUGUUUUUAUCCUUAUUCUUUGUGACCAAAGCUUGAUUCUCAAGGUCUAUAUCUUUUCGUCAUGCUUCUUCAUUAAGCAUAUUGUCUUUUACCAUCUCCAAUGUCACCUUAUAAUCAGGAGUUGAAUUAAGAACAAUCACAACUAGAGUAUUCCAGCUGUCUGACAAUGAACCCAAAAAAAAUAACACCUUCAUUUCAUCAUCCAUCUUAAGCUCUAUAGUAGUUAUCCGAUUAAAUAUAUCUUGAAAAUCACUCAAGUGCUCUGUAACAGAUCGUCCAUCCAUGUACUAUAAAGUUGUAAGCUUUUUAACAAGCAUAAUUUUAUUCAUACAAGUUUUUCUCUCAUACAAUGCUGUCAAUUUUUUUCAAAUAAUGUGAGCAUCUGACUCCUGUGUUACAUGAUGAAACAUGCUGAUAUCAAUCCAUUUUCUGAUUGUAGCCAGCGUCUUUCUACCUAGCUUCUUCCAGUUUUCAUCUUUCAUAUCUGCUGGUUUAGUCGAAUCACCCAAUACUGGCUCAUACAAAUCUUUGCAGUAUAGAUGUUCCUUCAUCAUAGGCUUCCAAAUUGAAUAAUUUAAUGCUGUCAAUUUUAUCAUUGAACCUGUAUCACCCUCUAUGAUCUUAAAUAGAAUUUACUUCUAUCUUGGGUUGCUUUUGUAUCGAUGUCUCAAAAUAACCUUAGCUCUGAUACCACUUGUUGCGCCUGAAGCAAUAAUCACAACAAUACAGAAGCAAUAGACAACAAUCAAUAAUAAAAAACACAAAAAAAAUAAAGCACACCAAAAUUUACGUGAAAAACCCUUCAGUGUAGAGGAAAAAAAUCACGGACCACAAGAAAAAUUUUCACUAUCAAAUAAUAGGUAUACAAAGUUCUUCUCUAGCUAAAACUAGAGCUAAUCAACAACUAGAGAAACAAUUACAAAAAUCUCACCAAAUAAGUGACUCAACAAAUACACCAUGGAUUUGUUUCUAGAGAGCUUCAAACCCGAUCUUCACCGUUCAGAAUGUAGAACUCUGAAUCAUAAACCUCCUGACAAGGUUCCAACUCAAUCGGACUACGGAUUGACUUCUAUUCAACCAACUCUCCAUUCUCUUUUUUCUCUCUGCUUUUUCUGGCUUUUCUUCUUUCUCUACUUGAUUUUCAACACACCCUUAAAACAACCCCACUUUUUUUUUAUUAAAUAGCUAGGGCUAUGUGUAAAAUGAAAGAUUAAGACCUAUGACCUUUACUUGAUCCAAAACCAUUUACAUGGGGCUGAACCUCAUUUUCCUAACAGUCAUCACCUUUCAAUGAAGCAGACUCCACUCCUUGACACAAAAAAAAAAAAAAAAAAAUCAGCAAUCAGCAUAAAAAUUUUCCCAAUAUUUUAUUAUCAGAAUGAAUGAAAUCAAAGUGAGUUUCAGCUUGUUUUUACUACCUGAGAGACCGAGCACAAUUUGCAAGGCCUUGGAGCGGGACUUCUCUCCAUUCAUAGUUACCUUAACCACAAUCUUUUGCUGCAAAAAGGAAAAUCUCAGUUCAACAUAAAAUCCAUCAAUCAAAGAAACUUCUAAUUUCAUGAUUCAUUUUCAUACCUUCACGGUGUCGUUUAUCUGUUAAGAUAGAUUAAAAGAGAGUAGGAAAAUGCUGGCGAUGGCGAUGGCGAUGGCGAGGGAAAGAUGUUUGGAGGAAGCGGCUAGAGAGGAAGUAACUGCUUACUUGUUUUGUUUUGGCGCAGGCAGAAACAUUUUUUUGGCAUUUAUACACCGUUCGGGAUUGAGAAUUUGCUAGGACCUGAGCUGUAUGCAUAUUUCUUUGCAACUUCCAGGAACCGUUGAUCUUCAUUGUAAGGUGAACCACCAAGUUUACAUGGUCAGCUCUUCCACUUUAGUUCCGUACUUUGUCGCACUCGAACAUUCUCCGACUCAGUUCAAACAAAGAAUAUUUUUUUUUUACAAAGGCGGUUUGAAUCUUUUUAUUAUAAUAAAAUACAUAAAAAUAUAAACAUCACAUGUAUGUAGCUCUUAUUAUAAUUUUAAAUUCCAAUUUUGUAAUAGUCAUUGAUGAAAGAGAAGCAUUUUAGUAAAAUUAAUAAUUUAAUUUAAUUAAUUAAUAUAAUUAUUUUAAAAAAAUAUAUUAAAUAAAUUUAUUAUUCAAAUUUUAAUACUUAUAACUCCUUUCACUAUUUUCAAACUAUUAUUUGUAAAAAUGAUGUAAAAAAAAAUCAAAGAUAUAUUUCGCUUGUGAGGUCAUGAAUCUUGAUAAGGUUGAAGGUUUGCUAAUACAAUUAAUUUAAAAAAAAAAAAAAAAACAACUUCAACAAUACUUUCUGACCAUUAAAUCCUAUAUAUAAUUCAAACAUUUAUGCCCAAAUCUCUUAUACGAUUUGCUCAAUUAGCAAUGACAUUGGUUUAUCAUAUAAUUAAUUUUGUAGAGAAUAAGGAAAGAGGGAAUGUUUAUUGGUACCUCAUCCUUUCUCCAAUUUUUAUUUUUUUAUUUAUUUAAUUCUAUAUAUAAAAAUAUUUUUUCAUUAUUUAUUUAAUUUUAUAUGUAUAUAUAUUUUAAAAAAUAUUAUUUAAUAUCUUAAUCUAAUAAAUUUUUGUGUCAUCUCAUUUGACUUUUCUAUCAUUAUCUUUAUUUUUUAAAAUUUUAUUUAUUAGAUAAAUUUUCUAAAAAAAAAAAUAGAUGUACAGAUGACAAAACAUAUUAUGUCCAAUUAAUUUUGAAUUAUCAUAAUUCAAUAGAUGUGAUUUUUUUUUAAAAAAAAUUGAGUUAGAUUUAUCUCUUUGAAUAAUUUAGGUAAAAUCAAGAUUAAAUUUGGGAUAUUUUACCCUACCUUCCUCGGGAUAUAUAAAAAAAAUAUAUUUAAUUAUUUAUUUAAUUUAUAUCUAUAUAUGUAUUAUAUUAAUUAAAAUAUUAUUUAAUACUUUAAUUUAAUAAAAAAAUUACAUUUAUAUAUAAUUCAAUUAUAAUUUAUAUUAAAAAAUGAAUACAUUUAAAUUUGAUUAUACGUUUUCAUCCAUUAAAUUUGAUAUAAAAAUUUUAUUUCUUUUUUUUUUAAACAUAAUGUAGAUACCCAUUUUUUUCGAUAUCAAUUAUUAUUAUUAUAUUAUUAUUAUUAUUAUUAUAUUUUUCCUUUUUUCUUUUAUUUUCUUCCUUCUUAUUUUCUUUUUUGGUCUAUUUGACAAAAAUCUUGGUGUAUUAAAUGCACCCUCCCUAAAGUUUAAAAUCUUAGUCGCCACCAACUGCCGACAACCACCUGACACCUUUGCAUAACUUGGCAAUGUGGAUUUCAGCCACCAAAAGUCUACCAGACUCGUUGAAAAUAUGAUAUUUGAAUCUAAAAAAAUCUAAGAUUUAGAUCUAAAAAAACUCUAUAAAUAGAGCUACCUUCCUGCAAGAAAAGAGAGGAAGGAUCCAUAAAAGAAAAACUUUGCAAAAAAAAACAAAAAAAAAAAGAAAAGAAAACCUUGAAAAAAAAAACACCUAGAAAAAAAAAAAAGCUCUACUAGAUUAAAAAAAAAGUCGUUUUGUAAAAAAAAUUAAAAACAAAAACAAACACACAAAAAAUCACAGUCCCUAGAAUGGGAACCAACGUUACAAAAAAAAAACCAAGCAAAAAAAAAGGAUCCUUUUGGUUGAAUCUUUCAAGCUUGAUUUAUGCCAUUUGGAGCCUUAUUUUACAAAAUCAGGCCUAGAUUCUUGUUUAGGGGUUGAGGGAAAUGUUUUUUUUUUUUAAGCUUCAGGGUUUUUUGGCAAUUGACGAUCGACAAACGAUGACGGCAAUUGAAGAACAGCACGGUCAUUGACAUCCACUUUUGAGAGCAGCGACAGCCGGUUGAGGACUAGAAAGGGGGAGUUUGGGAAAGAGAGAGAAAGAGGAAGAAAUAAAAUAAAGUAAAAAAAAUUUUGGCUUUUAUAUAGUUGAAAAAAAAGAAGCAAAAUGACACUAUUUCACAGACCCAGGAUAUGCGUGUUAACCCGACAAUCCGACCCAGGGUCUGUGCAACCAACAUUCGAUUCGUACCUCUUUAACCAUUGACCGGUCCAGUUGAACCAUUAACAGGUCUAGACCAGACCGUUGCUGACCAACUUGCCCAAAUUAGCAUUGACUGAACCAUUGAUCGGUUUAGUUCAAGUAAAAAAAAUUUUAAUUUUUAAAAUUUUUUAAGUAUUAUUUUUAUUAUUUUAAAAUUUAUUAUUAGUAUUUAUGCAUAUUAAAAUGUUUAAAUUUGCUAUAAUAAAUUUUAUUGUGUUUAUGAUGAUAAUUAGUAAAAAAAUAAAAAUAAAAUAAAUAAAUAAUAAAAUACAUAGUUAAAUUUUUGAUAAUUUUGUUAAAUUUUGGAAUAAAUCUUAUAAAAUAAUGAUAAAAAUAAUAAUUAAUAAUUAAUGACUAUAAUAAUAAAAAAAUGGUUUCUAACCUUUGAUAAUUUUUUAAAAUUAAAAAUAAAAAAUCGUAAAAAUAACCAAAAAAAUAAUUAAUAUAAAUAAUAAAAAAUUAGUAAAAAUGUAAGAAAAAAUGUAAGAAAAAAAAUUUUAUCCAACGAUGAAAUUCAAAGGUACUCCGAGUAUCAAUGCCUACGAAAUCUUUAUAUGAAAAAAUUUUUUAAAAUACUACCAAGGUAUUGGAGUAUUUAUAAAAAAUUUUCAAUACAAUAAAAAAAAUUUUUUGCUAUAAAAUAGUAAAUAAAAAUAAAUAAUUUGUUAAAAAUAAGAAAAAAUAAAAUUUUAUCCAAUGAUAUGAUUCUAAAAGUAUUUUGAGAAGUGAUAUUUUACAAAAUCUCUAGGUGAGAAAUUUUUUUUUUAAAAUAUUACAAGUAUAUUAGAAUAUUCAUAGAAAAUCUUUAAUAUGAUAAAAUUUAUUCUUUUCUUCAAAAAUUGAAAUAAAAAAAUUAAUAAAAUUUUUAAAAAAAGAAUAAAAUGUGUGCAUCAACUUAUUAUCAUUUGCAUUGCAUACACAAUAUAGUUUUUCGCAAAAAGUAAAUCCAAGCUUUUAAUAAUGAGAUUCUAAAAUAUUAUAAGAAGUGAUGCCUAAAAAAUCUCAAUGUAAGAAAGAGUUUUUUUAAUGUUAUUAAUGUACCAAAAUAUUUGAAGAAUUAUUUUAAUAAAAAUAUUCAAAUUUAUUUUUUUUCGAAUAAAACAAAACAACAAUAAUAAUGGUAUUAAAAAAAUAAAAUUUCAAUAAAUAAAGGAAGUUAAUGAAAUUACUUUUUAAACACCAAAAUUAAGAUUAUUUUUGUCAAGAUUAAUAGAAAACAUGUAAUUAAUUAGUAUCAUUUUAAAUAGACGCUAUAAAGGUGCUAAUAAUUUUUCACACAUAACCAACUUUCAUACCUAAACUGUUUCACAAAUCUUAAAAUUAUCUUUUUAAUAAAUUUUAAUUAAUUUUAAUAGAUGACUAAUUACACCUAACAAAAAAAAAUUAGUGAUAAUUUUAUUUUUUUUAUUUUUGUUUCCAAAAUUAUUGGGUGACUCCAAAAUCAUUAUGGUACAUAAUUUAAAAAUAUAAGUUAAUCCCACAUUAAAAUGUGGGUCUAAUUCUAAUAUAUAUUAAUAGUAACUAAUUCCUUUCCCAUUGACAAAGACUCCCACUGGUAAACAACAAAUUAGACUAAACAAACCCAAAUUUAUGUAAUUAAUUUAGUGAAAUAAUUUAUACAAUGGAGAAUGUGAAACAAGGAGCUGUUGAAUGCGAACCUGAGUUAAAUAUUAGUAUCAUAUUUAAUAUUUUAGAUGAAAAAGUAAUCAUCUAAACAACAAUAACGCAAAAGAAUGAUUUGAUGGAAAAAAGUUGAAGCAACUUUCUUUCUUUCUUCUAGAAUAGAUUUAUUAGAAUUAGAUGGUUUUGGUUACUUUAGAAUAGUCAUUGGCCAGGUGGAGGCCGUGGCCUUUCUGCUCCAGCCGUUGGGUUUUUCUUCAUUCUAGAAAUUAUUUAAAUAAUAUACUCCCUCCCUCACAUAUUAUUAAUCCAUUAAUUUUCAUGUAAUUUAAGAAAAAAAUUUUAAUUUUAAUUUUUUAUAAAUUUCAUGUGCCAUAAAUUUUAAUAUCAAAAAAUUAAAAAACUUAAAAAAUUAUUUUAGAAUAUUAAAAAAAAGAUUUAAGUGUUAAAAAACAUUAUUCCAAGUCAUUCCAAAAAUGAACAAAGAAUGACUAUAUAAUUAAAUUAGUAAGCCUUUUCUUUGCAUAGUGACAAUUUUAGCAUAAUUGAUUGGUUUACGUCAACUUGACUCAGUCAUUUACUUUUAAAUUAGUGAUACAUAAUUUGAACAAAUAGCCACGUGCUUCACAAUUCAGCUAACCAAGCCUUUUCUUUUUCAUAGAGACAAUUUUAGCAUAGUUGAUUGGUUUCAUUGACUCCUACGUCAACUUGACUCAGUCAUUUACUCUUAAAUUAGUGAUAUAUAAUUUGAUCAAAUAGCCACGUGCUUCAUAAUUCAGCUAAUCAAAAUUGGAUGAAACAUGGCAUGAGUUUAGAAAUAUAUUUAUUUAAGGGUAAAACUAUCAUUAGCUGAAGGUUUUUCGAGGCAAUUUAAGUUCAUAAACUUCGAUUAAAUAAAAAUAAAAAUAAAAAUUUGAAAAGAGAAUAUACUAAUAGAAUUUCAUGAUUUGACAAAUAAUAUUAAGAAUAAUUGAUAGUGGUAUCACAAUUAAAAAAAAAUCAUAGAGCACAUUAUUUAAAAAAAUCAAUUCAACAAACUCUAACCAUCCACAAGUUCUUUAUAUAUAUAUAUAUAUAUAUAUAUAUAUAUAUAAAAUUUAAUCUUCAGGUAAUCAUUUUGACCAAAGAGUUUCAAAGUUAAUGGAGCUAUGUGACCUAUGAGCUGAAGGUUGUACGUCCUUGUUCUUUAUUGAAACAAGGUUUUAUUGGAUAACUUUUAGAUAUGUUCUUUUCGAAUUGAUUCUGCUUAAUAAAUAGGUAUAACGAAAUAAAUGAAAAAAACUAUCAAUGAGCUUAAUUUAGUUCGUAUGAAUUAUGUAAUCAUUUUAAAAUGCUGAUAUUUAAUAACUCUAAAUUUCAAAUUUUAAUACUUGUAAAUUUUUUUAUUUUUAAGUUAUGAUAUUUUUUAUAUAAAAACUUAUUAUUGAAUUAAUAAUUUCAUAGUGUUAGAAUCGAUUUUAAGAUAAAAAAUUUUGAGUGCGAAACACAAUGGUAAUUUAAAAAAAAAAAAGAUUUUUUUUAUUAAAUUAAGAUGAAAGAAGUGACGAUUGGGACUUGUGAGUGUAUAUAUAGCAUUGUGCCGAAUUUUAUAUGUGAAACUCACUCACAAGAAUUUUCUCCAUGUCCCAUAAAAUAAGAUCUUGGCUAUUAGUUGUAAGUUGGUGUAAACACCAAAUUUACCUAGGUUCUUUAAAAACUCAUUUUUAAUUUCACUCAGGUUUAAUAUGUUUUUGGGUUGAGGCCCAAUUUUAUUUUUUAGCCUAAGCCUACUUUCUUAUUUUCAUUCUUGCUUUUAUUUUAUUAUUUUUAUAGUUUAUAAUUAAAUAUUAAAUAAAACUUAAUUAAUUAGUAAACAAAAAAGGAAAGAAAAAAAAAUCAAGAGUGACAGUGGGUGCUGUGCAUGGCUAAAUCGUAAAAAAAAAAGGGUUGAGAAAAGCUUUUGGGUGAAUUUUUAGGCUUUUUCAAUCACCGAUAACACGAUCAAAGACUACAAACGGUGAACCAGGAGGUGAUCGACGUGAUGAACAACGGCUAAUUUCUGAAAAUUAGCUGGCUCUUUAGGUUUUUUUUGUUAAGAGGUUUUUAAAGUUUUUUUUUUUUUUUUGGAGAAAGGGGGAGAAAUGAGCUUAAAAAGAGAGUAUUAAUAUAAGUAGAUAAAGAGUCAAAACAAUGUCGUUUUGACAGUCUAAGAUCCGCUCGUUGACCUGAAGACCUGAUUCGAGGUCCGUGCUCCCAACCCUUUAACCCGCUUAACCCCAAGCCUCAAAUUGGUCCAACUGGACUGGUAUUGAACCACCCCUUAAAUCAGUCUAAACUUUACAAAUCGACCUAAAUCAUUGAAUCAAUUGGUUCAAGUAUUUUUUUUAAAAUUUUUUGAAUUUUUUUAUUUUUAUUUUUAUCAUUUUAAGUUUUAUUUUUAUUUUUAUUAUUAUUAUUAUUAUUAUUAUUAUUAUUUAUGCAUGUUUAAAGUUUUAAAUUUUUUAGAAUAAAUAUUUGUUGCUUUUUUAAUAAUAAUAAUAAUAAUAAUAAAUAUAUGAAAAAAAGAAUACAAAUAAAUAAUAUAAAAAUAAAGUUUACAUUCUUAAAAUUUUAAAUACCAUUAAAAACUAAAAUAAACUUUAUAAAGUAGUAAAAUAAAAAAUAACCAAAAAAUAAAUAAAUAUAGUAAAAAAUGAUAAAAAGGAAAUUUUUAUCCGAUGCCAAAAUUCUUAGGUAUUCUUAAUAACAAUUCUUACGAAAUCUCUAAGUGAAAAGAUUUUUUUAAUACUAUUAAUAUAUUGGAGUAUUUAUAAAAAAAUUUUAAUAUAAUAAAAAUUUCUUUUUUUAUUAAUAAAAUAAAAAUUAACUAAAAAGUCUUAAUAAAGAUAAAAAUAACUAAAAUAAGAAUAAAAAUACUAAAAAUGAUGGAAAAGAAAAUUUUAUCAGAUGAUAAGAUUUUAAGUAUUGAAAAUCUCUUUGUGAGAAGAUUUUCUUAAAUAUUAUUAGUAUAUUGAAGUAUUUAUAAAAAAUUUUCAAUAUGAAAAAAAUUUCUUUUUUUUUCAAAAAAUAAUAAUAAAAUUAAUAAAAAAAAAAACAAAAAAAUUUAAAAAAAUGUGUGCAUCAAUAUAUCAUCAUUUGCAUUACAUACAUGAUAUAAUUUUUAUGAAAAAUAAAUACAAACCUCUGAGGAUGAGAUUCUAAGGUAUUCCGAGAAGCGAUAAUUAAAAAAUCUUUAAAUAAUAAAAAAAUUUUUUAAUGUUACCGACAUACUGAAACAUUUUAUGAAUUAUUUCAAUAAAAUAAUUUCAAUUUAUUUUUCUUGAAUAAAAUAGAAUAACAAUGAAAAAAAUAAUAAAAUAAAAACUAAAACUUAAAUAAAUAAAAGAAGUCAAAAAAAUUAUUUUUAAAUAUAAAAAAUAAUAUCUUUUUUGUCAAGAUUAAAAGAUAACACAUAAUUAAUUAGUAUCGUUUUAAAUGGGCGCUAUGGGAGACUAAUCAUUCCUACAUAUAAUUCACUCCCGAAUAAAAACUGUUUUACAUACCUUAAAAUUAUUUUUUUAAUAAAUUUUAAUUAAUUUUAAAAUUUUAUUAAAAUUAUAUAUUUUAAUAGAUGACUAAUCACACUUAAUAAAAAAAUUAGUAGUGACUUUUUUUUUUGUUUUCCAAAUUCAUCGAACAAUUUCAAAUCGUUACAAUAGUAGAAAUAACAACAGAGUGGAUAUAUGCUAUUUUUGGAAUAUUUGUGUCUAAAUCUAUUUAAUAUUUAUAAUAUCCAAAUUUGUUUAAAUGUUUGUUUAAGUGUAAUAUUAUUAUCCAAAUCUAAAUUCGUUUAAAUAUCUUAAUCAAUCAGAAUAUUUAUUUAUUUAAAUUUUUGUAAAAAUAUAAAAUAAAUAAAAUUUUAAUUUAAAAUUCAAGUUUACUAUUAAUUAAUAAUAAAUAAAAAUUACAUUUUUAAUAUUUGAAAACUUUUAUAACUAUGAAAUUUUAUAUAAUUUACAUAUAUAAAUAUGUAUAGGAUUAAAUAUGAAUUUAAAUAUCUAUUAUUAUUAACUAAAAAUUAAACAAUUUUAAAUAUAAGAUAUUUAAAGAAUAUUAUUCGUAUUCAUUUUAAAUCUAUCAUAAGUAAUAAAAUUUUUAUUUAAAUUUAUUAAUUAUCUAUUUAUAAUUAUCUAAAUCUAAUCCAAAUAAAUUAAAUAAUAAUAAAUAUCUGCUUAUUUAUUAUCCAUCGCAAUCCCUAGCUGUAAAGCUGAUCAAGGAAUUCAAAGGCUUUACGAAUUGGCGAAAGAGUCUCCACCAAAAAACUAUAUUAGCUAGGGCCCUUCCUUGUCUACCACAUAUUUGUAGGAUGCGGACGUUAGGCUACGCGGUUUAGCCUCGGCCUUUUGCUUGACUCUGUCAGUCAACACAUACGCCAAGCCUUUUGCUUUCUCCCUUGUUCAUGGCCUGUUCCCAAGAAUAUCGCCAUUAAAUCCAAGUAAAGCUCCACUUUUUUUUUUUUUUGCAUACUUUUAGAAAGAACCUUUUUUUUUUUUUUUGGCUUUUGGGGCCAAAUAAAUGGAAAGUGGAAUCUCCGAUAUAUACAUGAUUCAUUUCUUGUUUAGACUGUAUCUUGAAAAAUGAAGGUUUUCCUUUUACUUUAGAGAUAUAAAAUUAAAUUGUUUUGGGUCAUGCGCAUUAUAAUUUAAUAAUUUAAAUUAAACAUUUAUCUUUAUUUUGUUCAACAUCAUAAACUCAUAUAGUAGACCCUAAGAUGAAAAACGUGUUUUAAAUGAAUAUAUGAUUAAAUUACUGCUUAUUCAAAAGAAGAAAAAAGAAUUGUAUUAAGGCUUCAUUUGACAUUGCUCUUAAAGCAAUAAUAAAAUUUCUUGCAACGUUAAAUACAAGGGCAAAACCAAGAAAAUUAUGAAAGAAGGUCGAAAUAGUUAAUUAAAUUAGAAAAAGAAGCCGAGUUUUAUAUUAAAGGUACCAAGCCACUAGAAUAGCCCUUAGUUAAAUAGGAUAAGAUUUGUGAUAAAAAUUUCAAUUAUAAGAUGAAUUUGUUUUCACCGACUAAAGUAAGUAUUUCUGUCUCUUUUUUUUUAAUACAUUUAUCACAAAUUUUACUUUUAAAUGCAACUUUUGAUCACAAUCUUAAUGCCAAACUAAAUCCAAUCAAAUUUUCUCAUUUUUUUUUCCAAACAUAUAUAUAGUUGUUUUCUUCAUAAUAUGAAGGCAUAAAAUUGUUUUCUCAAUAAGCAUAAAGUCCUACUAUUAUUAUUAUUAUUAUUAUUAUUCUUUCAUAAUGUAUACAGUAAAGAAAUAGUCAUUUCCCAUCUCUUUAUUGUCAACGCAAGUUUUAUGUUUUGGAGGGAGAUUUUAACUCUUCCCUGAGUUCGAAAAUACAUCAACCGACUUUUUUCAUCUUUUUAUAGUAAUUAUAGGUUGAAAUUUGAAAUUUUUUUAGAAUUAGUAUUUGAUAUAUUAUUAGUGAAAUUUUUAAUUUGACAAGUAAAUUAAAAUAUUGAAAAAUAUUUAAUUUAUAUUUUAUUUUUUAAAAUAAUUUUAAAAGAUACAUGUCACCUUUUAAUCUUAUUUUUUAAAUUUAAAAAUUUUAUUAUUAAUGUAUGUGAUAAUUUCUAUUUUUUUUAUCAUUUAAAAGUUUUAGAAUGAAAACGACACAUGGGUGAUAAACACAGAAAGAUACAGUGGAGUUGCCCUUUUCUAUUUCCAAGAGCUGCCUUGUCAAUUUAUCCAUUCAUCACUUUGUUAAUUUGACAGUGACCCUACAUAUGAAAAAUGACUAUGAUGCUGAUGAUAUUUGAAGGGUGUCACCUGAGUCACUAAUACACAACAAACAAUAAAUACAUUUCUUUAAUAAAAAAAAUUAUUGAGCAUUAACCCAAAAAAGAAAAACAAGUUAAAAUUUUUUCAUAAGGACAGGUUUCAACAAAAAUAGAAGAUGUAACUUGAAUACUUACUGUUGAAGUUGCUGCUGGUGUAUUCUCCUUAGCUUCCUGAUUAGUCCCUAAUAAAACAUCAUUACAUGCAACGUUUAAUCAAUAUCACAAAAAACACUAAUUAAGGGUAAUUUAAACUUGCAACAAUAAAUACAAUUCUUUAAUUUGUUAAAUGCCAGCAGGUUAUGCAUUUUCUGACUACAGGUUGUUGAUAAACUACUCACAAUGAUUUUAGCAUCAACAUCAUCUUACACAAAAAAACAAGAAAUGAAAUCAAGAAGGCAAGAAGUGAAGAAGCUCAAAUAAAGCCCUAAGACACUUGCAUAAAACAAAGGCAAGCAUUGAGUCUUUUAGGGGCUUUCAAUAAAACAAACACAGUAAAUAAUAAUCCUAUGUGACUUUUUGUCAAAUUAAUGUUUCCGUCCAAAUUGAUGUUUAUCUCAAACAAUAUAUUCACUAUUCUUUUUCUAUAUUUCAUUUAUGCUUUUUAAUAAAAUUUUAAAUUUUUAACAAUUUUAUUUAAAAUUUUAAGAAUAAUAUUAAAAGAAGACAUUAAAAUAAGAAUGACAAGUGAGAGUGACCCUUGAUGGCCAAAAACAAAAAAAAAAAUAGAAAACGAGAGCGACCCUUCCCUUCUUGACUUCCGUCAUAUAAACAGAGGUUCGUUUUCAGAGUUUAGUCAUUAUUCAGACACGAUGGAGCCGCGAAGAAGGCUGUCGCCUUCUCACAUUGAUGUAACUAUCAAAUUUGUAGCUUUAUUCAGUCAUCAAGUCUUCCUACGACUUUGUCACUGCAGCUUUGUAUGUAAGAAUAGUCCAUAACGUUGACUUUUUUUAUUUAGUAUUACUUUUGUUUGUUCGAAAUUUUUAAAAAUAAAAGAUAAAUUUAGUUAAAAAUGUAAAGUACAUACUAAUUCGAGUAGGCACUUAAACCUAAAAAUAUAUAAUAUUAAUGUCUAAUAAGAUUAAAAAUUUAUACAUAGAUAAUACUUGAAUUUGAUUGCAAUAAUAGGUUCAAAACUUUUUUGAAAGUGUUCAUUUAUAAUAUAUAUAUAUAUAUAUAUAAUUAUAAAAAAUUUAUUAAUUUUGUUGAUAGGAAGAAUGUCAAAAGGAAAUUUUAGAGUAUUUAAAAAAUUCUUUAAAAAUAUUUUUUUAAACCUUUUAGGAUUAUCCUUAAAUACCCUAAUCCGAAAAAUGUAUUUGCCACUACUUGAUUGUCAAUGCUAGAUAAAAUUUAACUUGCUUUUUUUUUUUAUUUUGAAACCUUGACUUGCUUAUUUAGUUAGAUAAUGAAACUCAAAGAUAAAAUAAAUUUAAAAGUUUUUAUUUAUUUAUUUACAAAAAUUAAAAUAAUAUUUAUGCAUGAAAAAGUUAUAUUCACAAAAAUAUAUAUACAUAUCUAUACAUAAUUAAUUCAGGAAACCAUGCAGUAAAAUUUUAAAAAUAAUUAAUAUAAUUAUUUUUUCCUAAAAAAUAAUCCAUAUUAGUUAAGUGGUUGAAGGAAUCCAAACUCGCAUUUAGCAUUUUGAUCCUUUCUCCUGUUUUUUAAUAGAAAAAAAAUGUACUCUUCUACGAAACUUUUCCCUUUUACCAUUUUAGGGGGUCAACUUUUGCAGUCUAAAACGAAUGAAGCAACAGGAUCCGAGAUGGAGAUGGGAGCAUCAGCAGCAGCACAAUGACAAGUCAAAACAUUGACUAAGCUUUCAAUCUUAAAUGCACUGUUAAAAGUUUGGCAUUUGACCCCUUCCACGAUGUUUUUUUUUUUUGGACUUUUUUAGACACAAAAUAAGCUUCAAUGCAACACGAUAAUUAAAAAAUUUUAAAUUUAAAUUUAUUAUAUAUCAUAUUUUUAAAAUGAUUAUACGAAUCAUUUAAAUUUUGCAUUCAAUUAUUUCUACUACUUUAAACCACUCAAUCAAUUAAAAACCAUUUGCAUGAAACAAAAAUUAUAGGAGUAAUUAAUGAACUAUUGCUUAAUCAUUGGCUUAUAGUUGUAGAAAAAAGUUAGUUUGAGUAAUUAUAAAAAGAGCAAACAUCCUAUACGUGCUUGAUAGAAAGAUUGACCAUGUUUCCUUAUGUUUUUUAAAGGGAAAAAAGGAAAACUGAAAGUCUUUUCUCUUUUCCCAACAUCGUUCUUCACUGAUCCCCUUAUAUGACUCAAAAUAUUGGGUUAAUUGAAGGGAGAAAACAGAGAAUAAAACAGAGAUGACAACAUCAAAAGAAUUAACAAUUUUAUCAUACAACAGAUAGGAGACAUCAACCAAAACCUCUAUCACACUUUCACUAUCAGAAAUCUAGCUCUUCUCAUUCCUCCACCAACCCUUGUUGUUUUCCCACUACAAUAUAUGAUAAAAUUCAAAACUGAAAAAAAAAAAAAAAGGGCAACAAGUCUCUCUCACAUGGACACUAUUGUCUGUUUAGAUUUUACAUUUCCUCCACGAUAUGAGACGUAGAGAUUAGAGCUCUUACAUGAUGGAGCAAGGGUCAUGAUGCUGGGCAUAUCCAUAUGAUGGCACCCCUUGAUACAUAUAUAAAGGUUGAUUAUAUGGCCACACAUACUCCGCUGGCUUUACCUCAUCUUUCUUCUCAUCCUUCUUUUCACCACCCACGGCACUCACGCUUACCAGCUCUGUAU